ACGGUAUAGACGCGGUAAUGGACAACAUGAUGGCCGCGUCAAGGGAGUUUUUCCGGCAGCCGCUCGAAGAGAAGCAGAGAUACGCCAACCUGAACGGCGGCGAGCGGUUCCAGUUCGAGGGGUAUGGAAACGACUGGGUGAGCUCGCCGGACCAAAUCCGUGACUGGACUGACCGCCUCUACCUCAAUGUGGAGCCAGAGGAUGAGCGGAGCAUCGCCCUCUGGCCAGCACAUCCCGAAACCUUUAGGUGGCCGACCUCACAAAUUUCAUGGCUCGAGGGAGGAUUCGUUGACUGAUCAUGUCAUCAUGAGAAAUUGAGAACAUACAUUUUGUUGCAGGAAUGCUCUGCACGAGUAUACGAAGAAAUGCGGGGAAGUGAAGGACGAUGUGCUCAGGGCAAUGGCGAAGCUGCUGGAACUUGACGAUGAUGAUUACUUUGGGGAACACUUUGGGGAGAAGCCUCUCACUGACGUGAGAUGCAGCUACUACCCGGUGUGCCCGAGGCCAGAGCUCGUGUUUGGCCUCAAGCCCCACUCCGAUGCAACUGUUGUUACAGUCCUUAUGGUCGAUGACAGAGUGGGUGGCCUACAAGUUCUCAAAGAUGGGGUCUGGUGGGAUGUACCGAUCGUACCUCACACGCUACUCAUGAUUAUAGGAGAUCAAACUGAGGUACGCUUGCAAAAUAAAUCUAUAUUCGGAAAAAGUAUUGUUUGGUGAAAAAGUUAUAUGGACGGAAUCUCGAAACUUCAAAUGUUCAACAUUGUGAGUUUUCCCCAAAAUGUAUAACCUCUUGGACUGAUGAAGGGUCAAUCUUUUGUGACGCAGAUAAUGAGCAAUGGGAUCUUUAAGAGCCCUAUGCACAAGGUCGUGACAAACACAAAGAAAGAGAGGCUAUCGGUGGCACUAGACUACUAUGUUGAUCCUGAGAGAGAAAUCGAGCCAUCGGCUCAGUUGGUCAAUGAGAAGAGGCCGGCGUUGUACUCAAAAGUGAAGGUUAAGGACUACUUUGCCAGAAGUUACAACGCUUUUACUGAAGGGAAAAUGGUUAUCGAUACAGUGAAGAUCUAACUAAGUAUGCUAUCAUUGCUUUCAUUCAAUAAAAUGUUGUCAUUCUGCAACAAAUGUUUGUAUCAUGUAUGUAUUCAUGUAUCGUUACACCCCUGAGUGUAUUCACUUCCUUUGUUCAAUAACACAUGUUCUCUUGGUUAGCCUGGUCUACAUAUGCAGAUUUACACUUGUGAAAAGUAAAUCCAGAAACAAAAUACUAGGGGGAAAAAUCUGAAUUUGUCUUGUAACAUACAUGGUAUACUCCUGUAUGAAGUUUGGCAAAGAGGUAACAUGAUCAUAUGUGUGUUUUUACCUUGAAGUACAUCUUGUGGCGGCCGCCAUACCUUCUGUGGUGGGAAAGAAUGACAUGUAUCAAUGUAUGGCAAGUCAUCUCCCACAACAGACAUAGCCUAAAUAUUGGUCACUCUAGAAUCUGUCAUGAUGAGUACCAAACAUAGCAAAACCUCAAUUGCAAUGUUUCUACAGUACUACUAGGAGGUGGUGGGGAAAAUUCUCACAACUCUGUAAUAAGUACCAAGCUCUUGCCCGUUUUUACCGUGUUGCAGUUGUUGUCAGCCUUCUGUGCUGUCAAAAGUUAUAAAAAAUUAGAUAUAGCACUUACCAAGUGACCAAACAAGAUACAAUAUGAAAAGUGGAGCUUGGUUACAAUUACAACAACUCACAGUAUCAACGGCACAAUGUAGCAAAAAGUAAUGCAAUCUGAAUAAUUGCUCAAACUCGUAACUAGGCGGGCAAUCGACUAGUAAGAGACAAUAUAAUUUAAACCCAGAUACUAAAUCAAGUGAGUAAAAUUUCUGGAGUAUAAUGAAGCUCAAACCGGAUGAUGUGAUGUGGUAGUCAAGCUCGCAACUGCAAAAAGGAUGCCUAAAACAGAAUUUAUUUAUUUUUACCCCAAAACAUAUGCUAGCCGGCCUGAUUUUAUUUUCACGUUUUCUUUUCCUUCUCUCUUUUUGUCUGUUUUGUCAAGCCGGUUACUAGCAAUGGAGACGUAGCACACAAUUUAGGUCAACAAGGACUCGAAAGAUUCUCAUCGUUGGAACUUGCGUGCAAAACUCACGGUGAUGGAUGCAUGCAAGAGAAACUUUGUGAGGAAAACAGCGGCGCCAAGGGCCAGACAAUGUUUGCCCUGGUGUCGGGGGCAGAAGGAUGGGCGGCGCUGCGACUGCGAGGAUGGUGCCUGCCUAGGCGAGGCGCAAGCGACGGGCAUCACGGGUGCCUCUGUCUCCGGUAUUUCGUGGCACAAGACGAGCGAAUCUGGCGUAGCUGUGCGUGCUGCAAACAAAACAGCCAAGAACCUCGGACAGAGAGAGAGAUGGGCGUUAACACCUUGCGUGCAUGGCGUCCAAAAAUCAUGGCAGCGAGGAGGAACAAGCGAGUAGAUAAACACGUCCAGAAAAACAGAUUUUUCUUGUGAGUACAGGAGAUUCAAACUCUUUUUUUUUGUUCUUCUUGAUUGAGGAUUUUUUUCGUGAAUACGCAAAAGGCUUGCGUAUCAUUAUAUUGAUAGGAGGAAAUAGAAUGAUGGUUACAGGGGUGAUCUCAUGAGCACAUGCGCAAAGGAGAUGGUGUGAAUGAGAAAAACAAAGGCACGGCAGAGGGGGUGCCGCACGACCCGAACAUAGCAUCCUACGUCUCGUCGAUAAUCUGGCCAAGCCCCUUGGCCCCGGCGCGCACCCAAGCGCGGGCGUCUUCCUUGAUGCUGUCGGAGAGUCUGGAGAUAGAGGGGUUGGCGGCGUUGAACACACAAUCAUUGCGGUGCUUUCAGAGUCUCCAGGUGGUAAGGAUGAUGACACUGAUAGAAAAAGGGCCUGUUGUCCCGGUUCGUAAGGGCCUUUUGUCCCGGUUCCUGAACCGGGACUAAAGGGUCGGUACUAAUGCCCUGUCCCUUUAGUCCCGGUUCAAUCCAGAACCGGGACUGAUGGGCCUCCACGUGGCCUCUGCGCGGAGCCCAGGCAUGAGACCCUUUGGUCCCGGUUGGCACCAACCGGGACCAAUAGGCAUCCACGCGUCANNNNNNNNNNNNNNNNNNNNNNNNNNNNNNNNNNNNNNNNNNNNNNNNNNNNNNNNNNNNNNNNNNNNNNNNNNNNNNNNNNNNNNNNNNNNNNNNNNNNNNNNNNNNNNNNNNNNNNNNNNNNNNNNNNNNNNNNNNNNNNNNNNNNNNNNNNNNNNNNNNNNNNNNNNNNNNNNNNNNNNNNNNNNNNNNNNNNNNNNNNNNNNNNNNNNNNNNNNNNNNNNNNNNUAAUUAAUAGAGAGAAGUGUCCUCUCUUACGUCCGUGCUUGGUCGACGCUACAUACUAUACAUACGUAUAGAGAGGACUAGACACGCUAGUUAGCUAGUAAGCAAACGAAGGAAACAGAAGAUCGUCAUGAACAUAUAUGCAUACAGAGAGAAGUGAUAUCGACCACCUCUCCUUCUCCGAGAGAUUGGUCGAACAACAAGUUCUCGUAUAUCUAUCCGACACUACCGGCUACAUAUAUACAAUAAUUAUCUCUUACAAAUAUAAUCAUACGGACUCAUGGUCCACAUAGUAUUCUCCGUCUUCAGCAAUCACGUGGUCAAGAAAGAAUGCCGCCAAUUCCUCUUGAAUUGCUCGCAUGCGAGCUGGUGCUAGGAGUUCAUCCCGCUUCCGAAACAUCUAAUUUGAAGAACGGGGUCAAUAUAUAUAUAUAUAUGAAUGAAUGAAACUCAACACAAAUGAUGGUAAUAAAAUAAAAUUGUGAAUGUUGUUAUUUACGUACUUCAUAUUGUUCGUCAGUGUAGCCCCGCUCACAGGUCGUGUGGCGGAUGGACUCGCAAACAUAGUAUCCACAGAAAUCAUUCCCUUGUUCCUGCCACAACCAUUUUACAAGAAAUAGAGGUCAAUCAAAGUGAUAAGCAAGAAUGCCAAAUCAAUAGGAGAUGCGCGGAACAUGCUACUAUAGUACUUACUUUCGGGUGUCUAAAUUGCAGCUUCUUCGGAAGUCCUGGAGCUUUUUUGGAGAAUUUUUUCCAAACCCUGCCAGACAAAGAAAACAAUUACUUGAUAUAUCAGGAAAUGAACAAAGUUGCUGAUAUGAUUGAUAAUGAUCGAUUUAACUUACUUCUCGAGCAUUUAAGUCAUGUCCGCAUAGUCCUGGGGAUCUUUUCGUCUUGAGUCUAAGACAGUUACUAGUCCCUGCUCAAGCUUAAUCUCUGGGAGAAUAUAGUGGUAACUGCACACACAUGCAUAACUCAUCAAUUACAUUACUAUAACCUUGAUUAAUAUAUAAGGGAAACCGAAUACGCACAAGACAGUAACACUCACUUGAAGUUGUAAGGAAAGAGUAUUAUAUCUUUGCUUUCAUUUAUUACCAACGAUCGUAGCAAGUUGGCCUCGGUAGCUACGGCAUGAAAUUUAACCUGAGUUGCAUCUAUGAGAUAUGUGUUAAUGAACACAAUAUCACCGACUUGUCUUUUCUUCAAUUCGGCGAUCUUCAAUCUGCAUAAUAUAGUGAGGAUGAUUAUAAAUACAUGCAAUGAAAGAGCUGAGCUAUAUAGAAAGACUUAAUGACAGAAGUAGUACUACUUACACACAGUAGCAGGUGACCGUUGUUUUAUCAAGGGCCAAUUGAUUGAAAAACUGAAAGAACUCCUCAAAUGGAACAGGCAACAGUUCAAUUCCAACGAGGUCAUGCUCCUUUUUAACUUUCACACACAAAGUACUCCUCCCCCCAGAGUCUCUGCAGAUUUUCAAGUACCAAUCAUGCAAUCUUCGCAUCAUCGUUGAUAGAGAUCUUUCAUCUUUGAUGAGAGGCUUCCCGUACUCGUAUCUUUGUAUCUGCACCUCCAUGAAAUCAUAAUGUACAUCGUCGGGCAGGUAAUCGCCAAGAUUGCUAUAACCGGGCACCAUCCUCGGAUCAUUAGCGACGUUUUCGCUUGGCACCUUGAGCGGGGGGCACGAUUGCUUCGCUUGUUAGGUCGUCGUUCUUUCAGCCUUUGAUCACAGACAGUACUUCCUGACCGCUCCGCUUCGGCAAAUUCCUUUUCAAUAAUGCGCUCAUAGUUUCCUUUCGGUGGAGACUUGGGUGGUUUUUUCAGGGCAGGCAGAGUGCGCUUCGCUUUCACCGGAUCUACCUUCUCCUCCGGAGGUGGAUGUUUCUUUGCUUUCACCCCUUCAAAGUAAUUCCUCACUUCUUCUCGUGCGAUCUCGACAUUCUCCUCCGGGGUCCUCUCGUAUGGUAAUUUCUCUGGAGUCUUCAGAGAAGGACCGAAUAUGUAUUUUCUCCCGCCUCUGGCUGUACUGCUAGGCGCCGGCAGAGCAGACGGAGCGGUUGUCUUCUUUACUUGCUUACGAGGUGGAGGAGAAGGACUAUGACGCGCCGGAGCAGCCGGAGCGGCGGCAGGUCUCUUCCGCCCUUGCUGGCGAGGCGGAGAAGGAGGAGGCUGGCUGCUCGAGUGCGUCGGCGCAGGCGGAGAAGGAGGCGGAGUGCCGCCACGCGCCGGAGAAGGAGCUGGUCAAGUGCCCUGAUCGUCACUCGCUGGAGGAGGAGGCGGUGGAGGAGGCGGGGUGCACUGACUCGCCGGAGGAGGAGGCGGUGGAGGAGGCAGAGUGCCCUGGCUUGCCGGAGGAGGAGGAGGAGGCGGAUGCGUCCAGUUCGGAAGGUUGAUGAGCUCCUUCCGCCAUAGGCAUGGAGUCUUCGGAGCAGACCCCAGCCUAGUCUCCCCUUCACUAGUAGGGUGGUCAAGCUGGAGGUCCUCAAAUCCCUCUGUUAUUUCAUCCACCAUCACCCUAGCAUAUCCUUCUAGAAUCGGCCGGCAGUGAAAAGUUGCGCCGGGUUCAGUAGGAUAAACAGAGCCAACAGCCGCCUUGACCUUCAAAUUCAUCCAUUACGUUAUAAGGUGGCAAUUUUGAGACUCCGUAAUAGCAUCCACGGGAUAGCUGGCAGGAGCCGUCAAGGCAUCCUCCGGCUGAAGCAGCUCGGUGGAAGCCACGCUGCUUCUCCGCUGAGAUGGCGGGGUAGCUUCGGGGGAAGUUUCGGCAGUACGUUUGCUGCGAUUUGCUUCUCGUUCCUAUAUGGCUUGUACCCUUGCUUGCAGCGCCUGCAUUUGGGUCUGCUGCAAUUUUUUCCUCCUCUCCUGGGAUUGGUAACCGCCUGCGUCCGGAAACCCAACCUUCCACGGAAUGGAGCCUGGCGUGCCUCGUGUCCGUCCAGGGUGCCCAGGAUUCCUGAGGGCCAUUGUGAUCUCGUCGUUCUCUCUAUCUGGAAAGAACGUCCCUUGUUGCGCUGCUUCGAUAUACUGCUGAAGCUUCCUGACUGGUAUGUCCAUUUGAUUGUUUGUCCAAAUGCACUUCCCUGUUACAGGGUCCAAGGUUCCGCCAGCCCCGAAGAACCAAGUCCAGCAACAGUCUGGCCAGUUAAUUGUCUCUGGUUCAAUCCCUUUAUCAACCAGAUCAUUCUCAGUCUUGGCCCACUUAGGCCGGGCUAUAAGGUAGCCACCUGACCCCGUGCGAUGGUGAUGCUUCUUCUUCGCAGCAUUUUGCUUGUUUGUCGCCGACAUCUUCUUACUCUUUUCCGAUGUCUUGUGAGCCACAAAUGCGGGCCAGUGAUCUCUGAUCUUCUUAUAUCUGCCCUUGAAUUCUGCUGUCUCUUUAUUUUCGACAAACUUAUUCAGCUCUUUCUUCCACCUCCUGAAUAGUUCUGCCAUCCUCUUAAGAGUAAAAGACUUGAUUAAUUGCUCUUUAACUGGCUUCUCUGGAUCAUCCUCUCGCGGUAGGGUGAAAUUUGACUUCAGCUCAGUCCAAAGAUCAUUUUUCUGCAUAUCAUUGACAUAAGACACCUCAGGGUCUUCUGUAGCCGGCUUUAACCAUUGCUGGAUGCUGAUCGGGAUCUUGUCCCUAACAAAAACCCCGCACUGAGCAACAAAUGUGCUCUUUGUCCGGAGGGGUUCAAUCGGUUGGCCGUCGGGCACGAUUGCUAUGAUCUCAAACUUUUCAUCCGAGCUCAACUUUUUCUUCGGGCCUCGUCUCUUUACCGAAGUUGUGCUCGAUCCGGAGGGCUAGAAAAAAGAACAAAGACUUAAUUAAUAUGUGUACAUACCAAAAUAAUGAAUGCAUCAAUUAGCUAGUCAGCAGAAGCUUAACUAAUAUAUAUAUACCUGGCCAGACUCGGUUCGGACACCGGAGACAUCAUCACGGUCUCCUUCUUGCACCGGCAUUGGGUCACCGGAGCCGUCCUCACGGUCUCCUUCUUGCACCGGCAUUAGGUCACCAGAGCCAUCAUAAUCAUAGCCAGCUGCUUCCAGACCAUCGGUGUCAUUGAGAAACAACGAGACGACGGCAUCACUUCCUCGUGCGGUUAUGUCCCCCAACAACUCUUCUUGUACUUCGUCUCGGGCGGUGUCCAUAGUUUCUACAAAUAUUGACAACAUGGCAAUUAUUAUUCAAACAUGACAGAUGGAUAUAUUAGUGGCAAACGUAGAACUAAUAUUAAUUAAUGGCCUCAACGCUGCUUCUCUAGGGUUUGGGGUGGCCUCGACGCUGCUUCUCUAGGGUUUGGGGUGGCCUCGACAACGCUUCAAGGAUAAAAAAGAAGAGGAAGAAAAAAAAGAGGAGAAGAAAGAAUAGAGGAAUGAGAACUCCUCUAUUCUUUCUUCUCCUCUUUUUUUCUUCUUCUUCCUCUUUUUUUUAUCGGGAACAAGGGUUGUCGAGGGUCACCGAGCGGUAGAGGAAACCCUAAAUAGCAAGUAUCGUGGGUGUGAGAUACAUGUGGCCGUCGGUGUCGGACACUACAUCCACGUCCCACAAGUGAUGUGGGCGUCGAAGCCNNNNNNNNNNNNNNNNNNNNNNNNNNNNNNNNNNNNNNNNNNNNNNNNNNNNNNNNNNNNNNNNNNNNNNNNNNNNNNNNNNNNNNNNNNNNNNNNNNNNNNNNNNNNNNNNNNNNNNNNNNNNNNNNNNNNNNNNNNNNNNNNNNNNNNNNNNNNNNNNNNNNNNNNNNNNNNNNNNNNNNNNNNNNNNNNNNNNNNNNNNNNNNNNNNNNNNNNNNNNNNNNNNNNNNNNNNNNNNNNNNNNNNNNNNNNNNNNNNNNNNNNNNNNNNNNNNNNNNNNNNNNNNNNNNNNNNNNNNNNNNNNNNNNNNNNNNNNNNNNNNNNNNNNNNNNNNNNNNNNNNNNNNNNNNNNNNNNNNNNNNNNNNNNNNNNNNNNNNNNNNNNNNNNNNNNNNNNNNNNNNNNNNNNNNNNNNNNNNNNNNNNNNNNNNNNNNNNNNNNNNNNNNNNNNNNNNNNNNNNNNNNNNNNNNNNNNNNNNNNNNNNNNNNNNNNNNNNNNNNNNNNNNNNNNNNNNNNNNNNNNNNNNNNNNNNNNNNNNNNNNNNNNNNNNNNNNNNNNNNNNNNNNNNNNNNNNNNNNNNNNNNNNNNNNNNNNNNNNNNNNNNNNNNNNNNNNNNNNNNNNNNNNNNNNNNNNNNNNNNNNNNNNNNNNNNNNNNNNNNNNNNNNNNNNNGCCACAUGUAUCUCACACCGACGAUACUUUCUAUUUAGGGUUUCCUCUACCGCUCGGCGACCCUGACCCUCGACGACCCUCGUUUCCGAUAAAAUAAAGAGGAAGAAUAAGAAAAAAAAAGAGAAGAAGAGAAGAAAAAAAAAAGAGGAGAAGAACUCGGCGACCCUCGACGACCCUCGUUCCCGAUAAAACAAGAGGAAGAAGAAGAAGAAAAAAAGAGGAGAAGAAGAACUCCUCUAUUCUUUCUUCUCCUCUUUUUUUUCUUCUUCCUCUUCUUUUUUUAUCCUCUUCUUCCUCUCAUGUUCGACGACCCUCGACCCCUCGGCGACCCUAGACCCCCUCUCGACCCCCUCAUGUCGAAGUUAUCGGGUAGGGGGUAUAUCGACGAUGACAUACCCGAUACAUACAUACAUACAUACAUAUCACAUGCAUCCAUACAUAUAUGAACAAAAUUAAUAUAUACUAAUUAACAACCUAAAUAAAAAAACUAAUACAUAUAGGAAGAAGAAAAAAAAGAGAAGAAAGAAUAGAGGAGAAGACUUCCUAUCCUUCCUCUCCUCUUCUUCUCCCUCUUCUUCUCCCUCUUCUUCCCCUUCUUCCCUCGACCCCCUAAACUAGUUCUCAACCCUCAACCCCCUAAACUAGUUNNNNNNNNNNNNNNNNNNNNNNNNNNNNNNNNNNNNNNNNNNNNNNNNNNNNNNNNNNNNNNNNNNNNNNNNNNNNNNNNNNNNNNNNNNNNNNNNNNNNNNNNNNNNNNNNNNNNNNNNNNNNNNNNNNNNNNNNNNNNNNNNNNNNNNNNNNNNNNNNNNNNNNNNNNNNNNNNNNNNNNNNNNNNNNNNNNNNNNNNNNNNNNNNNNNNNNNNNNNNNNNNNNNNNNNNNNNNNNNNNNNNNNNNNNNNNNNNNNNNNNNNNNNNNNNNNNNNNNNNNNNNNNNNNNNNNNNNNNNNNNNNNNNNNNNNNNNNNNNNNNNNNNNNNNNNNNNNNNNNNNNNNNNNNNNNNNNNNNNNNNNNNNNNNNNNNNNNNNNNNNNNNNNNNNNNNNNNNNNNNNNNNNNNNNNNNNNNNNNNNNNNNNNNNNNNNNNNNNNNNNNNNNNNNNNNNNNNNNNNNNNNNNNNNNNNNNNNNNNNNNNNNNNNNNNNNNNNNNNNNNNNNNNNNNNNNNNNNNNNNNNNNNNNNNNNNNNNNNNNNNNNNNNNNNNNNNNNNNNNNNNNNNNNNNNNNNNNNNNNNNNNNNNNNNNNNNNNNNNNNNNNNNNNNNNNNNNNNNNNNNNNNNNNNNNNNNNNNNNNNNNNNNNNNNNNNNNNNNNNNNNNNNNNNNNNNNNNNNNNNNNNNNNNNNNNNNNNNNNNNNNNNNNNNNNNNNNNNNNNNNNNNNNNNNNNNNNNNNAGCAGCCCAAAGGGCGGGAAGCGGCGGCCUUUGGUCUCGGUUGGUGGCACCAACCAGGACUAAAGAGAGGCAUUGGUCACGGUUUGUGCCACGAACCGUGACCAAUGCCCCCCUUUAGUACCGGUUGGUGCCACCAACCGAGACCAAAGGCCUUGUGCAGUGGUUUAUAAGCCCCACUGCCGCACCCCUCUCGAGCUCCUCUCCAUUGCAGGCUUACGGGCCUAAUUGUCACUGCUAUGCCUGUGGGCCUACUGGGGCUCCUGCGGGCCUGAAUCUUGUCCCUUGGAUGGGUUUCUAGUCGUAUUCAGGCCGUGGGGGCCGAGUAGGUGACAUUUGUUUUUUGUUUUUUGUUGCUUUAUUUAUUUUCUUUUGUUUGUUGCUUUAUUUUUUAAUUCUUUAUGCUUUUAGUUUUAGAAAAAUUAUAAACUUUUUGUUAAUGCCAUUAGUUUUCAAAUCUGAAAACACUUUUUUUGUUUUUUUUGUUUUCUUUGUUGCUUUAUUUAUUUUAUUUUGUUUCUNNNNNNNNNNNNNNNNNNNNNNNNNNNNNNNNNNNNNNNNNNNNNNNNNNNNNNNNNNNNNNNNNNNNNNNNNNNNNNNNNNNNNNNNNNNNNNNNNNNNNNNNNNNNNNNNNNNNNNNNNNNNNNNNNNNNNNNNNNNNNNNNNNNNNNNNNNNNNNNNNNNNNNNNNNNNNNNNNNNNNNAUUUUCUUUUGUUUUUUGCUUUAUUUUUUUUAUUCUUUUUGCUUUUAGUUUUAGAAAAUUUAUAAACUUUCUGUUGGUGCCAUUAGUUUUCAAAUUUGAAAACACUUUUUUAGGUCUUUUGUUUUCUUUGUUGCUUUAUUUAUUUUAUUUUGUGAUUAACUUUACUAUAAAAAUAGUUUUUUUCCUAUCUUUUUGAUUUGUUUUUUGCAUUAUUUAUUUUCUUUUGUUUUUUGCUUUAAUUUUUAAUUCUGUUUGCUUUUAGGUUAGCAAAAUUGUAAACUUUCUGUUAGUGCCAUUAGUUUUCAAAUUUGAAUAGUUAAAAUUUGAAUUCUUUGGAAUUUGUGUGAAUCACAAGUUUGUGAUUAACUUACUAAAAAAUGAGAAUAGAUGGGCUUAUAGAGAAAAUUCAGCCUAAAUUCAUAGUAAAUUUCUAUCAAUUUCAGAGAAAUUCACUAUGAAUUUAGGUUAAACUUUUCUCUAUUAGGGCAUCUAUUUUCACUUUGAGAGGAGCACAACAAGGCAGAGAGGGAAGGGCUUAUAAACCGGUGUGAGCCCCCUUCGGUUGGCGAGGUGGGACUAAACUCUGCCAGCAACGAGGACAAACCCUUUAGUCCCGGUUUGUGGCACAAACCGGGACUAAUGGUCAAUGGCCAGGGGCGAGGAGCAAAAUUAUAAAUAUUCUGUUAGUGCGAUUAGUUUUAGAAAGUUGAAAGUUGAAAGUUGGCAUGGGCCAGGGACUAAUAUUCAUGGUAUUACGAGGGCCGAACCAUAAGACAUUAAAGCAUUUCAAAUGAACUCUGAAAAAGUUGAAAGUUGGCAUGGUAUCAUAAUUUCACCCACAUAGCAUGUGCAUGUACAAAACGGACAAUGGUAGCAUGUUCGUGUGUUACAAAGUUGGCAUGGUAUCAUCAUAAUAGUUGCGGGAGAAAGUCUUCACUUUUUCUUCGCUUGUGUCAUUUGCUUAUUGCGCCGUAACCAUGGAUAAUCUUCAUUGUUUAUCAGGAUGCUUGGAUCAACCUUGACAUUGAAGGGAGGAAUUUCAUGAAACUUUUCAUAAUCUUCAGACAUGUCUGUCUUGCCGUCCACUCCCAGGAUGUCCCUUUUUCCUGAAAGAACUAUGUGGCGCUUUGGCUCAUCGUAUGAUGUAUUCGCUUCCUUAUCUUUUCUUUUUCUCGGUUUGGUAGACAUUUCCUUCACAUAGAUAACCUGUGCCACAUUAUUGGCUAGGACGAACGGUUCGUAAGUGUACCCAAGAUUUUUUAGAUCCACUGUUGUCAUUCCGUACUGUGGGUCUACCUGUACCCCGCCGCCUGACGGAUUGACCCAUUUGCACUUAAACAAAGGGACCUUAAAAUCAGGUCCGUAGUCAAGUUCCCAUAUGUCCACUAUGUAACCAUAAUAUGUGUCAUUUCCGCUCUCGGUUGCUGCAUCAAAGCGGACACCGCUGUUUGGGUUGGUGCUCUUUUGAUCUUGGGCGAUGGUGUAAAAUGUAUUCCCAUUUAUCUCAUAUCCUUUGUAAGUCAAUACAGUCAAAGAUGGUCCCCUGGACAACAAGUACAACUCAUCACAAACAGUGUUGUCACCUCUGAGACGUGUUUCCAACCAACUGCUGAAAGUCCUGAUGUGUUCACAUGUAAUCCAGUCGUCGCACUGCUCCGGGUGUUUGGAGCGCAGACUGUUCUUGUGUUCAUCGACAUACGGGGUCACCAAGGUAGAGUUCUGUAGAACUUUGUAGUGUGCUUGAGACCAAGAAUAUCCGUCCCUGCAUAUUACUGAGUCUCUUCCAAGAGUGCCUUUUCCAGUCAGUCUCCCCUCAUACCGCGAUUUAGGGAGACCUAUCUUCUUAAGGCCAGGAAUGAAGUCAACACAAAACCCAAUAACGUCCUCUGUUUGAUGGCCCAUGGAGAUGCUUCCUUCUGGUUUAGCGCGGUUACGGACAUAUUUCUUUAGGACUCCCAUGAACCUCUCAAAGGGGAACAUAUUGUGUAGAAAUACGGGCUCCAGGAUGACAAUCUCGUCGACUAGAUGAACUAGGACGUGCGUCAUGACAUUGAAGAAGGAUGGUGGGAACACUAGCUCGAAACUGACAAGACAUUGCGCCACAUCACUCCUUAGCCUUGGUACGAUUUCUGGAUCGAUCACCUUCUGAGAGAUUGCAUUGAGGAAUGCACAUAGCUUCACAAUGGCUAAUCGGACGUUUUCCGGUAGAAGCCCCCUCAAUGCAACCGGAAGCAGUUGCGUCAUAAUCACGUGGCAGUCAUGAGACUUUAGGUUCUGAAACUUUUUCGCUGGCAUAUUUACUAUUCCCUUUAUAUUCGACGAGAAGCCAGUCGUGACCUUCAUACUGAGCAGGCAUUCAAAGAAGAUUUCUUUCUCUUCUUUCGUAAGAGCGUAGUUGGCAGGACCUUUAUACUACUUCGGAGGCAUGCCGUCUUUUUCGUGCAAACGUUGCAGGUCCUCUCGUGCCUCAGGUGUAUCUUUUGUCUUCCCAUACACGCCCAAGAAGCCUAGCAGGUUCACGCAAAGGUUCUUCAUCACGUGCAUCACGUCGAUUGAAGAGCGGACCUCUAGGUCUUUCCAGUAGGGUAGGUCCCAAAAUAUAGAUUUCUUCUUCCACAUGGGUGCGUGUCCCUCAGCGUCAUUCGGAACAGCUAGUCCACCGGGACCCUUUCCAAAUAUUACGUAGUGUAAAUCAUUGACCAUAGAAAGUACGUGAUCACCAGUACGCAUGGCGGGCUUCUUCCGAUGAUCUGCCUCGCCUUUGAAAUGCUUGCCUUUCUUUCGACAUUGAUGGUUGGUCGGAAGAAAUCGACGAUGGCCCAGGUACACAUUCUUCCUGCAUUUGUCUAGGUAUAUACUUUCAGUGUCAUCUAAACAGUGCGUGCAUGCAUGGUAUCCUUUGUUUGUCUGUCCUGAAAGGUUACUGAGAGCGGUCCAAUCGUUGAUGGUCACGAAUAGCAACGCCUUAAGGUUAAAUUCCUCCUGUCUGUGCUCAUCCCACGUACGUACACCGUUUCCAUUCCAUGGCUGUAAAAGUUCUUCAACUAAUGGCCUUAGGUACACAUCAAUGUCGUUGCCGGGUUGCUUAGGGCCUUGGAUGAGAACUGGCAUCAUAAUGAACUUCCGCUUCAUGCACAUCCAAGGAGGAAGGUUAUACAUACAUAGAGUCACGGGCCAGGUGUUGUGAUUCCUGCUCUUCUCCCCAAAAGGAUUAAUGCCAUCCGCGCUUAAAGCAAACCAUACAUUCCUUGGGUGCUUUGCAAACUCAUCCCAGUACUUUCUCUCAAUUUUUCUCCACUGCGACCCGUCAGCGGGUGCUCUCAACUUCCCAUCUUUCUUUCGGUUCUCACUGUGCCAUCGCAUCAACUUGGCAUGCUCUUCAUUUCUGAAUAGGCGUUUCAACCGUGGUAUUAUAGGAGCAUACCACAUCACCUUCGCAGGAACCCUGUUCCUGGGGGGCUCGCCGUCAACAUCACCAGGGUCAUCUCGUCUGAUCUUAUACCACAAUGCACCGCAUACCGGGCAUGCGCCCAGAUCCUUGUAUGCACCGCGGUAGAGGAUGCAGUCAUUAGGGCAUGCAUGUAUCUUCUCCACCUCCAAUCCUAGAGGGCAUACGACUUUCUUUGCUGCGUAUGUACUGUCCGGCAAUUUGUUAUCCUUUGGAAGCUUCUUCUUCAAUAUUUUCAGUAGCUUCUCAAAUCCUUUGUCAGCCACAACAUUCUCUACCUUCCACUGCAGCAAUUCCAGUACGGUACCGAGCUUUGUGUUGCCAUCUUCGCAAUUGGGGUAUAACCCUUUUUUGUGAUCCUCUAACAUGCGAUCGAACUUCAGCUUCUCCUUUUGACUUUCGCAUUGCGUCCUUGCAUCGACAAUGACCCGGCAGAGAUCAUCAUCAUCGGGCACAUUGUCUGGUUCCUCUUGAUCUUCAGCAGCUUCACCCGUUGCAGCAUCAUUGGGCACAUCGUCUGGUUCCUCUUGAUCUUCACCAGCUCCCCCGUUGCAACAUCAGCGUAUUCAGGGGGCACAUAAUUGUCAUCGUACUCUUCUUCUUCGCCCUCUUCCAUCAUAACCCCUAUUUCUCCGUGCCUCGUCCAAACAUUAUAGUGUGGCAUGAAACCCUUGUAAAGCAGGUGGGAGUGAAGUAUUUUCCGGUUAGAGUAAGACCUCGUAUUCCCACAUUCAAUGCAUGGAGAACACAUAAAACCAUUCUGCUUGUUUGCCUCAACCGCAUCGAGAAACUCAUGCACGCCCUUAAUGUACUCGCAGGUGUGUCUGUCAUCGUACAUCCAUUGCCGGUUCAUCUACGUGCAUUAUAUAUAAUUAAGUGUCCAAAUUAAUAGAAGUUCAUCAUCACAUUAAAACCAAAGUGCAUACAUAGUUCUCAUCUAACAACAUAUAGCUCUCCAGGCAUCUAUUUAAUUAAACCAUACAUUGAAACUAUGUAAAACAUUUCAAUGCGAAAACAAAUGCGAUCAUAAUCGCAACCAAGGUAACAAUUGAUCCAAUGGCAUAAUGAUACCAAGCCUUGGUAUGAAUGGCAUAUUUUCUAAUCUUUCUAAUCUUCAAGCGCGUUGCAUCCAUCUUGAUCUUGUCAUCAUCGACGACAUCUGCAACAUGCAACUCCAAUAUCAUCUUCACCUCCUCAAUUUUUUUUAUUUUUUCCUUCAACAAAUUGUUUUCUUCUUCAACUAAAUUUAACCUCUCGACAAUAGGGUCGGUUGGCAUUUCCGAUUCACAUACAUCCUACAUAAAUAAAAUGGUGUGAGUGUCACCCUGAUUGAAUGGAAGGGUGUGUGUGAGCCUUUUUUGGGGAACUGAUUGAAGCUUGGGUCCUAAUUGAGGGCAUUCCUCCCAAGUGGUGCACAUGGAAAGUUUUUUCUCAAAUUGCUUCACUCUUUGGGGUGUUAACUGAUGUUGAUUGGAAUGGCAUGUUCAAGACUUUCUUUGAAAAUGUCAGGAUUAAGAUUGCAUGUAGAGAUCCCACUAAGAUACCCUUUGAGAGGCUGAUUGAGAUGAAGAAGAAACUCUUCCUCCUGGGUUUUACUGUUGAGGGCUUUGAACAGGUGGGUGGAGUAGACUCUGUCAUUGAUAUUGAUGAUGAGGAUGGUGAUGAGGAAGAAGGAAAAGCUGAAGAGGAUCGAACAAAAGAGGGUAGAGAGGCUCAUGGAGAACAUACUUCUGAUGGAUCGGGAGAUGGUGGUUUGGCUAUUGAUGAGAUGGGAAAAGCCAACUUUUCAACCAAACAUGGGACUGCCAGUAAACGUGUGACACAGGGUUUGGUGCUCUCACCAAUGGAUCUUUAUCCUGACUCUGACCAGGAGAACUUUAUUCUGAAAAGUGAUGAUCUAUGUGUAGGCAAGGAUGGUACAAUGGUGGGAGAGAAUCUGGUUCAAAAAACUCUUGCCAUUUUUUGGAAAAAUAGGAAUGCAAUAACAUAUGGGGAGAGAUCGGGCAGCAUGGACUACUAUGAGGACCUGCUUAGGUCUGUGGACCUUUCUGAUUCUGAAAAUGAGGAACCUAAGGAGGAGGAGCUGGGGUCCCCCCCCCAGAGGCCAUUCAUAUCCUGCAGACUGAGACACUGAAGAGAUCCUUGUUAUAUUCACUUAACCAAGUUCAUAAGGAGGGAGUUAUCCCAGUGAAAAGAUCUAAAUGGGGACCUGUUCUUGCUCAAAAACCUAACACUAGAGGGCAUGGAAACAUCAACAUUAUGGACAAAGCUGCUGCAUACAAAAGGAAUAAAAAUCUGGAGAUUCCUGAAAAUUUUAAUGGUAAAUCUUUUUCCACUGUUGAUAAAUCUACUCUUGCUGACCAAUUGGGACAAAUGAACUUAACUAUUGGUGGUGGUGAAUCUCAAAAGAAUAACGUUAUUGAUGAGAUGUUGGCCGAGGAGAGAGAGAGAUGUCUGGUUUUUGCCAAUAAUAACCCUGAAAUAGUUCUUCCUGAGAACCUUGAUAUUGAAGUAAAUGAUUUAGUUAGCACACAUGUGAGUGAUUCUUCCUGUAAGCCAGUUGGCAUUGCUGGUACUUGUAGGAAAACACCCAUUGUUCUAACUAAGGCCAACCCUUGUGGCUUAUCCCAUCCUUUUAAAAUUGCUUAGUUAUGAUAGGUCUUAUAUGGAAUAUUAGGGGCCUUGGAUAACCUGGGAAAAUACAGUGCCUAUGUGAUACUAUUGCCAAAGCUAAUCCUGACUUUAUUGGGUUUCAAGAGACUAAAAGAGAGAUUAUUUCUGAGGGUUUCCUCAAAACUAUUGAUAAAUUUAAUAAUUUUGUUUGGCAUUUCUUGCCUGCUGAUAAUACUGCUGGUGGGAUCCUUUUGGUUUUAAGGAAAAUGUUUUUUGAGGUUAUUGGCAUUAUUAACCAAAGAUUUUCUAUUGUGGCAACUAUCAAAAAUAAAAGUGAUGGCUUCGUUUGGCAGAUGGUGUUGGUCUAUGGUUCUGCUUAUUUGGAAUUCGAAAUGGAUUUUGUGGCUGAACUUCAUGAUACUUUGAAUAAUGCUUCUUAUCCUAUUAUGGUUUGUGGGGAUUUCAGUUUGGUUUGAAGUGAAGCUGAGAAAAGCAGUGGGCAAAUUAACCAGCAAACUAAUUUCAUCUUUAAUGAUUGGAUCAAUAGAUGGGCCCUGAUGGAGAUUUCUAUUUCCAAAAGAGUCUUUACCUGGUCUAAUAGCCAGAGUUCUCUGAUUUUUGCCGUUCUUGAUAGAGUGUUCACUUCUGUGGACUGGGAUGCACACUUUCCCUUUUCAACUCUAACUGCGCUCCCUAGGGUUGGGAGUGAUCACACGCCUUUAGUCCUUGACACUGGUGCUAGAGCUCCAACUAACCCCAAACCAUUUAGGUUUGAAAAAUGGUGGUUGUCUCAACCUGGGUUUCAUCAUAUGGUUGCAGAAGCUUGGAACUCUGUGUCCUCUUCUAAUUCUUCUGCUGACAACUAGAUGACAAAAGCUAGGUGUCGGUGUCAAAACCGGCGGAUCUCGGGUAGGGGGUCCCGAACUAUGCGUCAAGGCCGGAUGGUAACAGGAGACAAGGGACACGAUGUUUUUACCCAGGUUCGGGCCCUCUCGAUGGAGGUAAUACCCUACUCCUGCUCGAUUAAUAUUGAUGAUAUGGGUAGUACAAGAGUAGAUCUACCACGAGAUCAAGGAGGCUAAACCCUAGAAGCUAGCCUAUGGUAUGAUUGUUGUAUAUGGAGUUGAUGUCCUACGGACUACAACCCUCUGGUUUAUAUAGACACCGGAUAGGGUUAGGGUUACACAGAGUCAGUUACAAUGGUAGGAGAUCUUGAAUAUCCGCAUCGCCAAGCUUACCUUCCACGCCAAGGAAAGUCCCAUCCGGACACGGGACGAAGUCUUCAAUCUUGUAUCUUCAUAGUCCUGGAGUCCGGCUGAAGGUAUAGUCCGGCUACCCGAACACCCCCUAAUCCAGGACUCCCUCAGUAGCCCCUGAAUCAGGCUUCAAUGAUGACGAGUCCGGCGCGUAGAUUGUCUUCGGCAUUGCAAGGCGGGUUCCUCCUCCAAGUCCUUCAUAGAAGAUUGUAAACACCAAGAGUAGUGUCCGGCUCUGCAAAAUAAGUUUCCACAUAUUGCCAUAGAGAGAAUAAUAUAAACACAAAUCAAAUCUGCUGACGUAUUCCGCAGUGCGUCAUCACACUACGGCCAAGUCCUUUACUCGAAUCGUUUUUACUUUUCCACCUCGGCACGUUUUGUGAGGCGGUUUCCUUGACACGUCUUGUCAAAGCAGAGAACGUGUACCCCCUUUAUGGGAUUCUCAUCAGUAUGGACGUGGGUAACCCAACUGCGCCUUUUAUCACGGCGCUUGGCAGGCAAGCGAGUUUUACUAGGCUGGUGGGGACGCACAACCGCAUCCACCCAUAUAAGGGGAUAAGGAUCCACCUUUUUACCUACGCCUUUUUCCUCCUUUGUCUAUCCAUCUCCUGCGUACUCGAGCUCCAGCGCCCAAGCCCGCACUUCCCACCUCAACCUUCUCCAGCAAUGUCCGGAGCGGGAGGCAAGUGGAUGGUCUCCUCCGCUACGGAGGGCCAAGUGAAGAAGCUAAGGAAGGCUGGAUACCUGGCUAAGGACAUCGCGCACCGGCUUCCCGAAAAGGGGCAGAUUCUCCCCACCCCAAGGCCCCAUGAGAGGGUAGUAUUUCUUCCCCACUUCCUCCGCGGACUGGGUUUUCCACUACACCCAUUUGUCCGGGGGCUCAUAUUCUACUACGGCUUGGAUUUCCACGAUCUGGCCCCGAACUUCAUCCUCAACAUCUCGGCGUUUAUAGUCGUGUGUGAGGCUUUCCUCCGCGUCUGCCCUCAUUUCGGCCUCUGGCUCAAGACCUUCAACGUCAAGCCCAAGGUGGUGCGCGGCAGCCAGGCGGAGUGCGGAGGUGCCAUGGCGGGCAAGAUGGCCAACGUCCUAUGGUUCGAGGGCUCUUUUGUGGAGACCCUAAAGGGGUGGCAAUCCGGGUGGUUUUACAUCACCGAGCCACGCGAUCCGAGCUGGAUCGCAGCCCCCGAGUUCCGAUCCGGACCCCCCAUGCGGCAUAUGUCCUGGAAAGAGAUGGGCCUGUCGUGGGGUGACGAAAAAGAGGUGACCGGAUUGCAAACAUGCAUCCAGUCCCUGGUGAACAAGCCAAUCUGGCUUUUUAAUGUAAUCCAGGUUAUGCUCGUCCGCCGGAUCCUCCUGUGCCAACAACGGGAUUUUAAUCCGUGGGAGUUCGACCCGGCGCAGCACCAAACCCUUAGCAGGAUCUUCGACACGACGUACGAAGAUGGCUGGAAGGUGCUAUUCAAGGGCGCCGAGGCUCCCGCAUCCGCUUCCGAGGACCGCGGAUAUAGCUCACAGCGUCACGCUAGCGAGGUAAGCUAUCUUCACCUUUUAUAGGAUGUUAAGCUUUUUUCAUAGUUUGACUCUAUGCGGGAUCUAAACUCCCUUACCUUUGACAGGCUUGGCGAGCGAUAUCCGGACCGAUUAACUGUCCGGCUCCGCUGCCCGAAGACCCAGCCCCAGCUCUACUAGUUAAGCUGGUGGUUCCGGCGCCUUAUGUGGGGCCGGAGAAGAAGGCCAAGAAGAAGAAGACCACAGGGACUCGAAAGAGUGCCUGUAACGUGGUGGUGUCGGACUCGUCAUCCGACGAGUCCGAGACGCCCUCUUCCCGUGAAAACGAGGAGGAGGAAGAAGAAAACUCUCCCCCCCCCAGCGGAGGGAGGAGAGAAGAGGAAGGCCGCCCCAACGGGGGAGGCCGAGGGGUUUAGGAAAAGGAAGACCCCUCCACCGGACUACUCCCCCGACGCCGAAGAGGGCGGAGAGGAGUGGCCAAACAGGGCCAAGCGUCCGGUGAAAUCGUAAGUUCGGAUAUCAGAGUAACUCAUGAUGUUCCUUUGUUGCACAGCUUUCCCUAAUGCCGAACGUAAUUAUGCAGCCCGCCCCGGGCCGAAUUCAACGAAUCGUCGAGUGGCUCCCUGGACUCAUCGGACGUGAACUCAGUUUCGCCCGCUGUCUUCCCCCGCACUGAAGACGACGCUGAAGUGGUGUUGCGACAAGCUCCAGGGCAGGGGGAGGUGGUCCCGGAGGAGCCGCAAGGCAACCUCCUGGACUCCAGGAGUGAAGGGGAUAAGGCCCCCCAGGGCUCCAAGUCUGGCUUUGUGCUGGACACUGCGCCGAAAUCUUCCACAGUUCCGGACCGCGGUAGGCGAACUCCUUCCAAGAGGAGCAAGCCUUCUGAGCCGGCGGCCUCCGUCCAACCGGAGGUGCCAGACAAUCUGCUGGAGGUGCUUGACGGCGCCUCCAUCGACGAGGGGCACCGUACUAUUAUGAGUACGGUGAUCCAGAAGGUUCAGUCCGUCAAGAGUGGACUGACUGAAGCUUUCGCUAGCCUUCUAACAGGCUUCGAGGUAAGUAAAAAUAUGUAAAAAUAUUACCGCCUAGACAGUAGCCCCUGAUGCUUUGUUUGGCAUUCGGAAAGAAAAGACGAAUAGAGGAUCUAUUAAAUAUCGCAGGAGUCUAACAAAAAAGAGUCAAUAUGCGUAUGCAGGCUUCGCUGCUAUCCACCGCCGCACUGACUGCGGAGGUGGGUGUCCUGAAGCAGGACCUCGAGCGGACCGAGCAAGAGCUCGGCCUUGCCAAGCGGCGGCUCGAGGAGAAAGAAGGUAAGAAAUACCUUACAGAAAAAGUGCCUAUAAAAAGGCGUGAUUGCAAAAAAAUAACAGGAUUGUACUGCUUAUUGUAUGGGCCACGACUGAGGUUGCGACCCUUAAGCAGGCGCUGUCUAAGGCCAAAAAGAAAACGGCCGCGGAGCGCACCGAGCGAGACAGACUUGGGGCUCAGGUCGGCGAGGUGCAGCAAGAGCUUCAGGCUCUCAUGAAAAAACAUGAGAGUUUGGAGCUUGAGUCAAAGGCGCAAGCAUCCGAGCUCGCGACGGCCCUUGAGACUGCCAAGUCUGCCAAGGCCGAAGCCCAAAAGGCCCUCCAAGAGUUGGAGGAGAUGAGGAAGAUAGCAGCGGGUAAGGCAUUCUUUAUGCAAAGCAGAAAUAUAAAAGUAAACUACUUGUUACUUACCCGAAUCCGAAGCUCUCCAGGGGCAUUCGCAGAUCUUCCCCAUAGCGUAUCCGCCGCCACCGUAUUCUACCGAGCUGAAGAGGGCAGCUCGACGGAGAAGGUGUUCUGGUCUUAGUAUUCUGGGGCCGGACACCCUAUGCCUUUGAGCGACCAGCUGAAACAGCUGGUCGAGCUCCACAAGGCGGCCGAACAGGCCAUGAAGGGCUUCAUAGUUCGGCUGUGGCCCGAAGAGGCCCUGCCAGGGAGCUAUUUCGGGCUGGUGCGGCGGCUAGUGGAGGCCUGUCUGAGGCUCGAGGUCAUCAAGCACUCCGUCUGCAUCGAAGGUGCCCGUCGGGCCCUUGCCCGUGCAAAGGUGCAGUGGGGUAAGCUGGACGGUGAGAAGCUUGUGAAGGACGGGCCGCCGCCGGGGAAGGAGCAUCGCAAGCCCGAGAACUACUACAAGGAUGUUCUUGCAGGUGCCCGCCUUGUGGCGGAUGAAUGUACCAAGGAUGUGAUUUUUGAAUGAACUCGCUCGUGUUUAUCCUGUGCGCUGAAAACUUGUUCAUAUGCGCUAAGCAAUGCUUAUUGAAUUUAAAAUAUUACUUUCUGCGCGGUUGUUUAUCAAAAAAUUGAGAGAUGGCCAGUCGUCGUCUUCUGCCCCCAUGCCACUAGUGUUGGGGUGUUCGGGAUAAACCUGAGCGCUCUUUUUCCCAUAGUUGGGUCCUUCGAGGGAGGCGCUUAGCACAACGAACCAGGCAAUCGGACUAUAAUGCUUGAACACUCUCACUUAGCCAUAGAACUCUAUAAUUUUAAAUUUCGGCGAAGCCCCUAGUUCGGAAGACCGAGUUCGGGGCGCUAUCCACGCCUUGGCUGGACAAAGCCAGCUCCUCGCUCGAAGCGGCAUAAGUCUUUAGGGACUCGAAAAACCUCUCGAACGGCGACCGAUUUGUCGCCUCAUCAUGACAGUCAGUUUUAGCUUUCUCCACUGAGGUGCUUAACCCAGCUGAACCGGGGCACAAUCGCAGUGGUUCUCCUAGUGCUACCUUAGCUGAUAUAGCGGAACGUAAGGAACCAAAACAUAGGAGCCGGGCAAACCCAACAAUUGACCCAAAUCAUGAUUCGGAGCCGAUGCAUAUAGUGCUAUAAGUUCGGGGUGCCGCACUUGUGAGAGUGUACGGAAUUCUCACACCAUAAUGAGGUGUACUGAAGCCCCUGGCGUGUUUGUCGUACCAUGGUGUAUGGGUGCAAUCAUGUCAUUUAAUAAACAUAUAUGUGAAAUGAGGAUAAUGCGAAAAAUAGACCAAAAGCUAUGCAUUGUUUAUAGAGAGGCUAUUUAUCAAAGUCGAACGAUACAAAUAGUGCGAUAAGCAAAAAGAUAUUGGACUAUUUAACAUGUCCUGACCAGGGGCAGGCCGCGGAAUUGUAUACAAAACAGGUAUACCGCUCGUAACAGAGACCACCUGGGAGUUCCAUAAUGCGGCAUGGCUUGUCUGCCUCCCUGGAUCUUGCAUUGUUUGUGCGGCAGUUGAAUUGCCGAACAGGUCGUCCGAAGUAUGGAGUCCUGAAAAUAAGAAAAAAUUAAAAAAAGAACCCGGCAGCCCCUAGUACAUUUUAAGCCGUAUUUUGGGCGUGCCGUUAUUGUGCCCCUUCCCCUAUGCCCAUGGUAUUUCAAGGGCGUAGUUAUGUACACGAGGCACUGGUUUCGCUAUGUUGCGAGAGCUGGGGUUGGGGCCGCAUUGCUACGCUUGCUCAGAACGUGCCAGGCGGUCCUGCUGUGGGUUACUCCGGGCGCGCUUGGCGGUGUCUGGCUUUUUAACGGCCGGACUGGAGAAUUGCCUAAGAAGGCUACUUUGUACUUCCGCUGCGAGAGCCGCCGUGUGCUCCUCCGUACGGAGGGAGCGUUCGGUGUUUCCAUUGACCGUGAUUACUCCUCGAGGGCCUGGCAUCUUGAGCUUGAGAUAUGCGUAGUACGGCACCGCAUUGAACUUUGCGAAUGCGGUUCGUCCGAGCAGGGCGUGAUAGCCACUGCGAAACGGGACUAUAUCGAAGAUUAACUCUUCGCUUCGGAAAUUGUCCGGGGAUCCGAAGACCACGUCAAGUGUUACUGAGCCUGUACAGUUGGCUUCUACACCUGGUAUAAUGCCUUUAAAGGUCAUUUUUGUGGGACUAAUCCUUGAGGGAUCUAUGCCCAUUUUCCGCACUGUAUCCUGGUAAAGUAGGUUGAGGCUACUGCUGCCGUCCAUGAGGACUCUUGUGAGAUGAAAUCCGUCGAUGAUUGGGUCGAGAACCAAUGCGGCGAAGCCGCCAUGACGGAUGCUAGUGGGAUGGUCCCUUCGAUAAAAAGUGAUCGGGCAGGAGGACCAUGGGUUGAACUUUGGGGCGACUGGCUCCAUCGCGUAUACGUCCCGUAGCGCACGCUUCCGCUCCCUCUUGGGAAUGUGGGUUGUGUAUAUCAUGUUCACCGUCCGCACUUGUGGGGGAAAGCCCUUCUGUCCAUUGUUGUUCGGCGGCCUAGGCUCCUCCUCGUUGUCGUUGUGCAGCCCCUUGUCUUUUUUCGGCUCUUAACUUGCUUGCCUGCUUGAACACCCAACAAUCCCUGUUAGUGUGAUUGGCUGGCCUUUCGGGGGUGCCAUGUAUCUGGGACAAGCAGUCGAGUAUUCGGUCCAAACUGGACGGGCCCUGAGUAUUCUUUUUGGAUGGCUUUUUCCGCUGACCAGAUUUAUAGCCUCUGAAUCCGGCAUUGACUGUCGUGUCUUCAUUGUUGUCGCUGCUAACAAGGCGUUUUUGCUUAUUCCGACGUGUCCUGCCACUUUUGUCCUUGGUAUCCGAAUUACCAGGGUUCCUUGAUAAGUUGUUACUGCGAGCUAGCCAGCUGUCUUCUCCCGCGCAAAAGCGGGUCAUGAGUGUCGUGAGGGCUGCCAUAGAUUUUGGCUUUUCCUGUCCCAGGUGCCGGGCAAGCCACUCGUCGCGGAUGUUAUGCUUGAAGGCUGCUAGGGCCUCUGCGUCCGGGCAAUCGACUAUCUUGUUUUUCUUUGUUAGGAACCGUGUCCAGAAUUGCCUGGCCGAUUCCUCUGGCUGCUGAAUUAUGUGGCUUAAGUCAUUGGCAUCCGGUGGUCGCACGUAAGUGCCCUAGAAGUUGUCGAGGAAUGCGGCUUGCAGGUCCUCCCAAGAAUCGAUUGAGUCUGCUGGCAAGUUGUUAAGCCAAUGCCGGGCCGGUCCUUUAAGUUUGAGCGGGAGGUAUUUGAUGGCGUGUAGAUCAUCACCGCGUGCCAUGUGGAUGUGAAGGAGAUAAUCCUCGAUCCAUACCGCCGGAUCUGUUGUGCCAUCGUAUGAUUCGAUGUUUACGAGUUUGAAACCCUCUGGGAUUUUAUGAUCCAUUACUUCAUCCAUGAAGCAUAGCGGGUGUGCGGCGCCUCUGUACUGGGCUAUAUCACGACGUAGCUCGGAAGAGCUAUGUCUGUUGUGUUUGGCCCGGCCGGAUUUCUUGUAUCCGGAGUGAAGAUCAUCGUUACGUGUCGUAGGGCGCCUGCACGAUCCAUAGAUUGAUCUUGUUUGUCUUGCCUUAUCCUCCAGUACGUCUCGCAGGUCUGGCGCAUUUUCCCGUGUCUUAGUUGAGCAGCGUCGGGACAUGGCUUGGGUGGAGGGCCGAGAGGCCUCUCUGUCGCGGCCGCGAGGUGACCGGUCUGUCAUGUCGUGCGCUGGUGAUGUAGGUGCUUCCUCCUCUGAUCGGGGUAGCGGCCUGCGCUUUGGGUAACUCUUGGAGGGGCGUUCGAGUUCGUACUCUUCGACUGCAAGGACUUCAGUCCAUCUGUCAGCUAGCAAAUCUUGGUCAGCUCUAAGAUGUUGCUGCUUUUUCUUGAGGCUGCUUGUCGUGGCUAAAAGCCUGUGUUUGAAACGCUCUUGUUCGGCGGGGUCUAAUGGUACGACGAAUUCGUCGUCAUCGAGGCUUGCCUCGUCUUCGGAGGGAGGCAUAUAGUUAUCAUCCUCGACCUCUCGGUCUGCCGCUCUCUCAUGAGGGCUGGCCUCUCCAUCUUCCUAUGCCGAAUCUUGCUAUGGUGGGUGUUCUUCGGCGCUAUCCGAGGUAGUAUUAUCUCCCGUGCCGGAAUCACCGUUUUUGCUUUGGCUGGAUUUAGAGCGGCGCCGCUGACACCGGCGCUUUGGCUGUUUCUUGGAGGUGUCAUCCCCCGCUAUUCCAUCGCCAUCUCCAUCUUUUGGAGUAUCCACCAUAUAUAUGUCAUAUGACGAGGUGGCCUUCCAGCACCCUACAGGUGCUGGUUCCUGUUCGUCUCCUACAUCGUCGUCCAUACCAUCGAUGUCUUCGGAGCCGAAGUCAAGCAUGUCGGUUAAAUCGUCGACAGUGGCUACAAAGUGGGUGGUGGGUGGGCUUUGAACUUCUUCAUCGUCCGUAUCCCAUCCUCGCUGACCGUAAUCCGGCCAGGGCUCUCCUUAUAAAGAGAGAGACUUGAGAGAAUUCAGGACGUCGCCAAAAGGCGAGUGCUGAAAGAUGUCCGCGGCGGUGAACUCCAUUAUUGGCGCCCAAUCGGAUUCGAUCGGCAGGGGCGCAGGGAGUUCGGAGUCCGGAGAGGAGUCCGGAUCCUCGGAGUCAUGAGUCACGCGGAGUGUGGGGCCGGCGUUCGGCUCGAUCGCCUUUGAGAUUGCAGCCCCCGAGGUGACGUGCAACCACUCAUCCUCGACUGACACAACUGGCUCCGAAUUAAGGGUCAGAGCUGGUGCGUUUGCGGCCUCCAGGACACUGUCCGGAGGCAGAGCUAGAUCAUGCCCCUCGAGAUAGUGCGGCACGCUUGGCCGUGGCUCGAACCCAUCGAAGAUCAAGUCUCCGCGGAUGUCAGCCGUGUAGUUUAGGCUUCCAAACCUGACUUGAUGGCCAGGGGCGUAGCUUUCGAUCUGCUCCAGGUGGCCAAGCGAAUUGGCCCGCAGUGCGAAGCCGCCGAAGACGAAGAUCUAUCCGGGGAGAAAAGUCUCGCCCUGGACUGCAUCGUUGUUGAUGAUCAAAGGAGCCAUCAGGCCUAAAGGCGACGACACAGAGGAACUCUCAAUGAAAGCACCAAUGUCGGUGUCAAAACCGGCGGAUCUCGGGUAGGGGGUCCCGAACUGUGCGUCAAGGCCGGAUGGUAACAGGAGACAAGGGACACGAUGUUUUUACCCAGGUUCGGGCCCUCUCGAUGGAGGUAAUACCCUACUCCUGCUUGAUUAAUAUUGAUGAUAUGGGUAGUACAAGAGUAGAUCUACCACGAGAUCAUGGAGGCUAAACCCUAGAAGCUAGCCUAUGGUAUGAUUGUUGUAUAUGGAGUUGAUGUCCUACGGACUACAACCCUCCGGUUUAUAUAGACACCGGAUAGGGUUAGGGUUACACAGAGUCAGUUACAAUGGUAGGAGAUCUUGAAUAUCCGCAUCGCCAAGCUUGCCUUCCACGCCAAGGAAAGUCCCAUCCAGACACGGGACGAAGUCUUCAAUCUUGUAUCUUCAUAGUCCUAGAGUCCGGCUGAAGGUAUAGUCCGGCUACCCGAACACCCCCUAAUCCAGGACUCCCUCAAUAGGGUUCUUAGAAAGAAAAUCAAGGGAUGGAGUAUUAACAGAGAAGCUGCUUUGAAAAAGAAAAAGAAGGCACUCCUUAUGUAGUUUGAUGCUCUUGAUGUACUCUCUAAAUCUCAGCAGUUCUCUGCUGAUGAUUUUGAGAGGAUGAAAAAUGUCAAAAAGGAUCUUGGUGAUAUUUGGAAAAAAGAAGAGACUGCCUUAUGGCAGAGAUCUAGGGACAGGAAAAUUUUAGAGGGAGAUAGAAACAAUGCUUACUUUCAAGCUCUUGCUAACCAUAGACAUAGAAAGAACCACAUUACUGAACUGAAUAGCCCUAAUGGGGUGGUUUCCUCCACCAAAGAUAUGCUUGAUGUGGCUACUUCCUUUUAUAAGGAGUUGUUUGCUUUUGAACCUAGACCUGACAUACAUCUAGAUGCUGAUUUCUGGGCUACUGAUGAGAUGGUUAGUGAUGAGGAGAGAGAAUUUGUAGAGAGAUCUUUUUCUGAAGAUGAAAUCAAACAAGCUAUAAUGAGCUCCUAUGCUAGUGAUGCUCCUGGCCCUGAUGGCCUUUCCUUUCUAUUCUACCAAACCUUUUGGGGCGUGAUUAAAAAAUAUUUUAUGUGGAUGGUUAGAGAUUUUGAGAAUGGUGUUCUAUAUAUGUAUAAGCUGAAUUAUGCCAUUAUUACCCUCAUACCGAAAGUUCCUCUGGCUAGAGAUAUGAAAAAAAUUAGACCUAUUACUCAGGGUAAUUGUGCUGUUAAGAUUUUCUCCAAAGCCAUGACCACUAGGGUUUCCCUACUUUGUGAUAAACUUAUUUCCUCUAAUCAAAUUGCCUUUAGUAAAGGCAGGUUCAUUUUGGAAAGUGUGGUCAUGGCUCAUGAUGUUAUCCAUGAGAUUCAUAGAUCUGGAUCUAGUGGUUUAAUCCUUAGGCCUCCUUUGGUUCAUAGGAUAGGAAUGUUAUAGGAAUAGGAAAAUCAUAGGAAAUGAGAUGACAUGUAUCUCAAUUCCUAUAGAGAAAGAGAUGUCAUUUGAUGCAUAGGAUAGGAAUUUUUCCAUUGAGUCCUAGCUAAUGUUUUUUCCUCCAAAAUGUGAAGGAUUGAUUUCUAUCCUACAUAGGAAUAGGAAUCCAUUCCUACAAACCAAAGGGCUUCAAAGGAAAUUUUCCUAUGCAAAUCCUAUCCUAUAGAAAUCCUAUGAGAUUCCUACAAACCAAAGAAGGCCUUAAACUGGACUAUGAGAAAGCCUAUGAUAGAGUGAGCUCGCACUUUCUGAAGGAAAUGCUUCUUUCUAGAGGCUUUGGCAGUAAGUGGGUGGGCUGGGUGUUGUCUACUAUUCACCAAGGGACAUUCCAGGUCAGAAUUAAUGACACCAAUGGCCCUCAAUUUGUUGGUGGUAAAGGUUUAAAACAAGGCGACCCACACUCACCCCUACUGUUCAACAUGGUGGCUAAUGUAUUCUCUAAAAUAUUACAUAAAGUUGUUAAUAGAAACUUGAUAUGUGGGAUCUUACCUCAUGCAAUUCUUGGGGGUGUGGUCAGCCUGCAAUAUGUUGACGAUACUAUCCUCUUCCUUGACAAUUUUGUAGAAUGUGCCAAAAACCUGAAGUGUAUUUUAACUUGCUUUGAGAUACUUUCUAGUUUGAAGAUUAAUUUUCACAAAAGUGAUAUGCACACUAUUAACAUUUCAGAUCAAAUGGCUAAAGAAUUUCUCAAGUGUUUUGUUGUCAGCUUGGGGAUUUCCCCUUUAAAUAUUUAUGUGUACCUUUGCAUUUUAAAAAGCUUAUGAGAGAAUACCUUCAACCCAUUAUAGACAGGAUUGUUAAGAACAUAGCUGGGUGGUUGGGGAGAUUUCCCUCAUAUAGAGGCAAAUUGAUUUUGCUUACUACCUGCAUUACCAGUAUCCCUGCCUACUUGAUGUCCAUUGUUAAAUUUCCUAAAUGGGCCAUUGAUAUGAUUACUUCUCAGAUGUCUCAUUUUUUCUGGGGAAAUGUGGGUGAUAAUCAUAAAUAUCACCUUGCUAGCUGGGGCCCGAUCUCCAGGAAGAGUUUGGUGGUUUGGGGGUUCCUAAUCUUAGAGAUUUCAACAUGGCCCUUUUGGCUUCUUGGGGGAGAAGAUUUUUUGAUGAUAGAGUUAGUGAUUGGAAAAAGAUUUUGGCUUACAAAUAUAAUGUUAAUAAUCCCAACUUCUUUAGUACUAGAACUACGUUGGGAUCCCCCUUUAUGAAGAGCUUAGCUUGGGCGUUGGCAGCAGCUAAAAAUUUCUAUAGGUGGAUUCCUGGGGAUGGCAAGAAUAUUGCCUUCUGGCACGAUACUUGGAUUGGGGAUUGUUCCCUAAAAACUGCCUUUUGGGACUUGUCUGAAAUCUGUCAACAACAAGAAGCUACUCUGGUGCAAGUUUGGGUGGGGUGAACUUCAACUCACUUUUAAGAGGUGUGUGGACGGAGAGGCUCUAUCCAGAUGGGUGUUCUCGUUAAUAGAGUAAAACAGGUGGUGCUAUCUGAUUCCCCAAAUCAGCCUAUGUGGAUGUUGGACUCCUCUAGUAAAUAUUCUGUCAAAUCUUUUUACAAAAUGAUUAACUUUGGAGGGAUCCUGAGGGAGUCCUGGAUUAGGGGGUGUCCGGAUGGCCGGACUAUACCUUCAGCCGGACUCCUGGACUACGAAGAUACGAGAUUGAAGACUUCAUCCCGUGUCCGGAAGGGACUUUUCUUGGCGUGGAAGGGAAGCUUGGCGAUACGAAUAUGCAGAUCUCCUACCAUUGUAACCGACUUUGUGUAACCCUAACCCUCUCCGGUGUCUAUAGAAACCGGAGGGUUUUAGUCCGUAGGACAACAUACACAACAACAAUCAUACCAUAGGCUAGCUUCUAUGGUUUAGCCUCUCCGAUCUCGUGGUAGAUCUACUCUUGUACUACCCAUAUCAUCAAUAUUAAUCAAGCAGGACAUAGGGUUUUACCUCCAUCGAGAGGGCCCGAACCUGGGUAAAACUUCGUGUCCCUUGCCUCUUGUUACCAUCCAGCCAAGACGCACAGUUCGGGACCCCCUACCCGAGAUCGGACGGUUUUGACACCGACAUUGGUGCUUUCAUUGAGAGUUCCUCUGUGUCGUCGCCGUCAGGCUUGAUGGCUCCUACGAUCAUCAAUGGCGAGGUAGUCCAGGGUGAGACCUUCCUCCGGGACAGAUCUUCGUCUUCGGUGGCUUCGCACUGCGGGCCAAUUCGCUUGGCCAUCUGGAGCAGAUCGAAAGCUAUGCCCUUGGCCGUCAGGUCAGAUUUGGAAGUUUAAACUACACGGCUGACAUCCGCGGGGACUUGAUCUUCAACGGAUUCGAGCCACUGUUGAGCGCGCCGCACUGUCAUGAUGAGCAUGAUCUAGCUCUGCCGCCGAACAGUGCCCUGGAGGCCGCACCCGCAUCGGCUUCGACCCCUCCACGCCCUUGCCAAUCGAAUCCGAUUAGGCGCCGAUUAUGGAGUUUACUGCCACGGACAUCUUUCAGCACUCUCCUUUCGGCGAUAUUCUGAAGACACUGAAGUCUCUCUCUUUAUCAGGAGAGCCCUGGCCGGACUACGGUCAGCAAGGGUGGGAUUCGGACGAUGAAGAAAUUCAAAGCCCACCCACCACCCACUUCGUAGCCACUGUCGACGACUUAACCGACAUGCUCGACUUCGACUCCGAAGACAUCGACGGUAUGGACGCCGAUGAAGGAGACGAUGAAGAACCAGCGCCUAUCAGGCCCUGGAAAGCCACCUCGUCAUAUGAUAUAUACAUGGUGGACACCCCAAAAGAAGGAGAUGGCGAUGGAACAGCGGAGGAUGACCCCUCCAAGAAACAGCCUAAGCGCCAGCGUCAGCGGCGCCGCUCAAAAUCCCGCCAAAACAAAUACGGUGAUUCCAGCACGGAAGAUAAUAAUACUCCGGAAAGUGCCGAAGAAAACCCCCUCCAGCAAGAUUUGGCAUGGGGGGAUGGAGAAACCAGCCCUCAUGAGAGAGCAGCAGACAGAGAGGUCGAGGACAAUAAUUAUAUGCCUCCCUCCGAAGACGAGGCAAGCCUCGACGACGACGAAUUCGUCGUGCCAGAGGAUCCCGUCGAGCAAGAGCGUUUUCAAUGCAGGCUUAUGGCCACGGCAAGAAGCCUCAAGAAUAAACAGCAACAGCUAAGAGCUGAUCAAGAUUUGCUAGUCGACAGAUGGACUGAUGUCCUUGCGGCUGAAGAGCAUAAACUCGAACGCCCCUCCAAGAGCUACCCAAAUCGCAAGUUGCUACCCCGAUUAGAGGAGGAAGCACUUGAUGCGGCCGACCGGCCACCUCGUGGCCGCGACAGAGAGGCCUCUCGGCCCUCCACUCAAGCCGCACCCCGUACCAAGGCACGGGAAUAUGCGUCGGACUUACAAGAUAUGUUGGAGGACAAGGCAAGGCAGACAAGAUUGAUCUAUGGAUCGCGUGGGCACCCCACAGCUCGAGACGGUAACUGUCACGCUGGCCACAAAUUCGGCAGGGCCGAACACAGUAGACAAAUCUCAUUGGAGCUACGUCGUGAUAUAGCCCAGUACAGAGGCGCCGCACACCCACUAUGCUUCACAGACGAAAUAAUGGAUCAUCAAAUCCCCGAGGGUUUCAAACCCGUAAAUAUCGAAUCAUAUGAUGGCACAACAGAUCCCGCGGUAUGGAUCGAGGAUUAUCUCCUUCAUAUCCACAUGGCCCGCAGCGACGAUUUCCACGCCAUCAAAUACCUCCCACUCAAGCUUAAAGGAGCAGCUCAGCAUUGGCUUAACAGCUUGCCAACAGGAUCAAUCAGUUGUUGGGAGGACCUGGAAGCCGUAUUCCUCGACAAUUUCCAGGGCACUUAUGUGCGACCCCCAGACGCCGAUGACCUAAGUCACGUAAUUCAGCAGCCAGAGGAAUCGGCCAGGCAAUUCUGGACACGGUUCCUAACAAAGAAAAAUCAAAUAGUCGACUGUCCGGACGCUGAGGCCCUAGCAGCCUUCAAGCACAAUAUCCGUGACGAGUGGCUUGCCCGGCACCUUGGACAGGAAAAGCCGAAGUCUAUGGCAGCACUCACGACACUCAUGACCCGCUUUUGCACGGGAGAAGACAGCUGGCUUGCUCAUAGCAACAAUAUGACCAAGAACCCUGGUAAUUCGAUACCAGGGACAGUAGUGGCAGGUCGUGUCGCAACAAGCAGAAGCGCCGCAUUAACGGCGAUAAUGCUGAGGAUACGGCAGCUAAUGCCGGAUUCAGAGGCUCUAAAUCCGGUCAGCGGAAAAAUUCAUUCAAAAGGAAUCCCAGGGGGCCGUCCAAAUUGGACUAAAUACUCGACCGCUUGUGCCAGAUACAUGGCACCCCCGAAAAGCCGGCCAAUCACACCAAUAGGGAUUGUUGGGUGUUCAAGCAGGCAGGCAAGUUAAACGCCGAAAAUGAAGACAAGGGGCUGCAUAGCGAUGACGACGAGGAGCCCCGGCCAGCGAACAACAGUGGACAUAAGGGUUUUCCCCCACAAGUGCGGACGGUGAACAUGAUAUACGCAACCCACGUCCCCAAAACGGAGCGGAAGCGCGCGUUAAGGGACGUAUACGCGGUAGAGCCAGUCGCCCCAAAGUUCAACCCAUGGUCCUCCUGCCCGAUCACCUUUGAUCGAAGGGACCAUCCCACUAGCAUCCGUUAUGGCGGAUUCGCCGCAUUGGUCUAGAGCCAAUAAUUGACGGAUUUCACCUCACUAGAGUCCUUAUGGAUGGCGGCAGUAGCCUGAACCUGCUUUACCAAGAUACAGUGCGGAAAAUGGGCAUAGAUCCCUCGAGGAUUAAGCCCACCAAAACGACCUGUAAAGGCGUAAUACCAGGUGUAGAGGCCAACUGUACAGGCUCAGUCACACUUGAAGUGGUCUUCGGAUCUCCGGAUAAUUUCCGAAGCGAGGAGUUAAUCUUCGACAUAGUCCCAUUCCGCAGUUGCUAUCACACACUGCUUGGACAAAGCGCAUUCGCCAAGUUUAAUGCGGUACCGCACUACGCAUACCUUAAGCUCAAGAUGCUAGGCCCUCGAGGAGUAAUUACGGUCAAUGGAAACACCGAACGCUCCCUCCGAAUGGAGGAGCACACAGCGGCCCUUAUAGCGGAAGUACAAAGCAGCCUCUCCAAGCAGUUCUCUAGUCCGGCCAUUAAACGACCGGACACCGUCAAGUGCGCCCGGAGUAACCUACAACAAGACCGCCCGGCACGAUCCGAGCAGGCGUAGCAAUGCGGCCCCAACCCCAACCCUCGCAAAAAUGCGACACCAGUACUUCGUGUACAUAACUACGCUCUAGAAAUACCAUGGGUACAGGGGAAGGCGCACCAUCACGGCACGCCCGAAACACGGCUUAAACCGCACCAGGGGCUGCCGACUUUUUAAUUUUCUCUUACUUUCAGGACUCCACACUUUGGAAGGCCUGUUCGGCAGUUCAAUUGCCGCACAAACGAUGCAAGAACCACGGAAGCAGACAAGCCACGCCGCAUUACGGAACUCCCAGGUGGUCUGUAUCACGAGCAGUAUACCUGUUUCGCAUACUAUUCUGCAGCUUGCCCCCGGAACGGACAUGUUACAUAGUCCAACCUUUUGCUUAUCGCAUUAUUUGUAUCGUUUUGCUUUGAUCGCAGCCCUCUUUAAUAAACAGUGCAUAGCUUUUUUCUAUUUUUGCAUUACCCCGAACUUAUAGCGUUAUAUGCAUCGGCUCCGAAUCAUGUCUUGGGUCAAUAGUUGGGUUUGCCCGGCUCCUAUGUUUUCGUGCCUUACGUUCCGCUAUAUCGGCUAAGGUAGCACUAGGAGAACCACUGCGAUUGUGCCCUAGUUGAGCUGGGUCGAGCACCUCAGUGGAGAAAGCUAAAACUGACUGUCAUGAUGAAGCGAGAGUAGGUCGCUGUUCGAGAGGUUUUUCGAGUCCCUAACGACUUAUGCCGCUUAGAGCGAGGACCGGCUCUGUCCGGCCAAGGCGUGGAUAGCACCCCGAACCCAGUCUUCCGAAUACCAGGGGCUUCACCGAAAUUUAAAAUUAUAGAAUUCUAUGGCUAAGUGAGAGUGUUCACACAUUAUAGUCCGAUUGCCUUGUUCGUUGGGCUGAGCACCUCCCUCGAAGGACCCAAACAUGGGAAAAAGAGCGCUCAGGUUUAUCCCCGAACACCCCAGCACUAGUGGCACGGGGGCAGAAGUCGACGACUAGCCAUCUCUCAGAAUUGAUAAAUAGCCGCACAGAAGGUAAUAUUUUAAAUUCCAAACAGCAUUGCUUAGCGCACAUGAACAAGUUUUCAGCGCACAGGACAAAACGAGCAAGUUUCACUCAAAAAUUACAUCCCUAGAACAUUCAUCCGCCACAAGGAAGGAACCCUUCAGAACAUCCUUAUAAUAAUUCUCGGGCUUGUGAUGCUCUUUCCCCAGCGGUGGCCCGUCCUUCACAACCUUCUCAGCAUCCAGCUUGCCCCAGUGCACCUUAGCACGGGCAAGGGCCCUACGGGCACCUUCAAUGCAGACGGAGCGCUUGAUGACUUCGAGCCUUGGACAGGCCUCCACCAGCCGCCGCACCAGCCCGAAAUAGCUCCCAGGCAGAGCCCCUCCAGGCCACAGCCGAACUAUGAGUCCCUUCAUGGCCUGUUCGGCCGCCUUGUGGAGCUCGACCAGUUGCUUCAGCUGGUCGCUCAGGGGCACGGGGUGUCCGGCCUCAGCAUACUGAGACCAGAACACCUUCUCUGUCGAGCUGCCCUCCUCGGCUCGAUAGAAUGCGGCGGCAUCGGACACACUUCGGGGAAGAUCUGCCAACGCUCCUGCAGAGCUCCGGAUUCGGGUAAGUAACAAGUAACUCAUGUUUAUGUGUUUGCUUUGCAUAAAGAAUACCUUACCCGCCGCUAUCUUCUUCACCUCAUCCAACUCCUGGAGGGUCCUCUGGGAUUCGGCCUUGGCAGACUUGGCAUUUUCAAUAGCCACCGCGAGCUCGGACGCUCGCGUCUUUGAGUCAAGCUCCAAACUCUCAUGUUUUUCCAUGAGAGCCUAGAGCUCUUGCCGUACCUUGCCAUCCUCGGCCUCAUACUUCUCCCGCUCGGUGCACUCCGUGGCCGCCCUCUUCUCGGCCUCGACCAGCACUUGCUUAAGGGUCGCCACCUCAGACGUGGCCCCUACAAUAGUCACGAUAAUCCUGUCAUUUUUUGCAAUUGCAUCUUUUUAUAUAUAUUUAAACAAGGUAUUUCUUACCUUCAUUGUUCUCGAGCUACUUCUUGGCACGCCCGAGCGCUUGCUCAGACCGCUCGAGGUUCUGCUUUAGCGUGUCCACUUCCGAAGUUAGUGCAGCGGACGCCAGCAGCGAAGCCUGCAUACGCAUAUUGACUCCUUUUUGUUAGACUCCUGUGAAUUUUAUUUGAUCCUCUAUUCGGCUUUUCUUCCCGAACAACAAACAGAGCAUCAGGGGCUACUGUCUAUGCAGUAAUACUAUUUACAACUUCUUUACUUACCUCAAAGCCUGUUAGAAGGCUAGUACAAGCUUCAGUCAGUCCGCUCUUGGCGGACUGAACCUUCUGGACCACCGCACUCAUAAUGGUGCGGUGCUCCUCGUCGAUGCAGGCGCCUUGGAGCACCUCCAACAGAUUGUCCGACGCCUCCGGUUGGACGGCGGUCACCGGCACGAUGGGUUUGCUCCUCUUGGAAGGAGGUCCCCCGCCGGACUCUGGAACCUUUGAAGGUUCCGGAGCGGUGUCCGGCCUAGAGCCGGACUUGGAUCCCUGGGGGGUUUCAUCCCCUUUACUCCUGGAGUCCGGGAGGUCGCCUUGCGGCGCCUCCAGGACCAGCUCCUCCUGGCUUGGAACCUGUUGGGACAACACUUCGGUGUCGUCCGUAGGGUGGGGGGAGGAAGCCGUCGGAAGCGAGUUCACAUCCGACGAGUCCAGCGAGCCGCUCGAUGAUGCGUCGAGCCGGUCUUUGGGUGGGCUGCAUAAACAUAUUCGACAUAAGGGAAAGCUGUGCAAUAAACGAAUACUAUGAAUUACUCUGGUAUCCGGAUACUUACGAUUUUGCCAGGGGCUUGGCCGUGGGUGGCCACUCCUCUCUGUCGUCAUCGGCGUCGGUGGAGUAGUCUGGAGGAAGGGUUUUCCCCUUCUUGGACCCUCCGGCCUCCCAGAGAGGGCGGCCUUCCUUUUCUUCUCUCCUCCCGCUGGAGGGGGAGAGGUCUCUUCUUAUUCCUCCUCGUCUUCACGGGAGGAAUGCGCCUCGGAACCGUCGGAUGAUGGAUCCGACACCUCCUGGCGCCAGGCACUCUUUCGAGUCCCCGUGGCCUUUUUCGUGGCCUUCUUCUCUGGCACCACAUAGGGUGCCGGAACCAGCAGCUUCGCCAAGCAAGCGUCCGCUGGGCCUUUGGGCAAAGGAGCCGGACAGUUGAUCUGUCCGGACGUCACCUGCCAAUCCUGUCAAAGGUAAGGGAGCUUAGAUCCCGCAUGGAGUCAAACUAUGAAAAACUGAUACCCUGUAAAAGGAAAAAACAGCUUACCGCAUGAGCUGACGCUGCGUACUGAAUCCGCGAUCCUCGGAAGCGGAUGCGGGGGCCUCGGCGCCCUUGAAAAGCACCUUCCAGGAAUCUUCGUACAUCGUGUCGAAGAGCGUGCUCAGAGUUUGGUGCCGCGCCGGGUCGAACUCCCACAGGUUGAAAGCCCGUUGUUGACACGGGAGGAUCAGGCGGAUGAGCAUAACCUGGACUACGUUGACAAGUUUGAGCUUCUUGUCCACCAGGGUUUGGACGCAUGUUUGGAGUCCGUUCAGCUCUCCUUUUUUACCCCACGAAAGGCCCGUCUCCUUCCAGGAGGUGAGCCGUGUAGGGGGUCCGGAUCGAAACUCGGGGGGUGCGACCCAUUCGGGGUCGCGCGGCUCGGUGAUGUAAAACCACCCCGAUUGCCACCCCUUCAGGGUCUCCACAAAGGAGCCCUCGAGCCAUAAGACGUUGGCCAUCUGGCCCACCAUGGCACCUCCACACUCCGCCUGGUUGCCGCGCACCACCUUUGGCUUGACAUUGAAAGUGUUGAGCCAUAGGCCGAAAUGGGGGCGGAUGCAGAGGAAAGCCUCGCACACGAUGAUAAACGCCGAGAUGUUGAGGACGAAGUUCAGGGCUAGAUCAUGGAAAUACAGGCCAUAGUAGAACAUGAGCCCCCGGACAAAGGGGUGAAGAGGGAAGCCCAGUCCGCGGAGGAAAUGGGGGAGGAACACCACCCUCUCAUGGGGCUUAGGGGUGGGGAUGAGCUGCCCCUUUUCGGGAAGCCGGUACACAAUGUCAUUAGACAAGUAUCCGGCCUUCCUUAGUUUUUUUAUGUGUCCCUCCGUGACGGAGGAGACCAUCCACUUGCCUCCCACUCCGGACAUGGCUGGAGAAGGUUGAGGUGGGGAGUGCGGACUUGGGCGCUGGAGCUCGAGUGCGCGAGAAUGGAUAAGCAAGGGAGGAAGAAGGCGUAGGUGAAAAGGUGGAUCCUUAUCCCCUUAUAUGGGUGUACGCAACUACGUGUCCCCACCUGCCUGGUAAAACUCACUUAUCUCCAAGUGCCAUAAUCAAUAGCGCGGUUGGGUUACCCACGCCCAUAUUGUUGAGAAUCCCGAAAUAAGGGGACACGAUAUCUGCUUUAACAAGACGUGCCAAGAAAACUGCCUCGCAUGACGCGCUGAGGUGGGAUAAUGAAACGACUCGAAUAAAGGCUUGGCCGUGGUGUGUCACACUACGGAAUACGUCAGCAGAUUAGAUUUGUGUAAAUGUUAUUCUCUCUAUUUCAAUAUGUGGAAACUUAUUUUGCAGAGCCGGACGCUAUCUUUGUGUUCAAAAUCUUCUAUGAAGUACUUGGAGGAGGAACCCGCGUUGCAAUGCCGAAGACAAUCUGCGCGCCGGACUCGUUGUCAUUGAAGCCUGGUUCAGGGGCUACUGAGGGAGUCCUGGAUUAGGGGGUGUCCGGAUGGCCGGACUAUACCUUCAGUCGGACUCCUGGACUAUGAAGAUACAAGAUUGAAGACUUCGUCCCGUGUCCGAAAGGGACUUUUCUUGGCGUGGAAGGCAAGCUUGGCGAUACGGAUAUGCAGAUCUCCUACCAUUGUAACCGACUUUGUGUAACCCUAACCCUAUCCGGUGUCUAUAUAUACCGGAGGGUUUUAGUCCGUAGGACAACAUACAAAACAACAAUCAUACCAUAGGCUAGCUUCUAGGGUUUAGCCUCUCCGAUCUCGUGGUAGAUCUACUCUUGUACUACCCAUAUCAUCAAUAUUAAUCAAGCAGGACGUAGGGUUUUACCUCCAUCUAGAGGGCCUGAACCUGGGUAAAACUUCAUGUCCCUUGCCUCCUGUUACCAUCCGGCCUAGACGCACAGUUCAGGACCCCCUACCCGAGAUCCGCUGGUUUUGACACCGACAGAUCCCUUCUGGGAUCAAAUAUGGUAUAUGGAAAAAUAAAGUACCUCCUAAUAUCCAUGUUUUUCUGUGGUUGAUUUGUCACAAUAAGAGCUUGACCAGAGAUAACAUGGCCAAACGUAGACAUGUAGAGGACAAGACAUGUGUAUUUGUGAUGAAUUAGAAACUAUUCAACAUCUUUUCUUUGACUGUACUGUUGCUAGGCAAGUCUGGGAGUUGAUUGUUGAAUGAUUUAAGAUUACUGUUCCUGACUCUUUUGCUAUGCUAUCUUCCUUCUGGAGAAAAAGAAAACUCUGUGAAGCUUUGAACAUAUCUACUACUGCUGCCUUGUGGAGCUUAUGGCGUUUGUGAAAUGAUUCUGUUUUCCAGGGGCGAAGAUGGCGAAGUAUAUACUGUGUUUUGAAUAUAUUGGGGGCUAUGAUCAGACAAUGGAGAAUCCUAUGUUCAGAAGCUCAGGGUGUUCUUCUUCUCUGGUGUUUAAGGCUGCUGGACUACCGAAGAGGGGAAUUGCUUAGAAUCGCCUGGAGAUAAAAAAAGAAGAACUCUAGAUCCAUGGCUGGGGCAUGUAGUUGCUAGCUGUCUGCAUUGAUCUAUUCUGAGAGCUGGCAUGUUUUCUUUUACUGGAUGUGCAUCCGUUCCUGGAACUAUUAUUACUCAACUGUAAUAGGGGUAGUAAAACUAGAACCCUAUUGUGUUUCCUUCUGUGGCAGCUACUCUCCGGCUGUCGCCGGGCGCUGUUUAACAGUCUAUGUGCUUUGGUUUGCCUUGGCUUUCAAUAAAAAGUUUAGGCGGGGGGAAACCCCUUUCAUUUCAAAAAAAAUUAUUCCAUAGUUAUAGGGUUACAAUCGAGAGGCAAAAGUUCAUCAAUACAAGGUCGACCACUACCUAGCCAUAAAGCAAUAGUGCUUUCCGUACGGCUAUACAAAGCGAUAUGCUACCCUAUUCUGUUCAUGUUUAAUUUUCAAAGGAAUAAAGUCCCUUUCACCCGUAAGAAGUUGGAUCUCAGCUGGAACUCUGCUGACAAUCGACGUAAGUAUAGGCCGGUUAAAUGGCAGUCCAUCUGCCGCCCCAAGUCUCAUAGGGGGGCUGGGCAUCCUGAACACUUUCAUCAUGAAUAAAUGCCUCAUUAUUAAAUGGUGGUGGAAAAUCAUGUCCAGUGGACCUGGUACGAUGUGGUUCGAUAUUCUGAAAGGAAAAUAUUUUCCAAAUUGUAGCCCCAUGUUUGCUCCGUCCUUUGGUGGGUCCCAGUUUUGGCAUGAUUUGGUCAAAAUUAGAUAUGUUUUCAGGGAACACGUCAAGUUUGUUGUAGGCAAUGGUACCUCAGUGCACUUUUGGUUAGACUGGUGGUCUGGCGACGCCCCUUGGCAUUCUCAAUUCUUGUUUUGUUUUCUUAUUAUCCGAACCUGGAGAUCUCAAUCUCUUAGCUUGCUGGCGUAGGUUGGGUCCUGGGUUUCAAGAGGACCCUCUCUCCUGAAGAGUUGGGACAGUGGCACCUCCUUGCUGCCUGCUUCCCGAUGUUGUCGAGGGAAGGGGAUUCUGUCACCUGGCAUCACUCUUCUGGUCGAUUUUUGGAAUCCCUCUACUUGCGGCUGAUUUCUGGUUCCCCCACCAACAGAUUUAAACAUUUGUGGCUUGCUAGGGUGCCGCCAAAAAUCAAGAUCUUCAUGUGGCAAGCUUUAGAGGCAAAUUACCAGCAGUCGAUCAAAUUCAAAAAUGGAAUGGACCAGGCUCGGCCCAUUGCACUUUAUGCUUAUUCGGACCAUAUCUUUUUUGGGUGUGUUCUGGCCAAGCUGGCAUGGUGCUGUAUUAAAUCUUGGAUGGGGGUUUCUUUGGUUCCUUCCUCCUUUGUCGAGUUGCGGUUGUUGGCUGCGAGCCUUGUGGGGGAAAAUAGACGUAUUUUCCGGGAGGGAUUCUCAGCGCUAUGUUGUGCGUUGUGGACUACUAAAAAUAAAUUCACUAUUGAAAGUAUUCUCCCUAACAGGCUGGCUGAUUACUUUUUCAAAAUGAUUAUCUUCUUGCAGCAGUGAAAAUUAUUGACUAAGGACGCAGAUCGGGUGGCACUGGAGAAGCUGAUGAUCAUGGUCCAGUCUCAUGGCACCAACUCAUGAUCAUCAGCGCAUGAUGCUCCUCUUCUGGCUAGGCUUUGUAGGUUGUUGGCCUGCGUGCCACUCUUACUAGGCUUGCAUGCCACCGUUUACUCUUUUGUAAUGGCUGCCUUAAGUUGGUGAAAAGUUUUGUGUGGUCUUGUUGAUUCUACCUAGUGGCUUUAUUUAUAAAGUCACGCAUAUGCCGUUUCUCUAAAAAAAGCCAACUACACAAAAAAUGGAUGCAAAUUGCUAAAGGUUACUCCCUCCCAAAAAAUUCCUAGCAUUCCUCUACCUCCGGCCGGCGUUGCUACCAGUCCGCCUCGCCUCCUGUGACCUAAGGGCCAUGGCGGCACGAUGGAUCCCGGCCCUUGCCGGCAGGAGGACUCUAUUUUUUUCAUGUUUCCUCUAGUUUUGUUAGGGUUUGUGUCCUUCUCAGGAAGAUGAGACAGCGGCGGCUCCCUGAAGAUGGAACAAGUUUCUUCUCGCCUAGCCCCCGUCCUGGUGAUGCAUCUAGCAACAUCGAUGGAUGUGUGGAGAUGUGUCUUUGGCAAAUCUAUCCUUAGUGGAUUUCCUCGGAUCUGGUCGUAGUUCCUCUAUGUUCAUGUGUUUUCAUGUUGGGUCCUUCUGAUAUAUGCUACUCUGCAAUGGCAGCAGUUGUGUUCUGGUGCGUUGCUCCUAUAGGGCCUUAGCAUGACGACUUCCCGACUAUAUACUAUGACAAGUUUUGCCCAGCCCCGGCGAGGGAGGGGCGACGAUGGUGGUGCGCCUUCAGUUCGCUUCAGUGCUUCUAUUCGUCGCUAGGUGGUCUAAAAUUUGAAUGCAUUUUUUCAUUAUUUCUUGUGUUUGUUAUACUGCCAUGAUUGAAGAUGAAUGGACCGGACAUUUUCCAAUAAAAAUUGUUUUUGCUAAAGGUUAAAAUGAUAGGUGUCCUCCAAAAAAACGAUAGGUGCAAAGGAUAAACGGAUAUUUUUUUGCUUUUCAUGGAUUGUAGGAUAGAAAAGUAAAAUGAUCUAAUAAAAAUAUAAAUCUCACCCAUGAACCUAAUACCUGAUAUCUGAUACCAUUUGUGUUGCGGAAACGCAAUAAUUUUAAAAAAAUCCUACGCACACGCAAGAUCCAUCUAGGUGAUGCAUAGCAACGAGAGCGGAGAGUGUUGUCCACGUACCCACGUAGACCAUAAGCGGAAGCGUUAUGACAACGCGGUUGAUGUGGUCAUGCGUCUUCAUGAUCCGACCGAUCCUAGUACCGAAGAUAAUGCACCUCCGUGAUCUGCACACGUUCAGCUCAGUGUGACGUCCCAUGAACUCUAGAUCCAGUUGAGGUCGAGGGAGAGUUGCGUUAGCACGACGGCAUGGUGAAGGUGAUGAUGAAGCUACCGGCGUAGGGCUUCACCUAAGCAUUGCAACGAUAUGACCGAGGUGAAAAUCUAUGGAGGGGGCACCACACACGGCUAAGAUCAACUUUAAUGUGUUCUAGGGUGCCCCCUCCCCACGUAUAUAAAGGAGGGAGGGGGAGGCCGGCCGGCCCUCUAGGCAUGCCAAGGGGGGAGGAGUCCUCUUCCUAGUAGGAGUAGGACUCCCCCCUUUCCUAGUCCUACUAGGAAAAGAAGGAAGAGGGAGAAGGAGAAAGGAAAGGGGGGCCGACCCCCCCCCACCAAAUUUGGAUUGGGCUUGCGGGGCGCGCCCUCCACCUGGCUAUCUUCUCUUCUGUCCCACUAAGGCCCAAUAAGGCCCAUUGACUCCCCGAGGGGUUCCGGUAAACCCCCGGUACUCCGCUAAUUGCCCGAACUCACCCGGAACCAUUCUGAUGUCCAAACAUAGCCUUCCAAUAUUUCGAUCUUUAUGUCUCGACCAUUUCGAGACUCCUCGUCAUGUCCGUGAUCAUAUCCGGGAAUCCGAACUACCUUCGGUACAUCAAAACACAUAAACUCAUAAUAUCGAUCGUCACCAAACGUUAAGCGUGCGGACCCUACGGGUUCAAGAAAUAUGUAUACAUGACCGACACUCGUCUUCGGUCAAUAACCAAUAGAGGAACCUGGAUUCUCAUAUUGGUUCCUACAUAUUCUAUGAAGAUCUUUAUUGGUCAAACCGCAUAACAACAUACGGUGUUCCCUUUGUCAUCGGUAUGUUACUUGCCCGAGAUUCGAUCGCCGGUAUGUCAAUACCUAGUUCAAUCUCGUUACCGGCAAGUCCCUUUACUCGUUCCGUAAUGCAACAUCCCGUAACUAACUUAUUAGUCACAUUGCUUGCAAGGCUUAUAGUGAUGUGCAUUACCGAGAGGGCCCAGAGAUACCUCUCCGAUACACGGAGUGACAAAUCCUAAUCUCGAUCUAUGCCAACUCAACAAACACCAUUGGAGACACCUGUAGAGCAUCUUUAUAGUCACCCAGUUACGUUGUGAUGUUUGAUAGCACACUCAGUGUUCCUCCGGUAUUCGGGAGUUGCAAUAGCAACAAACUAAACGAUCAUCGUGCUAAGCUAAUGGAUGGUCAAGUCAAUCAAAUCAUUCUCUAAUGAUGUGAUCUCGUUCAUCAAAUGACAACUCUUUGUCCAUGGCUAGGAAACUUAACCAUCUUUGAUUAACGAGCUAGUCAAGUAGAGGUAUACUAGUGACACUCGGUUUGUCUAUGUAUUCACACAUGUACUAAGUUUCCAGUUGAUACAAUUCUAGCAUGAAUAAUAAACAUUUAUCAUGAUAUAAGGAAAUAUGAAUACCAACUUUAUUAUUGCCUCUAGGGCAUAUUUUCUUCAGACUCCCACUUGCACUAGAGUCAAUAAUCUAGAUUACAUUGUAAUGAUUCUAACUCCCAUGGAGUCUUGGUGUUGAUCAUGUUUUGCUCGUGAGAGAGGCUUAGUCAACGGGUCUGCAACAUUCAGAUCCCUAUGUAUCUUGCAAAUCUCUAUGUCUUCCUCCUUGACUUGAUCGCGGAUGGAAUUGAAGCGUCUUUUGAUGUGAUUGGUUCUCUUGUGAUAUCUGGAUUCCUUUGCCAAGGCAAUUGCACUAGUGUUGUCACAAAAUAUUUUCAUUGGACCCGAUGCACUAGGUAUGACACCUAGAUCGGAUAUGAAAUCCUUCAUCCAGACUCCUUCAUUUGUUGCUUCUGAAGCAGCUAUGUACUCUGCUUCACACGUAGAUCCCGCCACGACGCUCUGCUUGGAACUGCACCAACUGAUAGCUCCACAAUUCAAUAAAAAUAUGUAUCUGGUUUGUGACUUAGAGUCAUCCGGAUCAGUGUCAAAGCUUGCAUCAACGUAACCGUUUACGACGAGCUCUUUGUCACCUCCAUAAACAAGAAACAUAUCGUUAGUCCUUUUCAGGUAUUUCAGGAUGUUCUUGACUGUUGUCUAGUGAUCCACUCCUGGAUUACUUUGGUACCUCCCUGCUAAACUAACAGCAAGGCACACAUCAGGUCUGGUACACAGCUUUGCAUACAUGAUAGAACCUAUGGCUGAAGCAUAGGGAAUGACUUACAUUUUCUCUCUAUCUUCUGUAGUGGUCGGGCAUUGAGUCUGACUCAACUUCACACCUUGUAACACAGGCAAGAACCCUUUCUUUGCUUGAUCCAUUUUGAACUUCUUCAAAACUUUAUCAAGGUAUGUGCUUUGUGAAAGUCCAAUUAAGCGUCUUGAUCUAUCUCUAUAGAUCUUGAUGCCCAAUAUAUAAGUUGCUUCACCGAGGUCUUUCAUUGAAAAAUUCUUAUUCAAGUAUCCUUUUAUGCUAUUCAGAAAUUCAGUACCAUUUCCGAUCAACAAUAUGUCAUGUACAUAUAAUAUCAGCAAUGCUACAGAGCUCCCACUCACUUUCUUGUAAAUAUAGGCUUCUCCAAAAGUCUGUAUAAAACCAUAUUGUAACAUCCCAAAUUUUCAAUUUGGAAUGUUAUACAUAGAUCAUUCUUGCAUAUCAUGUUUUAUUGCAUUUCGUCUCGUGAUCCUCGAAAUCCUAAGCAACUCAAGGACCCUCGGAGAGAGUUGGGGAUUUCCCCGGUUUUCAAAUUGAUUUUAUCAAAUUUUGAAACAAGGAUUUUGUUUUUAAUUAUUUUUCUCCCCGAAAAUAUUUCAUAUUAAAAUAUACGAGAAGAGCUAAUAUGAAUUCUCCAAAAUAAAUGAAAUGUUGGAGGAAAAAUAUUAAAAUCAAUUUUUGAUUUUAUUUGGAUUUUAUUUGCAAUUUUGUUUGCAUUAGAAAAAUUGCACGUUUUCAAAAUUGCAUUUUAGGGCAAAGAAAAUGUUCAUCUCGUUCUAAAUAUUUUAUUUAGACGGAGAAAAUUUGUUUUGGCAUUUUUAGAAUUUAUUUUAUUGUUUAGGAUUUUUCUGAGUUUCGGCGGAAUUUAAAAAGAACGCGCCAAGGCCUAGCUGGGCCGAAGCCCAGCGUCGGCCCACCUCCCCGCGCCGCCGUCUCCUAGCGGGAGACUGCGCCGCCGCCGAACGGGAGUCCGGCUCGGACUCCUUGUCCCCGCCGUGCCCCCUCCCCCAACGCACCCCCCCCUUUAAAGUCGCACCCUGCCGCCCUUGGAGCCCCACCCCGCCUCGAGCUGCCACCCCGCCGUCGAAGCCGCCGCNNNNNNNNNNNNNNNNNNNNNNNNNNNNNNNNNNNNNNNNNNNNNNNNNNNNNNNNNNNNNNNNNNNNNNNNNNNNNNNNNNNNNNNNNNNNNNNNNNNNNNNNNNNNNNNNNNNNNNNNNNNNNNNNNNNNNNNNNNNNNNNNNNNNNNNNNNNNNNNNNNNNNNNNNNNNNNNNNNNNNNNNNNNNNNNNNNNNNNNNNNNNNNNNNNNNNNNNNNNNNNNNNNNNNNNNNNNNNNNNNNNNNNNNNNNNNNNNNNNNNNNNNNNNNNNNNNNNNNNNNNNNNNNNNNNNNNNNNNNNNNNNNNNNNNNNNNNNNNNNNNNNNNNNNNNNNNNNNNNNNNNNNNNNNNNNNNNNNNNNNNNNNNNNNNNNNNNNNNNNNNNNNNNNNNNNNNNNNNNNNNNNNNNNNNNNNNNNNNNNNNNNNNNNNNNNNNNNNNNNNNNNNNNNNNNNNNNNNNNNNNNNNNNNNNNNNNNNNNNNNNNNNNNNNNNNNNNNNNNNNNNNNNNNNNNGCGGCCGCCCCGCGUAGCACCGCCCCACGCUGGAGCCACCGUCAUGCCGGACCUCGCCGGAGGUUAGCGUCGUUCAGUUUUUUUUAGAAAACCGGUUCGGUUUUCGUUAAGAAACCCUAGUCGUUUUUUUCAGUUUGCCGGUUUUUCUUUUUAGCGGACAUUCGUCCGGAUGUUCGUUUUAACGAACGGUUUUCGCUCGUUAGUUACAGUUAACGAACGCUCGUUCAUUAGCCUGUUCGUCCGGUUUUUUUCGGAUUAAUCCGCGAUUAUUUCUGAUCGCGAUUUCUGAUCUGAUUUUCGUUUUAGUUUAUCUUUUCGCUCGUUAGUCGGAAUCAGGCGAUUCAAGCGCCUAGAUCUUCGUCUCGAUACCCUCUUUCCGCUUAACCAACUUGCACAAGUUUUUUCUACUGUAAAAUUUGACCUAGGUCCAGAUUAGUAAAUGGAUCUUGUUUCUUUUGCCGUUUGAGUUUCGUUGCUCCGUUCGAUUUGAUUCUUUUUGCAAACCGGAGUUCUUAAGUUGAACUUUCUGGUUAGAUCUUCUUAUUUGAGAUUUACCCGUGUUUCUUAGUUUGAUUGCUUAUAUAUGCUAUUGUUUGUUUGCGAUAGAAUUCCCGGAGUGCGAAGCGUGUUAUUUGGAGUCACUAGGUUACGCGGAUCGUCGGCAAGGCAAGUAACACUUUGAUCAUACCCCUUUAUCACCCAGUUUUUAUGCAUUAGCACCAAUCCCCAAACAUUGCAUGGUUAGGAUGUCAUUAACAUGUGGGUUGGGAAGUAGUUGGUGAGGUAGAACCUAUUACCCUGUUGCACUCAAACCCUUGGGAGUUACUUCUAUGCGUUGCUUAUUUUUGCUAUGCUAUGCUCGUAGACGAGGUUUGGGUGAGUGAAAUCCGUGAGAUGUGAGAUUGAUAAUUAAUGUUUCAACUUAAGGUGGCAACUUAAAUACACAUCUGGGUGGAUUGAGGCACCUGGAGUACCCUGUGUUGUCUGUAUUUUUGGAAUCCCGGAGUACCCGUGUGAUCUUCCUAUGGACCGCCACCCAGGCUCAAAGGGAACUGAGAUUAUUCAUGCUAGAAACUUCCGUGUGCAGCCACAAGCUAUUAUGGGCUCUAGCAUAGUUAAGUAAGUUACGUGAAGCUCUUGAAGACGUGGAUCAGCAGGUAGUGGGAUUGUAGGUUUGGUAUGGUCUGCCCGGAGUAGAGAGUUAAUGUUUCUGAAAGACUGUGUCUCGGUCAUCCAUUUCUCAAACGCCCUGUAGUGCGAGAAAACCAACGGAGGAGAUCGAGUCUUGUGGGGAAAAGUGCGCAAACCAAUGCAGAGUGUAUAAACUAAUCAUUGUUAGCUGUGUCCCUGGUUAUGGACAAUCUUGAGUAUCUAGUACUUGGAGUAUCUUAUGUAUCUCAUCACUCUAAAUUAAUGUUGUUGGGUUAAUAAUUACUUUUAAUUGGGAUUGAGUUGGAGGAACCUUCUCAAUGAUGUUUCAACUACCAUGAUAGUUAAAAUUAAAAAUCUAUUCCUUUGUUGUAGGGAAAAAUUGGCUUUUCGCAAAACUAUAACCAUAGAGCUUUCCACCAGCCAAAUAUGCAUGUAGUGAUUGCAUUAUUCUGUUCUUGCUCUACUGUGUUAUUUUGCCAGCAUAUUCCAUGUGCUGACCCGUUUUCGGGAUGCAACGUAUUAUGUUGCAGACUUUUCUGACAAGGAGUAAGGUUCAUUAGGUCGUUGUCGUGCAGCUCAUCUAUGCCGUUGGAGUUGAUGGACUCACUUUAUAUUCCAAGCCUUCCGCUGUUAUCAUAUUAGAUGGCCUUAAGCCAUAUUUAUUGUAAUAAGUUCUCUUUGGAGACAUUCAAUGUAAUAAGUGUGUGAUUGCUACUCUGUUAUAAAUUCCUGAGUACUGUGUGUCAGCAUUACCGAUCCAGGGAUGACAGUGAAGCACAAAGACUUGACCGUUUGAGGUCGGAUCGCUACACAUAUGCUUUGAUCACACUAUCAAAGCAUAUAUUCCAACUCCGAGAGGCUUGCACUAGUCCAUAAAUGGAUCACUGGAGCUUGCACACUUUGUUAGCACCUUUUGGAUUGACAAAACCUUCUGGUUGCAUCAUAUACAAUUCUUCUUUAAGCUAUCCAUUAAGGAAUGCAGUUUUGACAUCCAUUUGCCAAAUUUCCUAAUCAUAAAAUGUGGUAAUUGCUAACAUGAUUCGGACGGACUUAAGCAUCGCUACGGGUGAGAAGGUCUCAUCGUAGUCAACUCCUAGAACUUGUCGAAAACCUUUUUCAACAAGUCCAGAUUUGUAGACAUAACAAUACCGUCAGCGUCGGUCUUCUUCUUGAAGAUCCAUUUAUUCUCUAUGGCUUGCCGAUCAUCGGGUAAGUCAACCAAAGUCCACACUUUGUUCUCAUACAUGGAUCCCAUCUUAGAUUUCAUGGCCUCAAGCCAUUUUGCGGAAUCUGGGCUCGUCAUCGCUUCCUCAUAGUUCGUAGGUUUGUCAUGGUCAAGUAACAUGACCUCCAGAACAGGAUUACCGUACCACUCUGGUGCAGAUCUUACUCUAGUUGACCUACGAGGUUUGGUAGUAACUUGAUCAGAAGUUUCAUGAUCAUCAUCAUUAGCUUCCUCACUUACUGGUGUAGGAAUCACUGGAUUUGAUUUCUGUGAUGAACUACUUUCCAAUAAGGGAGCAGGUACAGUUACCUCAUCAAGUUCUACUUUCCUCCCACUCACUUCUUUUGAGAGAAACUCCUUCUCUAGAAAGGAUCCAUUCUUAGCAACGAAUAUCUUGCCUUCGGAUCUAUGACAGAAGGUGUACCAACAGUCUCCUUUCGGUAUCCUAUGAAGACACAUUUAUCCGGUUUGGGUUUGAGCUUGUCAGGUAGAAGCUUUUUCACAUAAGCAUCGCAACCCCAAACUUUAGGAAAUGACAACUUGGGUUUCUUGCCAAACCACGGUUCAUGAGGUGUCGUCUCAAUGGAUUUCGAUGGUGCCCUAUUUAAUGUGAAUGCAGUUGUCUCUAAAGCAUAAUCCCAAAAUGAUAGCGGUAAAUCAGUAAGAGACAUCAUAGAUCGCACCAUAUCUAAUAAAGUGUGGUUACGACAUUCGGACACACCAUUACGCUGUAGUGUUCCAGGUGGCGUGAGUUGCGAAACUAUUCCGCAGUGUUUCAAAUGAAGACCAAACUCAUAACUCAAAUAUUCACCUCCACGAUCAGAUCAUAGAAACUUAAUUUUCUUGUUACAAUGAUUUUACACUUCACUCUAAAAUUCCUUGAACUUUUCAAAUAUUUCAGACUUAUGGUCAUCAAGUACAUAUACCCAUAUCUGCUUAAAUCAUCUAUGAAGGUAAGAAAAUAACGAUACCCGCCACGAGCAUCAACACUCAUCGGACCGAAUACAUCAGUAUGUAUUAUUUACAACAAGUCUGUUGCUCUCUCCAUUGUUCCGAAGAACGGAGUCUUAGUCAUCUUGCCCAUAAGGCAUGGUUCACAAGCAUCAAGUGAUUCCAAAAGUUCAUCAGCAUGGAGUUUCUUCAUGCGCUUUACACCAAUAUGACCUAAACGACAGUGCCACAAAUAAGUUCCACUGUCAUUAUUAAACUUAUACCUUUUGGCUUCAAUACUAUGAACAUGUGGAUCACUACUAUCAAGAUUUAGUAAAAAUAGACCACUCAUCAAGGGUGCAUGACCAAAAAAGAUAUUACUCAUAUAAAUAGAACAACCAUUAUUCUCUGAUUUAAAUGAAUAACCAUCUCGCAUCAAACAAGAUCCAGAUAUAAUGUUCAUGCUCAACGCUGGCACCAAAUAACAAUUAUUUAGGUCUAAAACUAAUCCCGAAGAUAGAUGUAGAGGUACCGUACCGACGGUGAUCACAUCGACUUUGGAACCAUUUCCCACGCGCAUCGUCACCUCGUCCUUAGCCAAUCUUCGCUUAAUCCGUAGCCCCUGUUUUGAGUUGCAAAUAUUAGCAACAGAACCAGUAUUAAAUACCCAGGCGCUACUGCCACUAGUAGAAAAAGGAUCAAUUGUGAAGCACAUUAGUCCCGGUUUGUAACAGAACCGGCACUAAUGUGAUCAAUAGUACCAGUUCGUGGUGGCGAUCAAUAGUAUCGGUUCAUGGCGAACCUUUAGUACCAGUUCAUGCCAUGAACCGGUACUAAAGAGGUUGUGGCAGCUUGCGGUCAGGCUAUGGCCCCACCAUCACCAUUUAGUGCCGGUUCGUACCACGAACCGGUACUAAUGAGGUUAUGGCAAGCUGUUUUUAGUCCCACCUCGCUCCCCUAACAAGGUUUUUACCACCUUAAAUAUGUUACUUCUCAAACUAUCACAAGCACUUGGUCUUCAUUGAACUCUAUGUGUAGAAUUUGUGGCCGCAAUAUGAGUCUUCACCAGUUUACAAAUUGUUGAGGACUCAUAUUGACAAUUCAGAUUGUACACAAAAAGAUCAUUGGUGAUCAAAGUAUUUUUGAUGUAUAAGAUCAUAUUGACAAUUCAGACUGUAAAGAAAUAUAAGAUCAUGAUCUAAAUGCUCUUAUAUUUUUUGCGUUCCGUAUGCACCAUUCAAAGCGACGUCAUCAAUUUUCAACCCUUUCUGACAUCAUUUGCUAUUUUUCAGUCAUUUACCGAUUUGUUUAGAGAGCUAAAUGACCCUGAAAUUGAAAAGCACUACAAAUGAACUCUGAAAGGGUCGAAACUUGUCAUGGUAUCAUCACUUCAUCCACAUAGCAUGUGUAGAAAAGUACAGAGGGUUACAGAAAAAACUGGAUGCACUUCGUUUACAAACUGGACAAUCUCUUUCGAAGUAUCCGGGUUUCUGACGAAAACUCAUCUGUUACAAAGGCAUUUCAUUUUUAAACUUAUUACAACUCUAGACUUUUUGUGUAUUCAGUAUGCACCAUUCAAAGCGACGCCAUCAACUUUCAACCAUUUCUGCCAUCAUUUGCUAUUUUUCAUGCAUUUAAUGAUUUGUUUUGAGAGCUAAAUGACCUUGAAAUUGAAAAGCACUACAAAUGAACUCUGAAAAAGUUGAAACUUGGCAUGGUAUCAUCAUUUCACCCACAUAGAAUGUGCAAAAAAGUAGAGAGGGUUACGGCAAAAACUGGAUGCACUUCGUUUACAAACUAGACAAUCUCUUUCGAAGUAUUCGGGUUUCUGACGAAAACUCAUCUGUUACAAAGGCAUUUCAUUUUUUUAAACUUAUUACAGCUCCAGACUUUUUGUGCAUUCAGUAUGCACCAUUCAAAGCGACGCCAUCAACUUUCAACCAUUUCUACCUUCAUUUGCUAUUUUUCAUGCGUUUAAUGAUUUGUUUUGAGCUAAAUGGCCCUGAAAUUGAAAAGCACUAUAAAAUGAGACACAUUUGUCCCGGUUUGAAUUUGAGCGGGCACUAAUGUGUCGAUUAGUGCCAGUUCCAACGGCUAGGCGGGAGGAGCUCUUUAGUACCGGUUCGUGGCGAACCUCUAGCACCGGUUCAUGCCACAAACUGGUACUAAUGAGGUUGUGUCAAGCUGUGGUCAGGCUGGGGCCCCACGAGCACCUUUAGUACCGGUUCAUGGCAUGAACCAGUACUAGCAUUUCUUAGUAAGCUGUUUUUAGUCCCACCUCGCGAAGAGAGAGGCACUAGGAGCGGUUUAUAAGCCUUGAGUGCAGAGACGAUGAAGAAGAGGCUCAAUGCUCACCUGCACGUUGCUUAGCUUCAAGCCUUGGGGAAUAGGGUAGACUGCACGGAGCUAUGUGCACUACAGUUUACACUAUUCCGAAAGGCUUGAAGCUAAUUAACGAGCAUUGCGCCUCUUUUUUAUUUUUAAUAACUUAUUACAACUCCGGACUUCUUCUGUUACGGCAAAAACUGGAUGCACUUCGUGUAAAAACUGGACAAUCUCUUUCAAAGUAUCAGGGUUUGUUUCGGACGAAAACUCAUCUGUUACACCGGCACUUUAUUUUUUAAAACUUAUUAUAACUCCAUACUUUUUGUGCAUUCAGUAUGCACCAUUCAAAGCCACGCCAUCAACUUUCAACUAUUUCAGACUUCAUUUGCUAUUUUUCAUGCAUUUAAUGAUUUGUUUUGAGAGCUAAAUGACCUUCGAAUUGAAAAGCACUACAAAUGAACUCUGAAAAAGUCAAAACUUGGCAUGGUAUAUAAAAAUAAAUGAACAGAAGAAAAUAAAUAAAGCAGAAAAGAAAAAAUCGAAACUCUACAAACAACUACUCAUAAAUAAAUAAAAUAAAAUAAAUAAAGUAAAAAGAAAAAAGUAUAUAAAAAAACUACUCAGAAAUAAAUAGAAGAAAAUAAAUAAAGCAGAAAAGAAAAAAACUAUAUAAAAAACUACUCAGAAAUAAAUAGAAGAAAAUAAAUAUAGCAGAAAAGAAAAAACCUAUAUAAAAAACUACUCAGAAAUAAAUAGAAGAAAAAAUAAAGAAGAAAAGAAAAAAACUAUAUAAAAAAAUUUGGGGCGCUGCCAUAUGGGCCUGCUAGACCACGGGCGUGCAAUUUUAGGCCCACAAGGCCCAGCAGGCUCACAGGGUAGCGCACCAUAGUUAGGCCCAGAAGCCUGCUUUAUAGAGGAGUUCAAAAGGGCAGCCACGGCUGGGUUUAUAAACCAGUGCGGUUGCCCUUCGCCCGGCAACGUGAGACUAAACUUUGUGCACCGCGGGUGGCAGCGCACCACCUUUAGUACCAGUUGGUGGCUCCAACCGGUACUAAAGGGUGGUCUUUAGUACCGGUUGGAUCCACCAACCGGUACUAAUGGCCUGCUCUUCCCGCCUCUUGGCCUGGCCAAAGUUGGCCUUUAGUAUCGGUUGGUGGCUCCAACCGGUACUAAAGGCCUCUUCUAUAUAUACAACAUUUACGAAAACAUUUAGUUAGUUCCUGUUCGUCUUCGUCGCGCUCAGCCGCCGUCGCCGCCCCCGCCCCCGCCCCCGCCCCGUAUCGCGCCCCGUCCCCGUCGCCGUCGUCGCGCCCCGNNNNNNNNNNNNNNNNNNNNNNNNNNNNNNNNNNNNNNNNNNNNNNNNNNNNNNNNNNNNNNNNNNNNNNNNNNNNNNNNNNNNNNNNNNNNNNNNNNNNNNNNNNNNNNNNNNNNNNNNNNNNNNNNNNNNNNNNNNNNNNNNNNNNNNNNNNNNNNNNNNNNNNNNNNNNNNNNNNNNNNNNNNNNNNNNNNNNNNNNNNNNNNNNNNNNNNNNNNNNNNNNNNNNNNNNNNNNNNNNNNNNNNNNNNNNNNNNNNNNNNNNNNNNNNNNNNNNNNNNNNNNNNNNNNNNNNNNNNNNNNNNNNNNNNNNNNNNNNNNNNNNNNNNNNNNNNNNNNNNNNNNNNNNNNNNNNNNNNNNNNNNNNNNNNNNNNNNNNNNNNNNNNNNNNNNNNNNNNNNNNNNNNNNNNNNNNNNNNNNNNNNNNNNNNNNNNNNNNNNNNNNNNNNNNNNNNNNNNNNNNNNNNNNNNNNNNNNNNNNNNNNNNNNNNNNNNNNNNNNNNNNNNNNNNNNNNNNNNNNGUUAGAUUAAUGUCAAAUGUUAGAUUAAUUAGAUAGAAAUAUAUGUUAGAUAUUAAUGUCAAAUGUUAGAUGAAUAUUAGAAUUAGCUAGAUAUUAAUUAAUGUUAGAUAGUAAGUGUUUAAUGUUUCACCUAUAUGAACAUAGGAAAUGUCGUCUGACGAUGAAAAAUAUUUCAUUAUGUGCGAACACUAUGAAGACCAAUGCGGCCUGUGCGACAAAAAUUUCCUUGUUGAUAAUAGGCGCUUCAGCAUCAAGCUGGAUGAGACAUUCGAAGUGGAUACAGUAAGUCACAACGGCAAGUAUUUUUUCAAAAUAAAGCAUGACUUAUGCUUCAUUUGUUUCAACUUAUAAUUUUAAAUUUUCACUAUUCUACUAGCGCAUCCCCUGCCAUGCAGGAAUUUUUCUCUUGGAUAAGAUAGGUUUCAGUGCUAUGGAUGAUAUGGAGGUAAAGAGAGUUUACUUGAAGACCGAGCAUGGGUAUACUUUCAACGUCAAAUUAUACAAUGCAGAAACAUACACCCAUUUUAAAUGCAAAACUUGGCAAGCACUAUGCAAGGCUUAUGCAUUUGAGCCUGAUAUGGUUAUCACCUUUGAUAUUCGUCCGGAAGAUGAUAUGGAAGGUAAUAGAGACAUCUGGGUCGAUGUGCAGACGCCUCCAGUUCUACCAUUAUGUGAGUUUUUCUCAAACAUGUUUAUGUCUUUGAUAUUGUUUAUUCAAAAAUAGUUGACAACUAAUUUCUAUUGUCAGCUUAUUUCGGUUCAAGCAAACAUGUCCGGCGCUUGGUAGACAGGACCUACUACUGUCCCGGGGCUGAACUAAACUGCGAGGAGAUAAGUCAUUAUGUUUCAUGGCUUGAGGAUCUUCAUACUGUCAAGACAAAUUUUCUUCCUGCACUUAGAAAUGUUAGUACUCAAAACGUGCAACCUAUAGUGCAUCUUUUGCAUACAUUAUUUUUGAAACUAAGCUUUCAUUGCUAAGUAUAUUAAUUACUACACGAUGUUUUUCAACAGGGACUCCCGAUGACAGUUGUGCCUCAGUGGAUCGAGACUAAAGGUCGCAUGUCAAUGGUUAGCUUACGACCAAGAUAUCCUACAUUGCACAUGAGUGCAUUCAGGAUUUCUGAAAGCAAUGAAUGCUUAAUAGUGAAAGACUGGAGCAAAAUUGUUAACGAUCCCAGAGAAGUACUAGGGGCAGCAAGGAGAAGCGCAUCCCAUGAUUAGGAGACAGAUUCAUCUGCAUGCUCCAGUAUGAUGAAUUAGGAGAGCUAUACAUGUUCUAUGCUAUUUUACCUGAGAGGGAGCAGCAGGAGUGAUUUAGCUAGUUCAUGCUCUUAGUACUUGUCCUCUCAUGUCCGUAUUCUUCGUCCUGAACUUAAUCUCAAAGAGUGAUUUUCUUGUUAUGAAUGCUUAUAUAUCAUCACCAUGUUGAACUCGAUGAUAUCUUUGUUGGAAAUAUGCCCUAGAGGCAACAAUAAAUUGGUUAUUAUUAUAUUUCCUUGUUCAUGAUAAUCGUUUAUUAUCCAUGUUAUAAUUGUAUUGAUAGGAAACUUAGAUACAUGUGUGGAUACAUAGAAAACACCAUGUCCCUAGUAAGCCUCUAGUUGACUAGCUCGUUGAUCAAUAGAUGGUUACCAUUUCCUGAUCAUGGACAUUGGAUGUCGUUGAUAACGGGAUCACAUCAUUAGGAGAAUGAUGUGAUGGACAAGACCCAAUCCUAAGCCUAGCACAAAGAUCGUGUAGUUCGUUUGCUAAAGCUUUUCUAAUGUCAAGUAUCAUUUCCUUAGACCAUGAGAUUGUGCAACUCUCGAAUACCGUAGGAAUGCUUUGGGUGCACCAAACGUCACAACGUAACUGGGUGGCUAUGAAGGUACACUAUGGGUAUCUUCGAAAGUGUCUAUUGGGUUGGCACGAAACGAGACUAGGAUUUGUCACUCCGUGUGACGGAGAGGUAUCUCUGGGCCCACUCGGUAGGACAUCAUCAUAAUGUGCACAAUGUGACCAAGGAGUUGAUCAUGGGAUGAUGUGUUACGGAACGAGUAAAGAGACUUGCCGGUAAAGAGAUUGAACAAGGUAUCGGAUACUGAUGAUCGAAUCUCGGGCAAGUACAAUACCGUUGGACAAAGGGAAUUGUAUACGGCAUUGAUUGAAUCCUCGACAUCGUGGUUCAUCCGGUGAGAUCAUCGUGGAACUUGUGGGAGCCAACAUGGGUAUCCAGAUCCCGCUAUUGGUUAUUGGCCGGAGAGUUGUCUCGGUCAUGUCUGCAUGGUUCCCGAACCCGUAGGGUCUACACACUUAAGGUUCGGUGACGCUAGAGUUGUUAUGGGAAAUAGUAUGUGGUUACCGAAGGUUGUUCGGAGUCCCGGAUGAGAUCUCGGACAUGACGAGGAGCUCCAGAAUGGUCCGGAGGUGAAGAUCGGUAUAUUGGACGAAGGGUAUUGGAGUCCGGAAUUGUUCCAGGGGUACCAGGUGAUGACCAGCGUGUCCGAAAGGGCUUUCGGAGGCCCCGGCAAGCGUUGGGGGCCUUAUGGGCCAAGGGGAGAGGUCACAUCAGCCCACUAAGGGGCUUAGCGCCCCUCCCACCCCAUCUCACAUAACCAGGAGAGGUGGGGGCGCCACCCCUAGGGCAGCCGCCCCUCCCGGCUUGGGGGGCAAGUUUCCUAGGGGGUGGGGGCGCCCAAACCCAUCUAGGGUUUCCCCUGUGGCCGCCGCCCCACCCCUAGGGAACCCUAGGGCGCCUCCCCCUCCUCCCUUCCCCCUAUAUAUAAUGAGAGAGAGAGGGCAGCCGCACCCUUCCCCUGGCGCAGCCCUCUUCCUCCUCCAAACACCUCAUCCUCCUUCGUAGUGCUUGGCGAAGCCCUGCCGGAGAACCACGAGCUCAAUCACCACCACGCCGUCGUGAUGUCGGAGAUUUCCCUCAACUUAUCCUCUCACCUUGCUGGAUCAAGAAGGAGGAGACGUCUCCCAACCGUACAUGUGUUGAACGCGGAGGUGCCGUCCGUUCGGCGCUAGGAUCAUCGGUGAUUUGGAUCACGACGAGUACGACUCCAUCAACCCCAUUCACUUGAACGCUUCCGUUUAGCGAUCUACAAGGGUAUGUAGAUGCAAUCUCCUUCCCCUCAUUGCUAGAUUACUCCAUAGAUUGAUCUUGGUGAUGCAUAGAAAAUUUUGAAUUUCUGCUACGAUCACCAAUAGUGGCAUCAUGAGCUAGGUCUAUGCGUAGUUUCUAUGCACGAGUAGAACACAAAGUAGUUGUGGGCGUCGAUUUUGUCAAUUUACUUGCCGUUACUAGUCUUAUCUUGAUUCGGCGGCAUCGUGGGAUGAAGUGGCCCGGACCGACCUUACACGUACUCUUACGUGAGACAGGUUCCACCGACUGACAUGCACUAGUUGCAUAAGGUGGCUAGCGGGUGUCUGUCUCUCCCACUUUAGUCGGAUCGGAUUCGAUGAAAAGGGUCCUUAUGACGGGUAAAUAGAAAUUGGCAUAUCACGUUGUGGUUUUGGCGUAGGUAAGAAACGUUCUUGCUAAGAAACCUAUAGCAGCCACGUAAAAAUUUGCAACAACAAUUAGAGGACGUCUAACUUGUUUUUGCAGCAUAUGACGUGUGAUGUGAUAUAGCCAAAAAGGAUGUGAUGAAUGAUAUAUGUGAUGUAUGAGAUUGAUCAUGUUCUUGUAAUAGGAAUCACGACUUGCAUGUCGAUGAGUAUGACAACCGGCAGGAGCCAUAGGACUUGUCUUAAUUUAUUUAUGACCUGAGUGUCAACAUAAAUGUCAUGUAAUUACUUUACUUUAUUGCUAACCGUUAGCCAUAGUAGUAGAAGUAAUAGUUGGCAAGACAACUUCACGAAGACACGAUGAUGGAGAUCAUGGUGUCAUGCCAGUGACGAUGAUGAUCAUGGAGCCCCGAAGAUGGAGAUCAAAAGGAGCAAAGUGAUGAUGGCCAUAUCAUGUCACUAUUUGAUUGCAUGUGAUGUUUAUCAUGUUUUACAUAUUAUUUGCUUAGAACGAUGGUAGCUUAAAUAAGAUGAUCCCUCACUAAAAUUUCAAGAAAAGUUUUCUCCCUAACUGUGCACCGUUGCGAAGGUUCAUUGUUUCGAAGCACCAUGUGAUGAUCAGGUGUGAUAGAUUCUAACGUUCGAAUACAACGGGUGUUGAUGAGCCUAGCAUGUACAGACAUGGCCUCGGAACACAUGUGAAACACUUAGGUUGACUUGACGAGCCUAGCAUGUACAGACAUGGCCUCAGAACACAGAGGACCGAAAGGUCGAACAUGAGUUGUAUAGAAGAUGCGAUCAACAUGAGAUGUUCACCGAUGAUGACUAGCCCGUCUCACGUGAUGAUCGGACAUGGCCUAGUCGAUUCGGAUCAUGUAUCACUUAGAUGACUAGAGGGAUGUCUAUCUGAGUGGGAGUUCAUGAAAUAAUCAGAUGAACUCAAUUAUCAUGAACAUAGUCAAAAGGACUUUGCAAAUUAUAUCAUAGCUUACGCUUUAGUUCUACUGUUUUAGAUACGUUCCUAGAGAAAAAUUAGUUGAAAGUUGAUAGUAGCAAUUAUGCAGACUGGGUCCGUAAACUGAGGAUUGUCCUCAUUGUUGCGCAGAAGGAUUAUGUCCUUAAUGCACCGCUCAGUGAGCUGAACCUCGAGCGUCGGUUGUGGAUGUUGCGAACAUCUAACAUACGCGUUUUGAUGACUACAUGAUAGUUCAGUGCAUAAUGCUAAAUGGUUUAGAAUUGAGGCACUAAAGAUAUUUUUGAAACAUCGCAGAACAUAUGAGAUGUUCCAAGGACUGAAAUUGGGAUUUCAGGCUAGUGCCCACGUCAAGAGGUAUGAGACCUCUGACAAGUUUCCUAAGCCUGUAUACUAAGGAGAAAAGCUCAAUCGUUGAGCAUGUGCUCAGAUUGUAUGAGUACAACAAUCACUUGAAUCAAGUGGGAGUUAAUCUUCCAAAUGAGAUAGUGAUGUUUCUCCAAAGUCACUGCCACCAAGCUACUAGAGCUUCAUGAUGAACUAUAACAUAUCAAGGAUAGACAUGAUGAUCCUUGAGCAAUUCGCGAUGUUUGACACCGCGAAAGUAGAAAUCAAGUAGGAGCAUCAAUUUUUGAUGGUUAGUAAAACCACUAGUUUCAAGAAAGGCAAGGGAAAGAAGGGAUACUUCAUGAAACGGCAAAUCAGUUGCUGCUCUAGUGAAGAAACCCAAGGUUGAACCCAAACCCGAGACUAAGUGCUUCUGUAAUGAGGGGAACAGUCACUGAAGCAGAACUACCCUAGAUACUUGGUAGAUGAGAAGGCUAGCAAGGUCGACAGAAGUAUAUUGGAUAUACAUUAUAUUGAUGUGUACUUUACUAGUACUCCUAGUAGCACCAUGGUAAUAGAUACCGGUUCAGUUGCUAAGUGUUAGUAACUCGAAAUAAAAGGCUACGGAAUAAACGGAGACUAGCUAAAGGUGAGAUGACAAUAUGGUUUGGAAGUGUUUCCAAGGUUGAUGUGAUCAAGCAUCUCAUACUCCCUUUACCAUCGAGAUUGGUGUUAAACCUAAAUAAUUGUUAUUUGGUGUUUGCGUUGAGCAUAGACAUGAUUGGAUUAUGUUUAUCGCAAUACGGUUAUUCAUUUAAGGAGAAUAAUGGUUACUCUAUUUAUUUGAAUAAUACCUUCAAUGGUCUUGCACCUAAAAUGAAUGGUUUAUUGAAUCCCGAUCGUAGUGAUACACAUGUUCAUGCCAAAAGAUAUAAGAUAGUAAUGAUAGUACCACAUACUUGUGGCACUCCAAUUUGAGUUAUAUUGGUAUAAAACACAUGAAGAAGCUCCAUGUUGAUGGAUCUUUGGACUCACUUGAUUUUGAAUCACUUGAGACAUGCAAUUCAUACCACAUGGGCAAGAUGACUGAAAGGACUCGUUUUUCAGUAAGAGGGAACAAGAAAGUAGCUUGUUGGAAGUAAUACAUCUUGAUGUGUACAGUCCAAUGAGUGCCGAGGCAUGUAGUGGAUAUCGUUAUGUUCUUACUUCACAGAUGAUUUGAGUAUAUUUACUUGAUGAAUCACGAGUCUGAAUUAUUGAAAGGUUCAAGUAAUUUCAGGGUGAAGUUGGAAGAUCGUCGUGACAAAAGGAUAAGAUAUCUAAGAUAUGAUCAUAGAGAUGAAUAUCUGAAUUACGAGUUUGGCACAGAAUUAAGACAUUGUGGAAAUGGUUUCAUAGCUGAUACAGCCUGGAACACCAUAGUGUGAUGGUGUGUCCGAACAUCAUAACUGCACCCUAUUGGCUAUGAUGCAUACCAUGAUGUCUAUUAUCAAAUUAGCACUAUAGUUUAUGGGUUAGGCAUUAGAGACAACCACAUUCACUUUAAAUAGGGCACCACGCAAUUCCGCUUGAGUCGACACCGUAUGAACUAUGGUUUAGAGAAACCUAAGCUGUCAUUUCUUAAAAGUUUGGGGCUGUAACGCUUACGUGAAAAAGUUUCAGGCUGAUAAGCUCGAAACCAAAGCGGAUAAAUGCAUCUUCAUAGGACACCCAAAACAGUUGGGUAUACCUCUUGUCUCAGAUCCGAAAGCAAUAGGGAUUGUUUCUCGAAUCGGGUCCUUUCUUGAGGAAAAGUUUCUCUUGAAAGAAUUGAGUGGGAGGAUGGUGGAGACUUGAUGAGGUUAUUGAACCGUCACUUCAACUAAUGUGUAGCAGGGCACAGGGAGUUGUUCCUGUUGCACUUACACAAAUUGAAGUGGAAGCUUAUGAUAGUGAUCAUGAAACUUCGGAUCAAGUCACUACCAAACCUCGUAGGACGACAAGGAUGCAUACUACUUCAGAGUGGUACGUAAUCCUGUCUUGGAAGUCAUGUUGCUAGACAACAAUGAACCUACGAGCUAUGGAGAAGCGAUGGUGGGCCCGGAUUCCGAAAAAUGGCUCGAGGCCAUAAAAUACGAGAGAGGAUCCAUGUAUGAAAACAAAGUGUAGACUUUGGAAGAACUACUUGCUGGUCGUAAGGCUGUUGGGUGCAUAUGGAUUUUAAAAGGAAGACAGACCAUGAUGGUAAGUAUCACCAUUAGGAAAGCUCGACUUGUCGUUAAGAUUUUUUCCGACAAGUUCAAGGAGUUGACUACGAUGAGACUUUCUCACUCGUAGUGAUGCUAAGAGUCUGUUGGAAUUAUAUUAGCACGUACUGCAUUAUUUAUGAAAUCUUGUAGAUAGGAUGUCAAAAUAUUGUUUCCUUGAUGAUUUUCUUGAGGAAAGGUUGUAUGUGAUACAACCAGAAGAUUUUGUCAAUCCUGAAAGAUGCUAACAAGUAUUCAAAGCUCCGGCAAUCCUUCUAAGGACUGGAGUAAGCAUCUCGGAGUUGGAAUGUAUGCUUUGAUGAGAUGAUCAAAGAUUUGGGUUUAUACAAAGUUUAUGAGAAACUUGUAUUUCCAAAGAAGUGAGUGGGAGCACUAUAUAAUUUUUGAUGAGUAUAUGUUGUGAACAUAUUGUUGAUCAGAAAUGAUGUAGAAUUUCUGGAAAGCAUAUAGGGUCAUUUGAAAGGUGUUUUUCAAUGGAAAACCUGGAUUAAGCUACUUGAACAUUAAGCAUCAAGAUCUAUAAGGAUAGAUCAAAAACGCUUAAUGGUACUUUCAAAUGAGCACAUACCUUGACAUGAUCUUGUAGGUGUUCAAGAUGGAUCAGCCAAAGAAGGAGUUCUUGCCUGAGUUGUAAGGUAUGAAGUUAAGACUUAAAGCUCGACCACGGCAGAAGAAAGAGGAAGGACGAAGGUCGUCUCCUAUGCUUUUGUCAUAGGCUCUAUACGGUAUGCCAUGCUAAGUACCGCACCUGAUGUGUGCCUUGCCACAUGUCUGGCAAGAGGGUACAAAGAUGAUCUAGGAGUAGAUCACCAGAUAGCGGUCAAAAUUAGGAAUAAGGAUAUGUUUCUCGGUUAUGGAGGUGAUAAAGAGUUCGACUUAAAGAGUUACAUCGAUGCAAGCUUAACACCUAUCCGGAUAGCUCUAAGUAGAGAUACCGGAUUCGUAUAGUAAAACAGUUAUUUGAAAUGGCUCCAAAUAUAGCGUAGUAGCUGCAUCUGCAAGAUGACAUACAUACGAAUCUGAAUGUUGCAGACCCGUAGACUACAACAUCUCUCACAAGCAUAACAUGAUCAAACCCAGAACUCAUUGAGUGUUAAUCACAUAGUGAUGUGAACUAGAUUAUUGACUCUAGUAAACUCUUUGGAUGUUGGUCACAUGGCGAUGUGACCUGUGAGUGUUAAUCACAUGGCGAUGUGAACUAGAUUAUUGACUCUAGUGCAAGUGGGAGACUGUUGGAAAUAUGCCCUAGAGGCAAUAAUAAAUUGGUUAUUAUUAUAUUUCCUUGUUCAUGAUAAUCGUUUAUUAUCCAUGCUAUAAUUGUAUUGAUAGGAAACUCAGAUACAUGUGUGGAUACAUAGACAACACCAUGUCCCUAGUAAGCCUCUAGUUGACUAGCUCGUUGGUCAAUAGAUGGUUACGGUUUCCUGACCAUGGACAUUGGAUGUCGUUGAUAACGGGAUCACAUCAUUAGGAGAAUGAUGUGAUGGACAAGACCCAAUCCUAAGCCUAGCACAAAGAUCGUGUAGUUCGUAUGCUAAAGCUUUUCUAAUGUCAAGUAUCAUUUCCUUAGACCAUGAGAUUGUGCAACUCCCGGAUACCGUAGGAAUGCUUUGGGUGUACCAAACGUCACAACGUAACUGGGUGGCUAUAAAGGUACACUACGGGUAUCUCCGAAAGUGUUUGUUGGGUUGGCACGAAUCGAGACUAGGAUUUGUCACUCCGUGUGACGGAGAGGUAUCUCUGGGCCCACUCGGUAGGACAUCAUCAUAAUGUGCACAAUGUGACCAAGGAGUUGAUCACGGGAUGAUGUGUUACGGAACGAGUAAAGAGACUUGCCGGUAACGAGAUUGAACAAGAUAUCGGAUACCGACGAUCGAAUCUCGGGCAAGUACAAUACCGCUGGACAAAGGGAAUUGUAUACGGGAUUGAUUGAAUCCUCGACAUCGUGGUUCAUCCGAUGAGAUCAUCGUGGAACAUGUGGGAGCCAACAUGGGUAUCCAGAUCCCGCUGUUGGUUAUUGGCCGGAGAGUUGUCUCGGUCAUGUCUGCAUGGUUCCCGAACCCGUAGGGUCUACACACUUAAGGUUCGAUGACGCUAGAGUUGUUAUGGGAAAUAGUAUGUGGUUACCGAAGGUUGUUUGGAGUCCCGGAUGAGAUCCCGGACAUGACGAGGAGCUCCGAAAUGGUCCGGAGGUGAAGAUCAGUAUAUUGGACAAAGGGCAUUGGAGUCCGGAAUUGUUCUGGGGGUACGAGGUGACGACCAGCGUGUCCGAAAGGGGUUUCGGAGGCCCCGGCAAGCGUUGGGGGGCCUUAUGGGCCAAGGGGAGAGGGCACAUCAGCCCACUAAGGGGCUGAGCGCCCCUCCCACCCCACCUCACGUAACCAAGAGAGGUGGGGGCGCCUCCCCAAGGGCAGCCGCCCCUCCCGGCUUGGGGGGCAAGUUUCCUAGGGGGUGGGGACGCCCAAACCCAUCUAGGGUUUCCCUUGUGGCCGCCGCCCCUCCCCUAGGGAACCCUAGGGCGCCUCCCCUCCUCCCUUCCCCCUAUAUAUAGUGAGAGAGUGAGAGGGCAGCCGCACCCUUCCCCUGGCGCAGCCCUCUUCCACCUCCAAACACCUCAUCCUCCUCCGUAGUGCUUGGCGAAGCCCUGCUGGAGAACCACGAGCUCCAUCACCACCACGCUGUCGUGAUGUCGGAGUUUUCCCUCAACUUCUCCUCUCACCUUGCUGGAUCAAGAAGGAGGAGACGUCUCCCAACCGUACGUGUGUUGAACGUGGAGGUGCCGUCCGUUCGGCGCUAGGAUCAUUGGUGAUUUGGAUCACGGCGAGUACGACUCCAUCAACCCCGUUCACUUGAACGCUUCCGCUUAGCGAUCUACAAGGGUAUAUAGAUGCACUCUCCUUCCCCUCGUUGCUAGAUUACUCCAUAGAUUGAUCUUGGUGAUGCGUAGAAAAUUUUGAAUUUCUGCUACGAUCCCCAACAAUCUUUGCUUCUGGUACAAGUGAAUGUUUCUUCUUUAAGCUAGUGUUGGUGCUGAUUAGACAGCGGUAAUGACUAUGAUGAUUAAAUAGUGGUAAUAACGACUACGAUGAUUUUUAGCUAGCUAGUAUACUGUUGUUGGUGAUGAUAUCAUGCAAGAGUUUAUAUAUUAAUAUGUGAUGAUGGUGAUGAUGAUGAUGAUGAGUUAUUAUAUAUAUCAUUUAUGAAAGAAACCGCAAAUUAGUUUGAACUGGAUGGAUCCUAGCUAAGUGAUAUAUGCCAUAUCCAUAUUACUUGAACACUUAGAUGAUCAAGUAAUAUGGAUAUAUGGCAUAUACUUGAUCACUCAGCUAGCUAGGAUCCACAUGCAUCCAGUCGAAACUAAUCUGUGGUACUUUCACCUAAUGAUUUAACAACUCAUUAUAACGUAAAACAAUCCUAAAUUAAAUUGAUAACACAAAUUUAAAGGAAAAAUAAAAAAUAAAACCAAAACCCCUAAACAUUUAGUAUCGGUUGGUGUUACCAACCGGUACUAAUGAUCUACCGCACCCGUGGCCUGGCUCGUGCCACGUGGUGGCACUUUAGCACCGGUUCGUGCCGAACUGGUACUAAAGGGGGGCCUUUAGUGCCCACCCUUUAGUGCCGGUUAUGCAACCGACACUAAAGGUCUUUACAAACCGGGACUAAAGCCCGGUUCUGCACUAGUGUCCGAGCAUUAGUAAGGUACACAUCAAUAACAGGUAUAUCAAAUAUACCUUUCACUUUGCCAUCCUUAUUCUCCGCCAAAUACUUGGGGCAGUUCCGCUUCUAGUGACCAGUCCCUUUGCAGUAGAAGCACUCAGUCUCAUGCUUAGGUCCAGACUUGGGCUUCUUCACUUGAGCAGCAACUUGCUUGUCGUUCUUCUUGAAGUUCCCUUUCUUCCCUUUACCCUUUUCUUGAAACUGGUGGUCUUGUUGACCAUCAACACUUGAUGCUCCUUCGUGAUUUCUACCUCCGCGGCCUUUAGCAUUGCGAAGAGCUCGGGAAUCGUCUUAUCCAUCCCUUGCAUAUUCUAGUUCAUCACGAAGCUCUUGUAGCUUGGUGGCAGUGAUUGAAGAACUCUGUCGAUGACACUAUCAUCAGGAAGAUUAACUUCCAGCUGAGUCAAGUGUUUGUGGUACCCAGACAUUCUGAGUAUAUGUUCAUUGACAGAACUAUUCUCCUCCAUUUUGCAGCUGUAGAACUUAUUGGAGACUUCAUAUCUCUCAAUCCGGGCAUUUGCUUGAAAUAUUAACUUCAACUCCAGGAACAUCUCAUAUGCUCCAUGAUGUUCAAAAUGUCAUUGAAGUCCUCUAAGCCAUAAAGCAUGGCACACUAAACUAUUGAGUAGUCAUCAGCUUUGCUUUGCCAGAUGUUCAUAACAUCUGGUGUUGCUCCUGCAGCGGGUUUGUCACCUAGCGCUGCUUCCAGGACGUAAUUCGUCUGUGCAGCAACGAGUAUAAUCCUCAAGUUACGGACCUAGUCCGUGUAAUUGCUACCAUCAUCUCAACUUAGCUUUCUCUAUGAACGCAUUAAAAUUCAACGGAACAACAGCACGGGCCAUCUAUCUACAACAAAAUAGACAUGCAAAAUACUAUCAGGUACUAAGUUCAUGAUAAACUAAAGUUCAAUUAAUCAUAUUACUUAAGAACUCUCACUUAGAUAGACAUCCCUCUAAUCAUCUAAGUGAUCACAUGAUCCAUAUCAACUAAACCUUGUCCAAUCAUCACGUGAGAUGGAGUAGUUUUCAAUGGUGAACAUCACUAUGUUGAUCAUAUCUACUAUAUGAUUCACGCUCGACCUUUCGGUCUCAAUGUUCCGAGGCCAUAUCUGCAUAUGCUAGGCUCAGCAAGUUAACCUGAGUAUUCUACGUGUGCAAAACUGGCUUGCACCCGUUGUAUGUGAAUGUAGAGCUUAUCCCACCCGAUCAUCAUGUGGUGUCUCGGCACGACGAACUAUAGCAAUGGUGCAUACUCAGGGAGAACACUUGUACCUUGAAAUUUAGUGAGAGAUCAUCAUAUAAUGCUAUCGCCGAACUAAGCAAAAUAAGAUGCAUCAAGGAUAAACAUCACAUGCAAUCAAUAUAAGUGAUAUGAUAUGGCCAUCAUCAUCUUGUGCCUUUGAUCUCCAUCUCCAAAGCACUGUCAUGAUCACCAUCGUCACUGGCUUGACACCUUGAUCUCCAUCGAAGCAUCGUUGUCGCCUCGCCAACUAUUUCUUCUAUGACUAUCGCUCCCGCUUAGUGAUGAUGUAAAGCAAUUACAUGGAGAUUGCAUUUCAUACAAUAAAGCGACAACCAUAUGGCUCCUGCUAGUUGCUGAUAACUCUGUUACAAAACAUGAUCAUCUCAUACAAUAAAACUUAGCAUCAUGUCUUGACCAUAUCACAUCACAACAUGCCCUGCAAAAACAAGUUAGACGUCCUCUACUUUGUUGUUGAAAGUUUUAUGUGGCUGCUACGGGCUGAGCAAGAACCAUUCUUACCUAGGCAUCAAAAACCACAACGCGGUAUAGUGAUUGCUUUUUGAUCUUCAGAAAGAACCCUGUUCAUUGAAUCUGAUUCAACUAAAGUUGGAGAAACUGACACCCACUAGCCACUUGUGUGCGAAGCAUGUCGGUAGAACGAGUCUCGCGUAAGCGUGCGCGUAAUGUCAGUCUGAGCCGCUUCAUCCAACAAUACCGCUGAAUCAAGAAUCAACUAGUGACGGCAAGCAAUAUGUAUAUACCCACGACCACAACUCCUUUGUGUUCUACUCGGGCAUAUAACAUCUACGCAUAAACCUGGCUCGGAUGCCACUGUUGGAGAAAUGCUGUAAUUUCAAAAAAAUUCCUAUGCACACGCAAGAUCCAUCUAGGUGAUGCAUAGCAACGAGAGGGGACAAUGUUGUCCACAUACCCUCGUAGACCGUAAGUGGAAGUGUUAUGACAAUGCGGUUGAUGUACUCGUAUGUCUUCACGAUCCGACCGGUCCUAGUACCGAAGAUACGGCACCUCCGCGAUCUGCACAUGUUCAGCUUGGUGAUGUCCCACGAACUCUAGAUCCAGCUGAGGUCAAGGGAGAGUUGCGUCAGCAUGACAGCGUGGUGACGAUGAUGAUGAAGCUACGGGCGCAGAGCUUUGCCUAAGCACUGCAACGAUAUGACCAAGGUGGAAAUCUGUGGAGGGGGGCACCGCACACGGCUAAGAUCAACUUUGAUGUGUUCCAGGGUGCCCCCCUCCCCAUGUAUAUAAAGGAAGGAGGGGGAGGUUGUCGGGGGACUGAUACACGAACACCUAUGGGACCGGCGGACCGAGUCCCUUUCGGUUCGGCGGGGGCGGAGGUCGCACGAAGAGCGGAUCGAGGCGAAGCACACGAGCAGUUUAAUCAGGUUCGGGCCGCACGGAUGCGUAAAACCCUACUCCUGCUUUGUGGUUUGUAUUGAGUUCUUUCUCGGGAGCGCGGAGUGCUACAGUACACACCAGCGGCUAACGAGACCGAGCCUGAGUGUUCUCUCUUCCGAACCCCCCUCUACGUUGCACAUGGGCCUCCUUUUAUAUGCUCAAGGGGUCACCGACAGGUGGCAACGGAGACAAAGGGUAAAAAUGGAAAGGUGCUGUGGUAGGUACAGCUACCUGCUACAGUGUAUCAUACCUAACCCUGACGGCAGGGGACAAGGGCAUUAAAUGCCCUUCUGUGUCGCCUAAACAGUGCAAAAGGGACCAUCAGGGACGCCACCGCUUGCCACGAUGGCGAUCUUGUCAGCGCCGCUCGCCACCGCGCACCGCAGGCUGCACAGCCGCCCGCCACGUAUGCCUGGAAGGGUCCCAGAGCGACACGUUGGUGGAUGUGCUGGAGCGCGGGCAAAGUGGUGGCUUGCCGUGGCGAACGCCUUAUCGCGGUUGUUGUCUUGUCGCGCCCGGGAGCUUGUCGCUCACCGGGCCUUGCCGGGACGCGUGGCGCGUCGCGGCAAGCUCCUUGAGAUGCCUUGGUUGGCCUUCCCGGCAAGCUCCUCUUGCCGGGGUCUUGAGGUGCCUUGAUUGGCCUUCCCGGCAAGCUCCUCUUGCCGGGGUCUUGAGGUGCCUUGAUUGGCCUUCCCGGCAAGCUCCUCUUGCCGGGGUCUUGAAAUGCCUUGGCUUGGAUACUUUGUUCUUGAAUGGCUCCAAAGGAACCACGGAGGACCUUGGCGGUCACCUGGCAAGCCUUGCCGCGGGAUGCUGCGACUGCCUGUGCACAAGUUCGGGAUACUAGGGUACCCCUACUCUAGUACACCGACAGGAGCCCCCGGGCCUGGGCCAUACACGGUGCCAAGCGCUGUUGGGCCAGGCCCAAAACAGGGCACGGGCACGCGCGGCCUAGGUUACGCCGUAUCUCACUCCGUAUCCGCCGCGCCCUCCCCGAACGGCACGCGUUGAAUGCGGCAUCGUGGGAGAGAUUGUGGGUGGUUUCUUUAUUCGGAAAUGCGAAAUGUCCGCCCCUCCCUCUUUAUAAGCAGGGGAAACAGGGGAAGUUCGCCCAUUCGCCUGUUGCUGCUUCCAAUCUCAGAAAUCUCCGCCGCUCCCUCGCCUUCCCAAAGCUGAGAGAGAGAGAGCAGCGCUCCGCCCCUCAUCGCCACCAGCACCACCAACGCCGUCGACCUCCUCCACCACUUCCGCCAUGGCUCCAAAAGCCGACAAGGGGAAGGUCGUGAAGUCGACCGAGGCACAACGGCUUGCGGGGCUGCAGAAGGAGCGGGCCGUCUUCCCCCCCAAGCUUGCCGCGAAGGAGCUGAGGGAGAACUACUACCUCUUCUGGUCGACGGAGACGCGCGCGCAUCCGCGCACGAAGGUACUCCCCGCCGCCGCUUGGAAGAAGGCCCCAAACGGAUACCCUUUCUUCGCAUUGUUCUUCUACUGCGGGCUCUGCCCGCCUUUCUCUGAAUUCUUCUGCGACAUCAUGAAUACCUACGGAUUCCAUCUCCUUGACUUCACCCCCAAUGCCGUUCUGACCAUGGCAGUUUUCGCACAUCUCUGCAAAAACUUUGUCGGAGUCCAUCCCAGUGUAGCCCUCUUUCGCCAUUUCUUCAUACCCGGAGUAGAGAGAGGAGAGCCUCUAUCCGGCGGAAUCGCCUGGAUAUCAAGGGCCGGCAAGAAGGAAACUUAUCUGGAGGGAGAAUUCCGCGGCAAGUGGGAGGAGUGGAGAGCAGACUGGUGCUGGAUUGACGAGGAGAACCCGCAGCCAUUCACCACCCGGCGCCAAACCCCAGUAGCACGCGGCAGCGAUUGGAGUGACGUGGCCCCGGAAGACGACAGGCUGAAGAUUGCUGUCACCCGGAUCCUGCGCCUCAGGCUUGCCGGGCUCACUAUAGGCGCUGUUGGCGCAGACUUUCUUCGCCGCCCCAUCGCCCCCCUGCAGGAAUGGGGGAGACCCACUUGGGAGUUCAAGAAUGCGGCAGAUAUCAUGAGGCUGCGGCCGGGCCUCAACUUCAACUUCACAGUUCUGGAGCUCAACACGAUGCUCCAGGAGCUGUUCAAGUACGACCCUCAACACCCCGAAGUUUUCAGGUUGCCGGGGGGUGUCGUUCCGUUGUGCAACAAUUCCGCGCUCGACCGCAUCCGUGCAAUGAUGCAGCUGUGCGACUCGCAUGGAAUUGUGCCAACUUGGCAGGAGCCUGCAGACGACGUCGUGCAGCAGUUCUUCGAUGACUUGGUAGAAGUGCCGAUCCGCUCCGACGAGAAGGACAGCCUCACCCGCGACACCACGGAUGCGGAGAUGGCACUCAUCGCCACCAGGCUGGAAGAGGCGGCGGCAGCCGCAGCCACUGGCGAAUUUGGGUUCACCAUGGAGGAGGCAGAGGCAGCAGAGGCGGCAAGCCAUGCCGAGUGAGGGGAGCCCGCCGGCAAGAAGGAGCUUGCCGGGUGUGACGCCGAGCCGAGCGAGCCCGCCAAGGACACGAGCGGCUCGCUAGAAAUCAACUCCUCUUCCUCCUCAUCUUCGGGCAGCUCGCUGCAAGCAGAACCUUCAUCCUCACCAAGAAGGCGUCUCCGCAAGGCCGGUGAUGUAGCGGAGCGGCAAGCGGGUCAACAGUCGCCGCGCCGCGUGACACGCUCCACCGCGGCAAACACCGUUGCCGCGGGAGCGCCUCAUGCUGCGACGGCAACUGGAGCGGGAUCUAGCCGGACCACCGCUUCAGUUCCUGCCGCUGCUCACGCCGCGCCAGCAGCUGGAGCGGGGUCGUCUCAGACCACCGCCACUGCUCCCGCCAAGCGGCCAAGGGAAGCUUCUCCUCCGCCUCCUCGCGCCAGGCGCGCGCCGGACUUCGACUUCUCCGCGUUCAGCUCCGACGAGGAAGAAGAAGAAGAGUAAGCUUCUCUUGCUAUACUUGUAGUUCUUCAAUUCCUGCUGUUUUUCUUGUAUCUCAUUUGCUUUUCUUUCUGAACUUGUUCCUCUUUAGGACUCUGGCCCAGAGAGCGGCAAAGAGAGCUAAGGUCCCGGUGAUCAUCAUCGAGGACGAGCCUACUGCGACAGCAGGUGGCGCGCCCGAGACAACCUUGCCGGACCCGGCGACUUUCCUCUAGAGCAGCCCCUAGCGUAUGUGUAUGAUUUACUUUCCGCUGCGAGGCACACAUGGGUACUUGUCUUUGCUGAUAUCUGCUUGUUGAUUUGUGUAGGAGCCGAGCAGCCCCACCAAGAGCCAAGGGAGAGUCCUCCGGCGAGGGAGGGCUUUCCGGUAAGGGAGAAGUCUCCCGCAAGGGAGGGUUCUCCGGCAAGGGACAGCGCCAGCGGCCCUCCGACGGCGGAGAACCUGACUGCAGAAACUGGCACAGGUAAUCCUUUUGCUGCAAAACUUCCCUUGGGUCCUUCUUCUCUUGAUCUUCCUGGGUUUUUGCUGGAUUUUUCUUGACUCUUCUCCCCUUGCCGGCUGUCACACCCAUCUGCUGCGGAGCAGAUGGAGACCGAGGUCGCCGCCGAAGAAGCAGCCGGCGCUGGCGAUCCCAUCGGCGCCGAGGCCGCCAAGGCUACCGCCGCAGCAACUGGCGAGGGGUCUGGCGAUCGUACUGAUGGCCUAGAGGCCGCAGGAGCGCCAGGCGCUACGCCGACCGCCGGCCCGUCCGCCGAAGCCGCAGCGCCAAGCUCCGAGGAGCCCCAGCCGGGCAUCUACUUGAAGGCCGGCGAUGACGUCUUCAUCAACCUCCCCUGGGCAUCAAGCUCCAGGGCGCCGGUCGAGGGAGAGACCUUCUACGGGGAGGUGCUCGCCUCCGCUGGGUUGACGGUGGUUGACGCGCCAAGCAGCAGCAACGAGCCUGAGGAGGAGCGGCUGCUGCGAAAGCUGGUGUCACUCUACCGCGCGUGGCAAGCCAAGCUGGAGUCCCGCGAGGCGCUUGUCGCGAAGGCGGAAGCAGUCAUCGAGAAGCGCGCGGAGGAGCUCUGGGGCUUCCACCAGGAAACUCGUCGGUCCUUGGCAGAGGAGCGGGAGCAACUCGACGAAGCGCAGAAGGCCUUCCUCCUCGAAAAAGCUGAAAUCGAAGAGCAACAGCGGCUUGCCGCCGUGAAGCUAUCCGCGGAGGAGGGUGAGCUGGCGCAGCGGAAGGUUAAUCUUGACGCCCACGAGGAGGAGCUCGCCCUGCGCGAGGAAAAACUCGGCAGAGCCCUCAAGCAAGCAGAGGAUGCUGCCGCCGCCGCCGUGGCCGCCAAUAAGGAGUUGGAGACGAAGGUGGCGCAGCUGGAGGCCGCUCUCGCCGAGAAGAGCAAAGAGCUCAGCGCCGCCAAGGACUCCAACACGGGUCUUGAGUUGAACCUGACCACUUUGACCAAGACGUUGGACAGCGCCAAGAAGCAGGAGGCGGCCUUGAAGGAGGAGAUCAAGGCCGACAAGGCGCUGCUAGAGAGUGUUGCCGCCACCCAAAACGCCUUCAGGGAGACUGUGGAGCACUGGACGGAGAGUCUUGUGAAUGCUGCCACAGACAUUGACAGGGAGUUGGCGCAGCUGGGGAUGGAGGAUCUCGGGUAUCCCUCCGACGAGAACCUCCAGCCCAGCGCCAAGCUCGUCUUGUUCUUCAAGGGUGUGGCGACGGCCCUCCAGCAACUCCAGGAGAAGAUCAGAAGGCAGCUGGCCGACGAGUCGCGCAAGAUCUGCGCGGGAGCUCUCCAGAAAGUGUUGAUGAAGGUGGCCUUCUGCAAUCCGAGCCUCAACCUCACCAACGUCCUCAGGACCCUGCCGCCGGAUGCUGAUCUGGAGGCGCUCAAGGCUCUUGUCGCACCCAUUGUGGACAAGGUGAGAGGGAUCAAGAGGAUCGAAGGCAAUCGUGUAGAUUAGGCCGCCCAUUUCUUCUUUUCUUGUCGCUGUUUGUCAUGUUAUGAAAACAGUCUGUUAGAGCUGCGACAAGCUAUCUUUGUAAUAUAACUCUAUUCUGGGUAAUGAUUGCAAUGUUAUUCCCUUUACUUGAUUCCUCCCUUUGUAUGUUUUUGCCCUAUGCUUUUAGGGAACUUGCCGGUGCAGGCACCUGAGCCGUGAGCGCUGAGUGCGGGACGUCAGCAGCCUGCUGGCGGUGCCGCUACUGACAAGAAACCUUGUCGCAACUAGUUGCAGCUCACUUAAGUUGUUGAGCGGAGCGAAACAAAGUAAGGGCGCAACUAGCUACGAGUUGGUUCCUCCGCGCACAGGUUUUCCAUACAAAGUGCGGUCGUUCAAGGGACAUAACUUAAAAAUUUUAAAAAUCUGAUUGCUCAAACUUUGGCAACUUAGCUUUUCUGUUGUUUGCUUCCCGGUAAGGCGAAAUUUUCUUGAACGACGCCUGGUCCAUACCAUUAUCUUCUCCUUUCCUCCCCGGCAAACUUGUGGGCGAGGGAACCUUCCUUUCCUUGAGAAAAAAGAAAGAAGAGAAAAUAAAGAUACGGAGCCUUACGGCUCGUUAUUGCUUACCGUGGAGUAGGUGCUGCACAAAGUGUCAGAUCAUAUAUGCCAAAAAAUAGAGAGCAUGAAACUGACAAAAUGUGCGGAGCACAUGAGCUUUACUUAUGCACGGGGUCUGCGCCCGGCUUUGUACAAAGGAUUACAUGCAACAGCGGCAAGACUUGUACAAAAGGUGGUUGCCGGAACAGGUUCCGGCAACCGCGCCUUACGGGUAAAACUUACGAAGAUGCUCAAUGUUCCAGGAGUUGCUCACCGGAAUGCCAUCUUCGGUCUCAAGGCAGACAGCGCCAGGCCUAGUGACUCGUUUCACCCGGUAAGGGCCUUCCCACUUCGGCGUCAACUUGUUGGAAUUCUUGGCGGACUGAACACGCCGAAGAACAAGGUCGCCUUCCUCGAAACUUCUGGCGUUAACUUUGCGGCUAUGGUAGCGGCGCAAAGCUUGCUGGUAGCGAGCACCUCACACAGCAGCCUGAAGACGGUCUUCCUCAAGGAGCAGCGCGUCAUCUUGUCGCAGCUGCUCUUGCUCAAGCUCAUCAUAAGCGAGCACUCGAGGUGACCCGUAUACGAGUUCCGUGGGGAUAACUGUCUCUACUCCAUAGAUUAGAGCGAAAGGUGUCUGGCCAGUGGCUCGAUUUGGUGUCGUUCUGAUCGACCAAAGAACCACCGGCAGCUCCUCGAUCUAGUUUCUUCCGCACUUGUGCAGCCUGUCGAAAGUUCUGGUCUUGAGCCCGCGCAGCACUUCAGCAUUUGCCCUCUCCGCUUGACCGUUGCUUCUCGGGUGAGCAACAGAAGCGAAGCAGACCUUGGCGCCAAGAUCUUGGACGUACUGCAUGAAGGUGCGGAUUGUGAAUUGCGUACCGUUGUCGGUGAUUAUCCCGUUAGGGAUCCCGAAGCAGCAAACAAUCGACCUGAAGAACUUGACUGCUGACUGUGCUGUCACCUUCCUCACUGGUUCCACUUCCGGCCACUUUGUGAACUUGUCGAUUGCAACGUACAAGUACUCAAAGCCCCCGACUGCUCGGGGAAAGGGGCCGAGGAUGUCGAGCCCCCAGACCGAAAAUGGCCAAGAUAAAGGGAUCGUCUGGAGAGCUUGAGCUGGUUGGUGUAUCUGCUUGGAAUGGAACUGGCACGCUUCACACUUGGUUACUUGUGCAGUUGCAUCCUGGAGGGCUGUUGGCCAAAAGAAACCUUGUCGGAAUGCUUUGCCGACAAGUGCUCUUGCGCCAAUGUGGUGACCACAUAUGCCUCCAUGUAUCUCUGCCAACAGCUUUUGUCCGUCUUCCCGGUGAAUACACUUCAAUUUCACACCGUUGAGUCUUCUUCUGUACAGUGUCUUGUCGACAAACUGGUACAUACUUGACUGCCGGGCUACUCUUUCCGCUUCUUCUUGCUCUUCGGGAAGUUCUCCUGUCUGAAGGAAACGGACAAUCUGUUGUGCCCAUGCUGGAGCUUGUGGCUCGACAACAAGGACUAAAGGCAAAUUUGCUACUACGGGAACAUCCGCUUCCACGGCGAGAACCUGCGGCUCCGCCGGAGCUUGACGUUCCCCGGCAAGUUUGCCGGAGCAAAACUUGUCGGGAGCUUCUGCUUCGACGGAACAAACCCUAGGGUUUGCCGGAGCAGAUUGCUCCUCAGCGCAAGGCAAAUCUGUUGCUGCGGGAACGUCCGCUUCUACGGCGAGAACCUUCGGCCCUGCCGGAGCUUGACGUUCCCCGGCAAGCUUGCCGGGGCAAAACUUGCCGGGAGCUUCUACUUCAACGGAACAAACACUAGGGCUUGCCAGAGCAGAUUGCUCCUCAGCGCUCUUGGUGUUGAUCUUGGGGACCUUCUUGGCGGCGGCUUCGGGAAGCUCUGCUGGAAAAUAGUCACCAGAAAUCAACUUCCUCUUCUUGCUCUGUCCAGUUGAUGGUGUUACGGACGGUUGAGUCAGCUUGAGCACAAAGAUCCCUGGUUCCACAGGUAACUUAAGUGCAGCACACUUUGACAGGCCAUCGGCAAUGGCGUUCUGAGCUCUUGGAACAUGCUCCAUCUGCAGGCCGUCAAAGUGCUCUUCUAGCUUUCUCACUUCGUCGACGUAGGCUUCCAUCAACGGACUCUGAUAACUCUUGUUCACUUGGCGGACGACAAGCUGUGAGUCACCCCUGACAAUGAGCUUCUUGAUCCCAAGGUCUGCCGCGAUCCUGAGACCGGCAAGCAAGCCUUCAUACUCUGCAGUAUUGUUUGUUGCUUGCUCCUUGGGAAAGUGCAUCUGGACUAUGUACUUGAGGUGCUCUCUGGUGGGUGCGAUAAGUAGCACGCCAGCGCCGGCGCCUUGCAGCGAAAAAGCACCAUCAAAGUACAUCAGCCACUCUUUGCUUGCUUCGUCGACGGGGAUGCUUGUUUCUGGAAUUUCUUCAUCUGGUGUUGGCGUCCAUUCUGCUAUAAAUUCUGCCAAUGCUCUGCUCUAGAUAGUUGAAGUACUCUCAAACUUGAGGCCAAAGCUUGACAGUUCCAGUUCCCACUCAACGAUCCUGCCUGUCGCUUCUGGAUUCUGUAGUAUCCUCUUCAGCGGAAAGCGAGUGACAACUGUGAUCUCAUGUGCUUGGAAGUAAUAGCGCAGCUUUCUCGAGGCCAUGAGAAGGCCGAACAGCAAUUUCUGCACACCAGAGUACCUUGACCUAGCCCCCUGCAGAAGGGAACUAACAAAGUAAACUGGGCGCUGCACCAUUUUCUUUUGUAUCUCCUCGCGCAUCUGCGCAGAUCCAUCUUUGUCAGGACCAGAGCUUGCCGGGGAAGCCUCCUGCUUGUCGCUGGAUGCGCCUGCCAUGGUUGCUGGCUCUUCAUCUACCUCCCUUUCUACCACUAACGCAGCACUAACCACUUGAUUGGUUGCCGCUAUAUACAGCAGCAACUUCUCUUGUGGCUUAGGUGCGACAAGUGUUGGAGCGGAGGACAGGUAUCUCUUCAAGUCUUGCAGUGCAGCCUCCGCUUCCGGAGUCCAUUUCAUUGGACCUGCCUUUUUCAAUAAUUUGAAAAACGGCAGGGCGCGCUCAGCAGACCUAGAUAUAAACCUGCUGAGAGCAGCCACUCAACCGGCAAGUCUUUGUACAUCCUUGACGCGCUUCGGUGCUUCGAUCUGCUCAAUGGCCUUGAUCUUGUCGGGAUUGGCUUCGAUUCCCCGCUGAGACACGAAGAACCCGAGAAGCUUGCCGGAGGGGACUCCAAACACACACUUCUCGGGGUUAAGCUUGAGGCUGAUCUUGCGCAGAUUUGCAAAUGUCUCGUCUAAAUCUUGAAUCAGAGUUGCCUUGUCCUUGCUCUUGACCACUAUGUCAUCCAUGUAGGCUUCCACAUUUCUGUGUAUUUGUGGCUCAAGAGCGACAUGGACUACUCUUGCAAAUGUUGAGCCAGCAUUUUUUAAACCGAAAGGCAUCCGUAUGAAACAGUACGUGCCACAUGGAGUAAUAAAUGCGGUCUUCUCUUCAUCCUCUUCUGCCAUGAAGAUCUGAUGGUAUCCUGAGUAUGCGUCAAGAAAUGAAAGCAAAUCACAUCCGGCUGUGGAGUCAACAAUCUGGUCAAUGCGCGGCAAAGGAAAUGGGUCUUUGGCACAAGCUUUGUUAACAUCGGUAAAAUCGAUACAAAGUCUCCAUUUCCCGUUUGCCUUGCGCACGACUACAGGAUUGGCCAACCACGUAGGAUGGAGCACUCCUCUGACAAGGCCUGCUGCUUCCAACUUCUUGAUCUCCUCUGCAAUGAAUUCUUCGCGCUCCACUGCUUGCUUCCUGACCUUCUGCUUGACGGGCCGCGCAUGAGGACAAACGGCAAGGUGGUGCUUAAUUACUUUCCUGGGAACACCGGGGAUGUCAGACGGUUGCCACGCAAACACGUCAACAUUCGCCCGCAGGAAAGCAAUGAGCGCGCUUUCCUAUUUAGGGUCGAGAGUGGCACUGAUGGUGAAGGUACCACCAGUGCCGUCCUCCUUGGCGGACACCUUCUUCGUCUCUGGCGGAGCCGCCAUUGUCUUCUUACACUUGCCGGUGGAGCUCGAUGGUGCGUCCUCGACGGCAGCGCAGCACUCCGAAGAGGUGCGCUUGCCGGAGCGGGCAUCAGAACUCUUGCCGGACUUGGUCUUCUUCUUCCCCCCGGGAGCUUCAACAGGAAGUGACUUGCGAUCUGUUGCGACUGCCACUUCCCGGUAGAUCUUGUCGGCGCAGAUAAGAGCAUCCUUCUUGUCGUCGGGGACAGAGAUGACGCUUAUCGGGCCUGGCAUCUUCAGCAUGUUGUAUGCAUAGUGAGAGGCCGCCAUGAACUUGGCGAGUGCUGGACGGCCAAGUAUCCCAUUGUAAGGCAAUGGAAUAUCGGCAACGUCAAAAGUGACCCUCUUAGUCCUGAAGUUCAGCUCGCUGCCAAAUGUUACAGGCAAUGUGACCUUCCCCUUUGGCUUGCUCCUUCACGGGUUGAUUCCUUGGAAUGUGCCGGUCUCUUCGAGCUCGCUAUCAGGGAUCUGGAGUUUCUGGAGUACGGCGGAGGAGAUCAGGUUCAAGCCGGCCCCGCCGUCAACUAGCAUCUUAGUGACCUUGAGGUUGCGGAUAGUUGGUGAAACCAACAUCAGCAAGCACCCGACCGCAAUUGUGCGAUCAGGGUGGUCCUCAAUGUCAAAGAUGAUAGGCGUGCUGGACCAUUUCAGAAGCUUGCGUGACUCGACAGGUGGCUCCGCCGCAUUGAUUUCCCGCACCCAUUGCUUGAGUUGGCGGUGCGAAGUAUGCAGAGAAGCACCGCCAUCAACGCACAAGACUUCUGUGGCUUUCUGGAAUUCCUGCUCACUGGUCUCGACAUCAUCCAUGUCUUCGUCGUCGUCGUCUUCAUCCUUGUCGCGGCCGCGGGGAGGUCUGUCUCCUUGCCGCGGCGUCCUCCCCGGCCGGCGCGCUUCUUGCCGGAUUCUCCAUCGCCACCUUGGGCCCUCUCCUUGUCGCGUCGCUCGUAUUCGGCUUUUUGCUGCUGUACAAGCUGCUCGACCUUCUUGCAGCUCUGGAGGUCAUGGCCCUUGGUGCGGUGGAUCUUGCAGUACUGCUUGUCGGCGCCGUCCUGCUUGUCGGCGACUGCCACAGCCUGGUAGUUGGUGCAUGCAGCAAUCUCCUUGCUGGAGCUACCAACUUUGGCUUUCUUGGCGCCACCUUCGUUGCCGGACUGCUCAACAACUAGCACAUCUUUUCCUUUCUUGUUCCUGUUCCGCCACCGGUUUUUCUUUGCCGGGGCAGCAUCCUCGCUGUCAGAUCCUCCUGCUCCUGUAUUCUCUCCAGGGAGUUUCCUCCCUUCCUCAGCACGUGCACACUUGUCGGCCAGGGCAUACAGCUCACUGACGUCUCUGAUCUUGCACAUCGCCAUCUCCUCCCGCAUCCUGCAGUUACGCACGUUCUAAUGGAACGCGCUGAUGACCGCAGCAGGGUGGACAUCUGGGAUGUUGUGCUGUACAUGGCUGAAUCUCUGAAUGUACUUGCGCAGGGGCUCUCCUUCCUUCUGGGCGAGCAGAUGAAGGUCACUCUCUUGGCCAUGAGGUUUGUGGCCGCCCGUAAAGGCGCCGACAAACUGAUGGCAAAGGUCUGCCCAGGAGGAUAUGGAGUUGUCCGGCAAGUGCAUGAUCCAGGACCUGAUGUUGGGCUUGAGCACCAGCGGGAAGUAGUUGGCAAGGAUCUUGUCGUCCCGUCCCCCGGCAGCAUUCACCGCGAUAGUGUAGAUGAUGAGGAACUCCGACGGAUGCGACUUGCCGUCGUACUUCUCUGGUACAUCUGGCUUGAAAUUCUUCAUGCUGGGCCACUGGACUUGCCGCAGCUCACGAGUAAACGCAGGGCAACCUACCGCGUACGGCAAGUCGCCUGGUUCCCCUGGCGCAUGCAUGUCGACAGAGGGCCCAGCACGCUGGUCUGAUUGAUGUCGCGCAUCUCUUCAGCCCUCGAUGCGUGUACGAGCGUCAUCUUGUUGUCGUUCAUGAAGAACUUGGCGCUGAUCGCGACGAGCUCGUGGAUCUGAUGACGCGGUGGAGUCGCUGUCGAGGUGGAUCCGGCGAGUCGGUGAUCUUGGCCUUUGGGGCGGAGAGUGCACAAUGGUUGCACCCCCACCGGUCGUGUCGCCACCGGCUCGUGCCUGGCUGGCUUGCCGCGGCUACGACGUGCUCGGCUGCUGUUGAGUGUCGCCGUUGGCGAAGCCGAUGAGACUCUGAAUGGUGGCCCUCCAGUCGUCGAUCUUGUCUGCCGUUGGAGGGUAGUCCAGGAGCAGUUGAGCUCGCGCUAAAGCUUCUGCUGCAGUGGCGGGUGGCGGUGGCGAACGGUGCGAGGAGCGGGAUAUGCUCGGACUUCUAACUAUGUUAGAAGGAGCAGUGUCCCGUCCAGGCGACCGUGCCUCGCUCGUGCCAGCACAUUGGCGUGCAUGCUGGUCUUGAGCACUCCGGGAUCCACCAGCUCGAUCUUGGUCCAGCAAACACAUGGUACCGUGAGUACCAUAACGCUGCCGGUCCCGCGCCUCCUGAGAUGGGCGCGGUGCAUGUACGGACGCCGAGGUCUUGGAGUACGCCCGGUCGUUGUGGGAGCCGGCUACGCCGCCGAUGGGCAGCGCAGCCUUGUCCUUCGACCUGGCAGCACCGUGAGCUCCUCCGUUGACACCCGUUCUUCCGCCGGCGUAAGCCCCACCAGACAUUUGCUUCGGAGGUGGUGGGCUCGGCGCGGACGGAGCAUCUGCCUCCGAAGCCUUCUUCUUCGGCGGCAUGUCGAUGAAGAUAAUGAAGAUCUAGCUCGCGCGAACGCCGGAUCUGGUUCACACAACCUCGACGCCCCUACCUGGCGCGCUAAAGAUGUCGGGGGACUGAUCCACGAACACCUAUGGAACCGGCGGACCGAGUCCCUUUCGGUUCGGCGGGGGCGGAGGUCGCAUGAAGAGCGGAUCGAGGCGAAGCACACGAGCAGUUUACCCAGGUUCGGGCCGCACGGAUGCGUAAAACCCUACUCCUGCUUUGUGGUUUGUAUUGAGUUCUUGCUCGGGAGCGCGGAGUGCUACAGUACACACCAGUGGCUAACGAGACCGAGCCUGAGUGUUCUCUCUUCCUAACCCCCCCUCUACGUUGCACAUGGGCCUCCUUUUAUAUGCUCAAGGGGUCACCGACAGGUGGCAACGGAGACAAAGGGUAAAAAUGGAAAGGUGCUGUGGUAGGUACAGCUACCUGGUAUAGUGUAUCAUACCUAACCCUGACGGCAGGGGACAAGGGCAUUAAAUGCCCGUCUGUGUCGCCUAAACAGUGCAAAAGGGACCAUCAGGGACGCCACCGCUCGCCACGAUGGCGAUCUUGUCAGCGCCGUUCGCCACCGCGCACCACAGGCUGCACAGCCUCCCGCCACAUACGCCUGGAAGGGUCCCAGAGCGACACGUUGGUGGAUGUGCUAGAGCGUGGCCAGAGUGGUGGCUUGCCGCGGCGAACGCCUUAUCGCGGUUGUUGUCUUGUCGCGCCCGGGAGCUUGUCGCUCACCGGGCCUUGCCGGGACGCAUGGCGCGUCGCGGCAAGCUCCUUGAGAUGCCUCGGUUGGCCUUCCCGGCAAGCUCCUCUUGCCGGGAUCUUGAGGUUCCUUGAUUGGCCUUCCCGGCAAGCUCCUCUUGCCGGGGUCUUGAGGUGCCUUGAUUGGCCUUCCCGGCAAGCUCCUCUUGUCGGGGUCUUCAAAUGCCUUGGCUUGGAUACUUUGUUCUUGAAUGGCUCCAAAGGAACCACGGAGGACCUUGGCGGUCACCUGGCAAGCCUUGCCGCGGGAUGCUGCGACUGCCCGUGCACAAGUUCGGGAUACUAGGGUACCCCUACUCUAGUACACCGACAGAGGUCGGCCGGCCCUCUAGGCGCGCCAAGGGGGGAGGAGUCCUCCUCCUAGUAGGAGUAGGACUCCCCCCUUUCCUAGUCCUACUUGGAAAAGAAGGACGAGGGAUAAGGAGAAAGGAAAGUGGGGCCGGCCCCCCACCCAAUUAGGAUUGGGCUUGGGGGCGCGCCCUCCACCUGGCUGCCUUCUCUUCUCUCCCCCAAUAUUGCCCAUUGACUCCCGGGGGGUUCGGUAAACCCCCUGGUACUCUGGUAAUUACCCAAAAUCACCCGGAACCAUUUUGAUGUCCAAACAUAGCCUUCCAAUAUAUCGAUCUUUAUGUCUCGACCAUUUCGAGACUCCUCGUCAUGUCAGUGAUCAUAUCCGGGACUCUGAACUACCUUCGGUACAUCAAAACACAUAAACUCAUAAUACCGAUCGUCACCAAACGUUAAGCAUGCGGACCCUACGGGUUCGAGAACUAUGUAGACAUGACCGACACUCGUCUCCCGUCAAUAACCAAUAGCAGAACAUGGAUGCUCAAAUUUGUUCCUACAUAUUCUACGAAGAUCUUUAUCGGUCAAACCGCAUAACUACAUACAUUGUUCGCUUUGUCAUCGGUAUGUUACUUGCCCGAGAUUCGAUCGUCGGUAUCUCAAUACCUAGUUCAAUCUCGUUACCGGCAAGUCUCUUUACUCAUUCCGUAAUGCAACAUCCCGUAACUAACUUAUUAGUCACAUUGCUUUCAAGGCUUAUAGUGAUGUGCAUUACUGAGAGGGCCCAUAGAUACCUCUCUCAUACACGGUGUGACAAAUCCGACACCUAUAGAGCAUAUUUGUAGUCACCCAGUUACGUUAUGACAUUUCAUAGCACACUAAGUGCUCCUCCGAUAUUUGGGAGUUACAUAAUCUCAUAGUCAUAGGAACAUGUAUAAGUUAUGGAGAAAGCAAUAGCAACAAACUAAACGAUCAUCGUGCUAAGCGAACGGAUGGGUCAAGUCAAUCACAUCAUUCUAUAAUGAUGUGAUACCGUUCAUCAAAUGACAGCUCUUUGUCCACGGCUAGGAAAUUUAACCAUCUUUGAUUAACGAGCUAGUCAAGUAGAGGCAUACUAGUGACACUCAGUUUGUCUAUGUAUUCACACAUGUACUAAGUUUCCGGUUAAUACAAUUCUAGCAUGAAUAAUAAACAUUUAUCAUGAUAUAAGGAAAUAUAAAUAACAACUUUAUUAUUGCCUCUAGGGCAUAUUUCCUUCAAUUUGAUGUGAUGGCGGCUCGAUCUUUCGAUGAGAAAGGGGAUAACUAUUGAUUUGAUGGACUUUUACCUUGAUGAUCAGGCUAUACCGUAGGUUACAAUACGCCUUGACAAUCGCUAAAACAAUCUGCAAUAGCCACUGAUUUUUUUGUAUGCAUGAUUAACCGGAACAAUGAGAUUUGAGUUCUUACAAGCAACUGGAGAACCAUCAAGAAUUGUGAUGAAUAAAAAAGAAAGAAACAAGAUUUCGCUCCGCUUUAUAUAUAUAAUAACAACCAAAGAAAGUACACGGCCAAACGAUACAAGACGAUUAAGUAGGCCUCUUACAAAGUGAUCCUAGAGUAGUUGGAUCACGCAGAACGUGCGCGACUACCCUACCAAGAGAGAACACAAGAAGAUGUGAAAACAAUGUCGUGCUACGCGCUGGUACACCUAAGCUCCACGACAAUGCCCUCGGGAGGGAAAAAGGCACAAAGUGUUGCUGCUGCUGAGUCCACAAUGGAAAAAGGUCUUCAUCUAGAGCCCUGACAUGGAGAGAAGGAGCAUGAUGACAUCUUCGAGAAGAGAGCGGCUCCCACGAGCUUCUCCAUCAUCAAUGCCAAGGCAUAGAGAUUUUGCUUGGCAACUCAUCUGUGCCACCACGAUGCCUCCAGGUUAAGUGCGAUGAUGGCAUAUCCCUGUAUCCAGAUCAGGGCGUCGCCCUUGUGAGGUUAGAGAGCAUGCGUGAGCCACGAGCCAUCCGUCGCUACACCUCCCGUCCCCUCAUGACCAUGAAGAAGAACCACCACUGCCGUGAUGGUGCCCACUGGAGAGUCAACCAUACGGACCGCAAUUCGGGUCUCUGCCCUUGCAUCCCCAUUGUGAGACACUAUACACUGUUCACUUCACAACGCGCUCAACCACGGUUGGAAGGCUCCUAUAUUCCACUUUUUGUUAAUAGUCAUAUUUUUUUCUAUCAUAGCAUUUCCUUCUUCCAAGGUUAAAAACAUAACGUGUCCAUCUGCACUUAAAUCAAUGAUAUAUUUAGAUUCAUUGUCUAUCUCACGAUAAAACAAAUGGAGUACGACAUAUUCAGCAAAACCAUGGUAAGGGCAGAGAUUCAAAAGUUUAGAGUGUCUCCCCAAGCUUUGUAUGAGCUUUCUAUGAGUUCCCAAGCAAAAGAGGUAAGAUCUUUUCGGAGUUUUGCUAUCUUAGAGCAAGGAAAAAUUACCCGUAAUUUUUUGCGCACACAUCUUCUCGAUGGUUAUGCUGCAAUACGGUAGUCUGCACAUCUUUAAUUUUAAAAGUUUCACAUAAAGUGUCAAAGAACAUAAGAUGUGCUUGAGGGUCUUUCUCUUCAUCUCCUAUAAAAGCAUGUUUAGUUACUUCAUGGAUUAGUUUACAAUCAAACGAACACUUAGGAGCAAAAUUUGUAGGAUCGAAUAUAGGAGAUCUGGAGCCCAUAUAUGGAGCACAAUACUCUCUAAGAGACUUCUCAACUUUCCGAUAAUGGACAUCUCUGCAUAGCAAGUGUUAAGCUUAGUAGCUUGAUUUUUUUCUUGUAAUGGAGUUUGUAGCUCCUAUGGAAAACACUCAAGAUAAUCUGGUAGAGAAGUUCUUCUAGAAUGAUUAGCGCCGAUGUCACUGACAGAAAGCAUCUACAAUAACAACACCUGCAAAUCAGUUAGAGAACAAAUACUCUGCGCUUAAUUUCCCAGCAACGGCGCCAGAUAAUGCUUGAUGAUCUACAAGAUACACAUGGCAGUGUAGAACCUUCGUGUAAGUAUCAUAAUAGUAAUCAUCACAACAAAGAAUGGAGGAGAGUAUUUAUGAGUGGCAUUUUAGUCACACGCGAGUUGUCACCAGUCUCAUAUGAAGUAACUAUUUCAAAAUCUGCAGAGGCUAUUAGUGUCCUUUGGAACAAAUAAAUUAGAGCAGUAAAAAGGAUUGAUUAUAGCAGCAAGAAUAAGAACUUAAAAAUAAAGAACAUAAAUUAAAGGCAAAAAUAAAGUUUAUUUCCUGCAAAAGAGAGAUUAGGCGUGGAGAGACUUAGGAUUAUGGUUACAUCAAGCUUGCCAGUGCGACGGUAAUACAAAUUACCUUGUAACAUGAGUCUAGUAUUUCGAUUUCUUGUUCAGUAGGUGGAUCACCCUAGGGUUGUGGAACUCCUUCAUGACGGGUUACAUUCCACUCUAUGGUCCUGCUUCGACGUUGCCACGGUGCAGUCGUCGUCACAAUUAAGGUUGUUAAACCAGAACCAUGUAUUAUGUUCGGUGGUUCACCAUUAUCUCAUAUCAUCUUUGUUCCUCAUAGAUAUCUCCACCUGACACCUGAAGGUCAUGGAUUCCCUGAAAAAUAUUUGUUACAUGUGUAUAUAUUUAGAUCAUGCUACCCAGGCCCUUAAACUGGACAACACGCAUUGCGCUCAUUAUUGAAUAACAACUUAAUUACUAAAUAAUCAUACGGCUAUAAACACGAAUGACGACAUAUAGGAUAGACACAAAUGAAUCUUACCAUUUACCUACAUCUCCCAUGUCUAGAGGGAGUUACUCACAUAUCAUAGAAGAAUAACCAAUCAUCUCAGAGAAUAAUCCAAUGAAAACCAUAUUAAUAAUACCGAGAAGAUCCACAAUAAGCUGAAUGAUUAAACCAGUCUCAAUCUCCAGAUGAGUAUGAAUAGAGUUAUACGCCCUGAUCCUGCAACUUGGAAUUCCUCUUAUAAUGGUAAUGAUGAGAUGAAAUGAAGAUGCAAAAAAAAGACAGAAAAGAUCUUUGAUAGUUCCUCUUCUCUGGAUGUCUUCUCCCUCUGUUCUGGAUGGAGUGGCGGUGACUAGGUCUCUCUGAUGCCUGAUGCCCUUUACAAAGUUUGCUCCUGUAGAUGAGGGGAGGCCGUCAACGCCUGGUACGAGCGCUUGCACUCAUACCAAUGGCCAUCUUGUGCUCUAUUGCUCCUGGUGCAUUUUCUUACAACAUGAAAGUUGCUUCAAAUGGCAUGAUUUUGUGUAAUAUUGACUAGUUUCCUUAAAUAAAUUUUCCUGCCAAACAUUAAAAAAUGAGUUUUUUCUCUCUUGAAGGAUUAUCGUUAGAAAUAACCGAGAAAUAGCGAAAACCAAGUCAAAACUCUUCAUGCAAAGUGAUAAAUUCUUGAGCCAUUACUUGCUCUCUCGUAAGAGAGGUUGGGUAACCCCCAAGUAUAAGGAUGAAGUAACAUAGCACUAAGUAUUCCCAUUUAUAGUAAGGUUUAUCAAACCAUAAGGUGUUCUCCUAGCAAACAAAUUCAUGAGUACCUACACACAAAGCACAACACACACUUGUCCCACCAUUUCAAAAAGGUUUCCAAGCUUCUUGUCCUGCUAGUUACAAGCGUAAAUUACACAGUAUGGUAGGCAUUGGUAUAUAGAUAAAAUAAAAUAAAUGGUAUAAGAAAGAAUAAUAUUUUUGUUACGGUUUGCAAUUAUGGGAAAUAGACCUUUCGGGCCUUUACUAGUGGCAUCUCUCCAAGCAAAUAAGUGUGGUGCGGUAAACAAAUUACAGUUGGGCAACGAUUAAAUUAAAAUAUUUAUAUUUACAUUCAUGGUAUAAUCUUGCAUACACAUUACCUUUAUGGUAUGUAGACUGAUGCUACUCCCGUAGGAGUUGUUGGAUUCCUCGAAGAGGAAAGGUGAUGUAGCACAGUAGCAGAAAGUAUUUUCCUCUAUUAAGAACCAAGGUUUAUCGAAUCAGUAGGAGUCGCCAAGAUAACAAUGUAAGCAACAUAUGCACACAAACACAAAACAAAUGCAUGCACCCAACUUGGCAAGGGUUGUCAGUCCCCUUGUCUUGUCAGUUACAAGAUUAAAAGAAAAUAGAAAUUUAUGAUAUUAAAUGGCAAAAGGUAAAGGAAAAAAGAGUAAAAUUAUAAGAGUUUUUUAUUAAUGGAGAAUGAACCGAGGGGACAUAGGUUUACUACUAGUCGCAUCUCUCUUGAAAGAAGGUAAUGGCAUGAACAAAUUAUUGUUGGGUACUUGACAAAAUAGUGACAAUUUAUAACUAUGAUCAUUCAUGGGAUAAUAUCACGUAUGCAUUACAUCCAUGAUAAGUACACCGUUAAUCCUACUGCAUCUACUAACAUUACUCCACCCCAAGACCUCUAUCCAAUAUACAUCUCAAAAUAUUAAGUUUUCAAGAAACAAAGUAACGCAAUAAGCAAGAUGACAUAAUGUAGACAAGAAGAUAUCUAGCCGUAAGAUUAAACCCUGCCAUUUUAUUCUUAGUGGCAAUAAGACAAAUGUGUGUCUUGUCCCUUCCUGUCACUAGGAUAUAGAAAUCACCGCCGUAUUAAACCCACUACUAUGCACCACUUCCUCUGAAGAACUAUUAAUCUAUCUUGGGCAGAGUAGACUCAUAGAUCGAAAAGCAUACAUAGUUAUUUAAUUAUGCAACAAAGAAACUUCAAGAGAUUCAAUAGAAAUCAAUGAAUAAUAUGAUCAUAAAUCCACAACUCAUCGGAUUCCAACAAAACACCACAAGAAUUACAUCAGAUUGAUCUCAAAAGAUAACAUGGUAUUGAAGAUCAGAGAUAGGGGGAGGGGGGAGGGAGAAAGUGAGAGGCAGAGAAAGGGGGGAGAGGGGAGAGAAAUCCAUCUAGCUACUACUAUGGACCCAUAGGUCCUGAAGGAACUACUCACACACCAUUAUGGAGGCAACAAGGUUGAUGAAGAUUUCCACCCAAAUGGUUUCCCCUCUGACAGAACUCCAGAACAGGGCUCCAGAUAAGAUUGCUUCUAACAGAGGCUUGCGGCGGCAAUAAAAUUGUUUCGGUUCUCGCUCUAAGGGUUUUGGAAUAUUUCUGAAUUUAUAGGCCAAGAAUUAGGUCAAUAUGUGACACAUGGGCGUCACAAGCCUGGGUGCCCCCCAGGCCGCACCAUCCACCCUUGUGGGAAACUUGUGGGUCUUCUGAUCUCCUCCCGAAGCUUCUGGUGUUUCUUUUGGUCCACAUUCGUAGACCAAUAGCAGACCCAAGUUGACCUAUCUUUGCAGCAUUUUAGACCAACAGAUUAAUACAGACAAGUCUGCUAUCUAUUUUAGUUUUUUAGCAAGAGUUGUUUGGCAACAAGGAAAGACAAGAUCAAGACCAUGGUCAAUAUUCAAAAUGAUGCCUUGAGUGAAAAUUAUCUUGGUAUUCCCAUUGAUGUAGGUAGAAUAGAAAAACAGAAUAUUUAACUACCUUUGGUGACAGAGUCCGGGACAAGGUACAAGGUUGGUUGGAUGGGGAAGUUACUUUCAGGCGCAGCCAAAGAUUUUCUUAUUAAAUUAGUAGCAUAGGGUGUCCCAACCUAUUCAAUGUCAUGCUUCAAGUUACCUCGUAGUUUGUGUUCUCAUACCAACUCUAUGCUUCGAAAAAUUUGGUUGGGUGGCAAAAAAAGGACAAUACAAACUGACAUGGGUUUCAUGGAAAGAUAUGUGUAAGAUUAGCAGCAGGAGGUUUGGGUUUCCAUGAUAUAUAACUUUUCAUCCUGGCACUCUUGGCAAAGCAUGGAUGGAGGAUUCUACAAAAUCGUGACUCGCUAAGUGCUAGAAUUUUCAAGGAUAGAUAUGACCCUCAUGGGCAUCUUCUUGGAGCCGAUCUGGGUCGCAACCCAUCUCAUAUUUGGCGGUCUAUUCAUGAAGGAGUUUUGGUGCUAAAUCAAGCACUUAUAAGAAGAAUCGGUGAUGGCAGCAUCACUAAUGCAUGAAACGAUAAUUGGAUCCCACAAGAGUGUUCCUUGCAACUGAUUGCAUGUGUAUUGAUGCACUGGCAGAGGUCAUCGAGUUCAUUAACUCAGGGAGAUCGAGAGUAUGUUGAAUAUGUCAGUCGCAUUGAUGGAAAAGGAAGCAAAAAACCAUUGUGGUAUUCGAGAGUAAAGAUACUACUUGAAGAGGUUCACAUGUGAAAUGCCUAACACGUAGAGACACUACUUAUAAGUACAAAGCAAAGUAUGGUUUUGGUAAAUAUGAUUAAACUUUUCACGUAUAAUAUAAGGAAUAUUUUUGACAGAAAGUAUUCUAUAUGCUUAAUCAAAAUUUACAAACUUUGACUUAAGACAAAGCUAAUAUGCAGAGUAGAAAAAUGAAGGGAGUACAUUUUAAAAUAUAAAAUGAUGUGAUGCAUUGACUCAUAUAUCUCAUUACUAAGAUUUUUUUUGUUAUGUUUUAAUCUGAACUAUGAGAAUUACUAGCUAGUCAAUCUGAAUUUUUUUUGUUUCCUAGACCAGUAAGAACUCAAACUUGGGGAUGUCAAUCGUUACUUUAGAUAGUUUUGGUACAUAUGAGAGAGCAUAGGAUAUAGGGAGUCAAAUUGGUCAUGCCAUCAAGUCUUCAGAAUCUCCCACGAGUUUUCAUGGACUAGGUUCCUACCUAUAUAGAUGCAAUGAAUUUUAUGCAAGCAUGAAAGUUCUGAAUGGAUAAGGUAUGUAUUUAGAGAAUAAACGUUGACUAGUCCCAUUUCCAAACCAAACGUUGUUCUUUGUGUUUAAAAUAUUAUAUUUAGCUAGGUUAACACCCGGCCCAAACAUAAAUCAAAACAAUAGUGCCAUAAUCAUAUUGACUAGAAUCGAUCAUGUGUGUCACUCAAGACUUAUUAAUAGAUAGAAUGGCUUGAAAUGGCCCCGUCGAAUUUAGGUCCCUCCUAAACGAGUCUUCCUUCCACAAGAUCUUGACACAAACACUUUAAGGACUAUCCCCAUGCCUUCCACUUUAAUGCUUACCCAUGAGCUAGCAACCCAGAUGGUCUCAAUUAAGCAAUGUGACACACAUAGAGAAAGUGGUCACAAAUAAUCUUUCCAUCCUGCCACAUGAAAUUUUUGUAUGCCCUCCUAUUGGAAACGACCCACAUCCACUAGGUCACCAUGUUCGAAUCUCUCCCCACACCUACCUGCUUGGAGUCCUCUUAUCAUCCAUCACCGCCUCAUGUGUCUUACUCUUCUACGGGUUUGAUUCUAGCAUGGAACAUCAGACCUAGAUGUGGCACUAGAGAUGGGGAUCUGGAGCUCAACCUUCAGUGGGGAUGUUAGUAUUGGGUGGUGCGGGUGGUGGAGAAUAAAGGGGGCGCACGACAAGGGACGAGUGGUGUGGUUCUACAUUACAUAGAAGGAGCCAAAGAAACAAGGGUGGCGAGUGAGGUUGUAGAGGAGGGGGUAAAGAGAGUGGCUAUGGGUGUCGUUGGUGCAAGACUAGCUUAUUAUUAGACUAGGGGGUUGUGGUUGUUUUAUUUACGCUAAUAUAUGGAUUAUAUUAACUAAGGAAAAUGAGUACGAACUAAGCAUUCGGACAUAGAACAAUUGCCCACAUUUUAUGUAAUAAAAAUGUAGAAACACAUCAAAGCCCUUCAAAUAAUCCUUUUUAAUUUAACCUUCUGUCGCUUACUUCGUCUUUAUCGCAUCGCCGGGGUUGUGGUUGUUUUAUUUAUGCUAACCCACUAGCUUCUUGAUGCAGCCGACCAGUACGAAGAGAGGGGGUUUAAGCAAGGGUGCAUUAUUUGACACAAUGUCUUCAUUGCCAUCUGAAUGGUGCCAUCGUGACCAAAUCCUAACUACAUGUUGAACACUCAUAACUGGUGUUUCCCCGCAUAACCCUCCGCCGAAGCAAUAGGCGGGAGGGGUGGGAAACCCAUGCAUGGGAGGUGAAGAUCUAGAGAAAGGAGGGAUCCCAAAAGAUGGUGGUCAUGUCUUUGUUUGUUAGAGACUUGUCUUGAGGCACUUGGCUGUUAGACUAGCAUUGUGGUUGUUGCUGGGCCAUUUCAGCAAUGAAUCCCAAUCAACUGUCCUAUCACCCACUACUAGAAAAACGGCUAUAGCUAAUAUGGACAUUAAUGGCGCACCAUGUAUGUGGUGCGCCACUGCUACCAGAUAUAGAUGCGCCAUUAAUGGCCAUAUUACUAAUGGCACACCUGGUGUGUGGUGCGCCAUUACUAGUUUUUUCCUGGCCCCACACCCUUCCCAGACUUAGCAGUGCCGCACCAGGGGAAAGUGCGCCAUUACUAGUUUUAACUAGUAAUGGCGCACCACACCCACGGUGCGCCACUACUAACAAAUUUUUUUCAAUUUUUUUUCAAAACUAGUAAUGGCGCACCACACACCAGGUGCGUCAUUAGUAACCCUGGUUACCAAUGGCGCAAUCCUAGGUGGUGCGCCAUUGGUAACCUGAGAGCAGCUAGAUAUUUUUUAUAGCCACCUACCACACUCACUUUCCCCACUUCAUUCUCUCCCCCUCUACCAAGCUUGGUCUCGACUGCCUCCUCCUCCUCACCCCAUUUGCACCAUAGAUUCACCCAAAUUAAGUGGCUAAAUUUCCUUUUUUUUUUGAUAGGUAAGUAAGGGGAAAGCUUUCUUUAUGUUCUAGAUCUACUUUUUUCUCCCUCCAAUGUACACACUUUUUAUGGCCUAGAUCUACGUAUGUUUGUGGUGUUGCAUAUGUUUGUGUUUGCAAGUACCGGUAUUUGAAAUGCGAUAGUUGCCAAUAUUUUGCCGGAAUGUUCAUUCAUUUCCAUUUCGGCGAGAAUUUGGCACUAUGCAUUCUUUUUGGUCCUAUUUUUAGGCAAAGUCAUGCCAAAAAAAUUUGGUUCUAAAAUAUCGUUUUGCUCUACCCCGCAGGCGACCAUGGUCCACGAAGGCUGAGAUGCUUCAAAAGAAUAAGACGGAGAUAAGAUGUCUGUGUCAAAGAUGCAAGCUGAAGAGCCUUAUGGACCCGGAUUCCAAACAGGUGCGGGACCACCUGCUCCUGCGUGGUUUCAUGGAUGGCUAUCGGUGGCAAGGUGAUGAAGAUGAUUAUGAAGUCGUCCAUGGGGGCUGGGCAAGAAAUAAGGAAGGGUAGGAAGACAAUAGCGGCGAGGGAGGGCGAGAAUACGAAGAAUCUCUAGGACAUGAUCACGAAGUAGAUGCAGGACACAGUCAUCAUGUAGAAGAUGUCGGACAUGAUGAUGAGGAAGAUCAAUACGAAGGGCAUGAUCAUGAAGAUGAGGAUGCCAGAGCAGACGACGAUGGACCAUCGACGGGCUGGGUGUAGGACCCUCAUUUUCAAGAGCUGCUUCUCAAGCAGACGGGUAACGCAAGAGCUGCCACCCGAGAGAAAGCCAAGCUGGAUCAACUGGAGAUAGACGUGGUUACUCCAUUGUAUGAAGGAUGCAGGCCCAAGGAUACCCGCCUGAAAGUAACGCUCAUGGCUCUAGAGAUGAAGGUAAAACACAAAAUGACCGACGCAUGCUUCGACGAGAACAUGUCAUUCUGGCACGAACGUCUUCCCAAGGGGAACAAGUGCCCGACAAGUUUCGAGGAGGCGAAGAAAAUCGUGUGUCCUCUGGAUUUACCGCACAUGAAAUACCAUGCGUGCAUGAACGAUUGCAUCAUUUAUCGGGACGAGCACGCAGAGUCUACCAUAUGUCUGGUGUGCGGCGUCACUCGAUACAAGAAGAGGAAGAAAGCUCCUCGAAAAGUGGUGUGGUACUUUCCGAUCACUCCUCGUCUGCAGCAGUAUUUCACAGACCUUGAGCAAGCAAAGCUCCUGCGUUGGCACGGGGAUAGGGAGGAGAAGAAGCGAGAAGAUGACGGAAAUGAUCCGGAGAUAAAUAAAAAAGACAAGAUGUUGAGUCACCCUUAGGAUGCGAGCCAGUGGCAAGCAUUGAACUUCGAACACCCAGAAUUUGGGGACGAUCCAAGGAACAUCAUGCUGGGCACAACCAUCGAUGGAGUCAAUCCGUUUGGCAACCAGAGAAGCACACAUAGCACCUGGCCUGUGUUCGUGUGGAUGUACAACCUUCCCCAUGGAUGUGCGUGAAGAGGAAGUACAUUCACAACCAGGGAACGACAUAAAUCUGUAUCUAGAGCUGCUGAAAGAGGAGCUAGACACGUUGUGGAAAACGCCAGCCAAUACGUGGGACGCCACAGCGAAAGAAUAUUUUCCUAUGAGAGCCGCACUGCUCACGCCGGUGCACGACUAUCUCGGUUACAGAUAUGUCACGGGGCAGGUGGUCCACGGAUUUUGUGCAUGCGUCAGGUGCAUGGAUGACACAACGUAUCGCUAGCUAGAUAGAGAUCCCGGGUCUUUGAAAACCAUGUUCAUGGGACAUCGAAGGUGGCUUCGCGACAAUGACUCAUGGAGAAAACGCAAGGAUUUGUUCGAUGGUGAAACCGAACCCCGAAGACCCCCACGUACGAGGAGCAGCGAGGAAAUAGACGAGUUGUUGAAAAAUUGGAAAGUGUGCCCACCGCCGGGAAAGAAGCGAAAGGCGCCAGAGCCGCUACUAAAGGUAUGGAAAACGAGGUCUGUUUUCUGGGACUUGCCGUACUGGAAGAUCCUCCGUGUGCCUCACAGGCUUGAUGUCAUGCAUAUCACGAAGAACAUGUGCGAGAGUCUGCUUGGUACCCUACUCAACAUGCCAGAGAGGACCAAAGAUGGGCCGAAAGCAAGGGCAGACUUGCAAUCAAUGGGCAUCAGGGAGGAGCUUCACGCAAAACACCCUAAUGAUGAUGAUGAUGAUGAGGCGAAGGACACGGAAAGUCGUCGCAAAGGAAAAAAGGCUAAGAAGAUCGAAUAUGAUUGCCCUCCCGCAUGCUUCACUCUAAGUCAGGAGGAGAUCGAGUAGUUUUUUACCUGCCUCAUAGGAGUAAAACUUCCUUACGGUUAUGCGGGGAAGAUAAGCAGAUACCUAGAUUCAGCGAAGCAGAAGUUCAGCGGGAUGAAGUCUCACGACUGUCACGUGCUGAUGAUGCAGAUACUUCCAGUUGCAAUCCGUGGGAUCAUGGACGCGCACGUCCAUGAAACGCUAUUUGGCCUAUGCAACUUUUUCGACGUCAUCUCUCGGAAGUCGGCUGGCGUGAGGCAACUCAGAAGGCUACAGGAAGAGAUCGUGGUGAUACUAUGCGAGCUUGAGAUGUACUUCCCGCCCGCAUUCUUCGACAUUAUGGUGCAUCUACUGGUCCAUAUCGUGGAGGAUAUCAUCCAACUCGGGCCGAUGUUCCUGCACAGCAUGAUGCCGUUCGAAAGGAUGAAUGGUGUCAUCAAAGGAUACGUUCGCAACAGGGCACAUCCAGAUGGAAGCAUAGCCAAGGGCUUUCUAACUGAAGAGUGCAUCUCCUUCUGCACGAAUUAUUUAGGCAUCGAGAACCCCAUUGGUCUACCCGUCAACAGGCACCUCAACAGGCUCGUUAGAUGGGGUCACCGCGAGGGUCGCCGCAAAAUGCAUGUCGACUUCAAGGGUUGACUCGCCGACUUUGAAAGAGCAUACCUAGUCGCGCUACAACACAUAGACAUGGUCGAUCCUUGGGUGGUAGAGCACAAAACCUUUAUUGAGAAGACAUACAAUGAUCGAGGCCAACAGAGGACGGACGGAGAUAUAAUCAAAGAGCACAACUCAUGUUUCAUGCAUUGGUUCAAGGAGAAGCUUCUGUCGUACUCUUUACAUGAGGAUUCUUCCGCGGAAGAAAAACUCAUAUUCACCUUGUCACAGGGCGCCGAGCACAACCUGAUGACCUAUGAGGCAUACGAUAUCAACAACUACACAUUCUACACCGAGGAAAAGGACAUUAAGAGCGAUUAUCAGAACUCCGGGGUAACGAUGGAAUCCUACACCAGUAACGACAAGGACAGAUACUACAGAAGGAUCGAGGAGAUCUGGGAGUUGAGCUACGCUGGAGAGAAGGUCCCGAUGUUCCGUCUGAGAUGGGCCAAGAGUGUCCUAAAAAAAGACUAGUAUUUCGCCACCAUGGUUAUACCCGAAGCCAAAUACAAGACCGCGGGCGCAAACGUCACCGUGAAAAAUGAGCCAUGGGUACUGGCUUCCCAAGUGGACCAAUGCUUCUUCAUUACCGACCCGUCAAACCCCAGUCGUGUUGUCGUGAGGAGAGUCAAAAGGAACAUCAUCGGAAUGGAUGGAGUCGCCAAUGAGCAAGACUUCGACAAGUACGGCGACCCGAAGAUGGAAGAUGACGGCGACGAUGAAGUACCAUACACCACAAGAAGAAGCAGGACCACCCUACCUAAAGGACGUCCGUUCAAGAGAAGAACUCAAGGGGUUCCGAGGCUAAAUUAUUCAACCACGAGAAAGAAGGGCAAGAAGAUUGUGAAAAGAUAGCUAAGAUCGAAUCACGACGUGUCGGCCGCGUGUGUGUGUCAGUGGCAAGCUCAAUUAUUACAUGCAACUAAAUUAUUACACGUAUCACUUGAUUUCAACCAUGUCAUCUAAUUCUAAAUCUUUGCACGAUGGUUUUAUCACUCCAUUUUCAUUUUCCUUUUCUUUUAUCUCAAAUCUUAAAUUAUUACAUGCAACUAAAAAUCCAAAAAAAUAAAAAAGUUAGUAAUGGCGCACGAGGAGAAGGUGCGCCAUUGCUAUCACGGUGUUUACAGCGCACCCCUAAAUGGUGCGCCAUUGAUAUACCAAUUUUUAUGGUGCACCCCUAAAAGGUGCGCCAUUGCUAACCCUCCCCCCACUAAAAUAUCCAAGACGACCCAGCCGGUCGUCCUUCUCCCUAAUCUGCAUCUUGCCCCUCGCCUCUCGCCACCGCCACCGAUCCCCUUCCACCACCACCGCCACCGCCACCGGCACGGCAUCCACCUCCCCCUCCUCCUCCGCGGCCACGUCCUCCACCUCCUCGCGACCCCGCCACACCACCCCUUCGACAACAACAACGACAAUCGCCCCACGUGUCGUCCCCAAAUAGCCAUCGCCGCCGCCCCCAAAUCGCCUGAGCCCGCCAGCCAGAGCCCACUGGUCGGUCUCCUCCGCCACCAUAUCUUCUCCCUACUGCGUCGUUCCUCUCCUCACCAUUGUCGUGCUAUUCCUCUCCUCCUUCUGUGGUCGCCGCCGUCUAGGGUUUCGGUGGUGCUCACCUAGCCGCUGCGCCAUUCCUCUCUCCUACACCGCCGCACCUUUCUUCUCCUUUCGACAGUCACGUCGCUCCUCUCCUUCUACACUGGUUGCCGACGGCUAGGGUUUCGGUGGUGCUUGCCUGACCACGUCGUCUCAUCGUUGCUCCUCUCCCUGCCGCACCGUUCCUAUAAAGUUGAAAAUGCAUUAUAUCGACUAGAGGGGGGUGAAUAGGCAAUUUUUAUGAAAGUCUUCAAAACAUGUAAGUUUUGAAGACAAAUGAUAGAAAUGAACCUAUUACCAUGCAGCGGAUGGUAGACUACACUAGUCAGACCAUAGUCAAGUAUUCGAUGAAGUGAAAGCACAAUGACUAAUAGCAGCUAGGCAGUAAAGAUCAGGUACACAGUGAAGACAAAUGGAUAAUGCAAAUAGGCACUGACUUCACAAGAGCCAACUGUAAAUAAAGAGAUGGGAAGGAUAGAACCAGUGUGCGGGAUGAAGACAAAGGUUUGUAGACCAGUUCCAACUGCGGUGAUAGUUGUACGUAUGGUUAGGGCGGAUAGGUAUUUAAACCUGAGGACACACGGUCCCGGACACCUAGUCCUGAACCGCAGCGCAGGACACUUAGUCCUCACCAUAUCCCCCUUGAGCUAAGGUCACACAGACCUCGCCCAAUCACUCUGGUAAGUCUUCAAGGUAGACUUCCAAACCUUCACAGACUUCGUUCACCGGCGAUCCACAAUGACUCUUGGAUGCUCAGAACGCGACGGCUAACCGGCUGGAGGAUUCACAGUCCUCAAGUGUAAUAAGUCUUCAGAUCACACAGACAGGAAGACUUAAGUGAUGCCUAACACUCUUUGGCUCUGGGUGGUUAGGGCUUUAUCCUCUCAAGGAAUUCUCUCUCAAAGUCUUCGAGGUGGGUUGCUCUCAAACGACAAAAGCCGUGCUUUAACUCUGAGCAGCCAACCGUUUAUGGUUGUAGGGGGUGGGCUAUUUAUAGCCACUGGGCAACCCGACCUGAUUUGUCCAAAAUGACCCUGGGUCACUAAGGAACUGGCAUGUGUUCCAAUGGUCAGAUUUCAAACACACACGGCAACUUUACUUGGGCUACAAGCAAAGCUGACUUAUCCAACUCUGGACAAGGUUUGCUCUCAUAGUCUUCACUCGAAGACAUAGGAUUUUGGUUAAGCAUCACUUCAGUCAUUCUGACUGGUUCUCUUGGACCCCACUUAACAGUACGGUGGUUCCUAUGACUCAACAAAGAAAAACACAGAACGACGAAACUACUAAGUCUUUGCGCUCCAUAGUCUUCACGCAAUGUCUUCUCUUGUCAUAGUCUUCAAUGUGCAUGUCUUCACAUACCACCUUUGACUUCAAUGUCUUCAUACAUUUUUAGGGGUCAUCUCUGGUAGGAAAACCGAAUCAAUGAGGGGCUUCUACCUGUGUUAUCCUGCAAUUCUCACAAACACAUUAGUCCCUCAACUAGGUUUGUCGUCAAUACUCCAAAACCAACUAGGGGUGGCACUAGAUGCACUUACAAUCUCCCCCUUUUUGGUGAUUGAUGACAAACUAGUUGAAGUUUUCAACGGGGAAUAUAAUAUGUGAAAUUGUAAAGGAUAGGGAAUUGUCUUCAUAAGUUGCAAGGGCUCCCCCUGAAGAUGUGCAUAUAAGUAAUUUGCUUUUGGAAUGCAAAUGCACAUGGUAGGUUGUACUUGUGGAGAUCAUCUUCAACUUAUGUUGACAAUUCAUCAUGCAUGAAAAGUAUGUGAAGAUAAUGACAUGCAUAAUGAAAAAUGGACGUCUGCAAAAUGAUCUAAGUGCGGAUUUAUCGUCGCACAUGCGGAAUUUAUCAUCGCAUCAUAGAAUAGCAAAUAAGUAGCAGACAACCAUCGAGUUUAAGUGUUACAACUCAAAGAACCAAAUGUAUCAAAACGAGAGUUGUAAACACUACGCAAAACAUAAAGCAACCGCCCAUAUGGACCCGCUUGAAGACUAUCGAACUCAUAUGCUUCUCCCCCUUUUGUCAGUAAGAACCAAAAAGGUUUGAAGAUAUAGAGCAUCUACUCGUUCCCAUGAGGAGUAGGUGAAGCAGCAAGGUCGUCGGUGUUGUUCGGCGGUGCAGACGAACUCGGGGCAGUGUCGAUGCAUGCAGAAGUAGGGAGGAGUGAAGUGGCAUCGUCUUCGUCCUCAAUCACUCUGGCAUUCACAGUUGCCGCGGAGGAAGAGAACUCAGAGUCUUCAAGAGUCGCAGCACAGUCCUUCUUGGAGGUGUGGAGUCAAACUUGAAACGUUCAAAGAAGCCAUCCUCUUGAAGAUCAUCUUCAGAACACAUAAGCGUCAGCCCUUUCCAUGUACGCCGACAGGUUUCAUGGGCAACAAAGGCAUUCUUGGUGGCAAGAUUGCGAAUGCGGUUGACAUCCACCAAGAGGUUUUGCAUUUGGUGCUUCAGCCAGUCAUGAUGCCUAUCCUGUUUCUGAUGAAGGGCAACCAGAAGCUCUCGGUCAUUGAGAACACAAGAUCGCUUCUUGGGCCAUUGGGCAAUAGUGCUUUCAGUGGCUUCAGUGAGGGCAUGAUGAGGUGCACAUGUAGUACCAGCUAGAGGAUAAACACGAGUGACUGCUUCAACUCCUUCAAUGUUUUGAGAGAAACUUUGAUGCUCAGCAUUCUGAGGACUAAGAGGCUCCUUGGCAGGCUCUGGAUAGAUGGCUUCAACGGACAUAUCAACGUCAGGCAGAAAGAUCUGAUGAUUGCGAGCAGAGGGCUGAUAUGAGACAGCUGGGUGUAGUUUGAUCAGCCGCAUUAUCCAUGGAGCGUAAAACUUGAAGCCAAAAAGAUCAGAUCCUGAUGCAGCAAGUUGGCGGAUGAAGAAGUCUUGUGCAUUGAACCAUUUGCCGUGAAGAAUAUAAAAGACCAAAGUCUUCAUUGCACCUUCCAGCUUUGCAUGUGGAGAAUGUCCUCUGAUGGGCCAGAGAGUUCGCCUGAUAAUGUGAUAGAUAGUGUGUGGUAGAUACUCAAGGUCUUCAACAAAGAACUCCUUAGGAUAUGCAGCAUCUGGAGGCAAAGGCUUCAUCAUGCUAAGCAUCUGACUCAUGUUCGGUUCAGGCUUCUGAAAGAUGCUCUCCAUAGCUGCACUGUGAAGCUGACAACCAGGUUCAUAAAGAUCUCCAGGAGUGGGCAGACCGGUGAGCUCAAUGAUAUCAAAGGCUUUGGCUUCGUGAUGAACAUUGCCGGUCAUCCACUCAAGGACCCAAGUCUUCGGAUCUCUGUUGUAGCCACGAAUGUGAAGAGUGGCAUAGAAUUGAAGCAGCAACUCUUCAUUCCAGUGCUCUUGCUCGGUGACGAAAGGCAACAAUCCAGACUCUUUGAAGCAAUCCAGAGCUUCUUCCAAGCAACGCAGACCAGUUAUGGCUUCAGUGUCAAGACGCAUAUGAGGGAAAAUGCGACCUUGAUUGUACAGAAUGCAUGAGUAAUAACUUCGCUGCGGAUAGCUCCAGAACCGAUCAGAAGAUAUUCUUUCCCUUGAGUAGGGGUUCUUGGCGCUAUUGAAGAAGGUGUUGUCUGCUUUGAAGCCGUUGACAUUAAAGGAUCCGGGUGCUGAUGCAGGACCUGGAAACCAGGGCAACCUUGGCAUUGGCUUCUGUACCUGAGGCCUGUGCUCAACGUGAUAGUCAAACUGAGGACCAGCAGCAGGCGCAGGAACAGGAGCAGUAGCAUCAUUGGCUUCACUGACUUCUGGCACAUUGGUUGGUGCAGGCUCCACAUUUUCUUCAUCCAUGACAAUGUCAUUGGCUUCAUUUGUGUUGGUGGUGGCAGCCUCAAGAUUCUCAACCUCCACUUGAUGAGCUGGAGGGUUGGGCACAGACACGUUCUCCUCGAGAACAGCUUCUUUAGUAAUGGAGGGAGUAGGGACACGUCCUUCUUCUCGUGUGUCGUCAGCUGAUGCAGCCAGAAUGUCUUCAGCAGCUUUAGCCUCAGACUCAGAGACAUUCACAGUAGGAGUGGCAUCUGGAAACACUUGACGUGCAACAGAUUGGUGGGGCACUUCUCCUUCUGGAACGCUCGAAAGAAGGACUUGAGACCUUGGUCCUUUGCGAAGCCUGCGUAAUGCUGGUGACGCCUCUGGAGACGGAGUUGGCUGGGCCUCAAAGUCAUCUUCUUCUUCUUGCCGGGGUGGUGUGACUUGUUAUUGUGGGUGAUCAGCCCAUGAUGCAUCCUGAGCAAUUGGCGUCAGAGGACGACCAAUGCUGAUGAGUUCGCUGUGCGUAAACACAGGCGAUGAUACCAAGUUGUGCUCGAUCUGAGGAAGAACUACAUCAUCUUCAACAUUGUCAUGGUGACCAAUGUCUUCAGCAGCGGUGGGAUCAGCUGCUGGAAUGUCUUCAGCUUCAUGAGCCUCUAUGGAAGCAGGCUCAUGGACAGUCAGUUGGCGCUCUUGAUGUUCAGCUGCAGGGCGAACCAUGGAGAUAGGUUCAACAACUAAGAGCUCUGUGGGAGCAGCCCGAUCCUUCUUGGACUUGCGCUUCUUCUUGGAGGGAGCGGCAUCAGUGGCUUCAGGAUGUUUCCUCUUUCUCGCUUCAGCCUCAGCAGUCCUCGUCUUCUUCAGUUCUGAAGUGGUUGACCUGACCUUUGGCUUCGAGCCAGUCAUGCUGGUUGGGAAGACAAUGGGAUGUGCUUCCUGCCUUGGUGCUUCGGGUUCGGCCACAGCUGCCUUCUUCUUCUUCUUUGCAGCCAUCCUGGGAUCGAUGCCAGGACGACCAAGGGCCUUGCGCUUCUCAGCCUCAUUGUAGGCUUGCACACACUUGUCAGCCAGGCUCUUCAUGCGCUCACGAGAACCUUGAGCUUCUUCACGCUUCUUGAGAAAGGCUUCUUUGAGCUCGUGCAACAUGAUCUUAAAAAAAUUUGACCUCUUGCACGCUGAGCUUGGCCAUGUGCUUCUUGAACUGAGUUUUCUCAAAGUCGAUCUUUUGCUUCAGUUCAACGAUGCGCUGAGCUAGAGCUAGCUCUGAAGCAAUGGCGCCAUGGAAGGCGACACUGAGGCCAAUUGGAAGUUGCAGAUCUUCAAAGCUGAGGUUGGGCGUGUCAAACCACUCAUCAAUGAAGUUGUGGAUGAUUGCCACGUCAAAGAGAGGCAAAUCAUUGAAGAUUUCUGCUUCUUCUUUGCUGUGGAUCAGUUGCUCAAGAGCGUCAUCUGCAAGAUCUUCAUCGUUGGACAGAUCAAUGGCGUCAUUGUGCAGAAUAGCAGCAGCAGUCAGUUCUUGGCUGGUGUGUUGCAAAGGCAUCUUGAUUCUCGAGGGCUUGGAGAUGCGUGACAAAUCUUCAGACUUGUAAGUGCAUCUAGUGCCACCCCUAGUUGGUUUUGGAGUAUUGAUGACAAACCUAGUUGAUGGACUAAUGUGUUUGUGAGAAUUGCAGGAUAACACGGGUAGAAGUCCCUCAUUGAUUCAGUUUUCCUACCAGAGAUGACCCCUAAAAAUGUAUGAAGACAUUCAAGUCAAAGGUGGUAUAUGAAGAUAUUCACAUUGAAGACUAUGACAAGAGAAGACACCACAUGAAGCCUAUGGAGCUCGAAGACUUAGAUCUUUUGUAGUUCUUUUUCUUUUGUGUUGAGUCAUAGGAACCACCGUACUGUUAAGUGGGGUCCAAGAAAACCAGUCAGACUGACUGAAGUGAUGCCUAAACAAAAACCUAUGUCUUCGAGUGAAGACUAUGAGAGCGAAUCUUGUCCAGAGUCGGACAAGUCAGCUUUGCUUGUAGCCCAAGUAAAGUUGCCGUGUGAGUUUGAAAUCUGACCGUUGGAGCACGUGUCAGUUCCUUAGUGACCCAGGGUCAUUUCGGACAAAUCAGGUCGGGUUGCCAAGUGGCUAUAAAUAGCCCACCCCCCACAACCAUAAAUGGUUGGCUGCUCAGAUUGAGAAUACGGCUUUUGUCGUUUGAGAGCAACCCACCUCGAAGCCUUUGAGAGAGAAUUCCUUGCGAGGAUAAAGCCCUAACCACCCAGAGCCAGAGAGAAUUGGGCAUCACUUAAGUCUUCUUGUCUGUGUGAUCUGAAGACUUAUUACACUUGAGGAUUGUGCAUCCUCCAGCCGGUUAGGCGUCACGUUCUGAGCAUCCAAGAGACAUUGUGGAUUGCCGGUGAACGAAGUCUGUGAAGGUUUGGGAGUCUACCUUGAAGACUUACCAGAGUGAUUGGGCGAGGUCUGUGUGACCUUAGCUCAAGGGGAAUAUGGUGAGGACUAAGUGUCCUGAGCUGCGGUUCAGGACUAGGUGUCCGGGACUGUGUGUCCUCAGGUUUAAAUACCUAUCCGCCCUAACCAUAUGUACAACUGUCACCGCAGUUGGAACUGGUCCAACAAAUCAUUGUUUUCAACGAGUCACUGGUUUCAUCUUCCCUUCCCUUUACUUAUUGUUGCUCCUUGUGAAGUCAUUGUAUGUUUGCAGUAUCUUUUGUCUUCACUGAGUGACUGCAUGCUCUGUAUGGCUUCACAAUAUCUUCCUACCUGAUCCUUACUACAUUACUGCUAUUAAGUCAUUGUGCUUUCACUUCAUUGAACACUUGACUAUGGCUUGCCUAGUGUAGUCUACCUUUCGCUGCAUGGUAAUAGGUUUAUUUCUAUCGUUUGUCUUCAUAACUUCCACGUUUUGAAGACUUUCAUAAAAAUCACCUAUUCACCCCCCUCUAGUCGAUAUAACACACUUUCAAUUGGUAUCAGAGCAAGGUGCUCCCUUGUUCUGUGUGAUUUGGUUUAGUUUUAGCUAUGUCGACUGCAGGGAUAAUUAAAGUCUCCGUUGCGUGCCCCGUCUUUGAUGGAACUGAAUAUCCCUACUGGAAGAAUAAGAUGCGCAUGCAUCUUGAAGCCAUUGACGUCGACCUAUGGUAUGUCAUCGAGAACGGCGUUCCCAAGGCUGGAGAAGGUGCCACUGCUGCUGACGUCAAGAAAUUUGUUCAACUGGACUCUACUGCCAAGAAUAUCAUCUGUGGUCACCUGACCAAACGACAGUAUGGCCGUGUGAGUGCUUUGAAGACAACUAAGCUGGUCUGGGACUGGCUCUCCAAGGUCAAUGAAGGCAUCUCAACCCAGAGAGAUCAGAGAAUCAGUGUCCUUCGCAACCUCUUCAACCGCUUCAAGCGAAAUGACAAUGAGAAUGUCCAGCACACUUUUGACCGACUCACUAACAUCACAAAUGAGCUUCAAGCCCUCGGCGCUACUGAGAUCACCAAACAUGAAGUCAUCAAGACACUAUUGAGAUCACUUGAUAGUUCGUUUGACAUCCUAGCCCUGAUGAUUCAAGAACUUCCUGAUUUCAAGACACUCGAUCCAUCUGACAUACUUGAGAGGCUCAACACACAUGAGUUUCAGCUUUCUGAAAAAAGAGAUAUCUACGGUCCAAACUAUGGGCGAACUCGUGCCUUGAAGGCAAAAGUUGUCUCCUCAUCUAAAGAAGAAUCUGACAGCAGUUCUGAUGAUCCUGAAGACAUUGGAAGAGAACUUGCUAUGCUUGUGAAGAAGUUCCAAAAAUUCACCAAGAAGAAAGGCUUCAGAAAGUCUUCCCGGUCAAGCUCAAGGAAUGAUGAAGCUUCUGCUCACGACUACAAGAAGAAAACAUGUCACAAGUGCAAGAAACCUGGCCACUUCAUUUCUAAGUGUCCACGGUGGGACAAUGAGAACAAAAAGAAGAAGAAGAGCAAGGAAUAUGACUCUGAUGACAAGAAGAAGAAGAAAUACUCAAAGUCUUCGUCCAAGUCUUCCUCAAAGUCUUCAUCACACAAGAAGAGAUCAUCUGGCAAGGCACGUGCGUUUGUUGGCAAGGAAAUGGACUCGGAGGAGGAGUCCGCUUUUGAGGAGGCGGAGGUGGAGUCUGAGGAGGAGUCCGAUUCAGGCGUCGCAAGUCUGCCUACAGCAUAAGUUGCCAAGUCCAUCUUCAAUACUGAAGACAAUGACCUCGUCACCGACACCAAUGCAAUUGACAAGGACUACUCCGCUUCUACCUACUGCUUCAUGGCACACGGUGCCAAGGUAAACACACGCACUACUCACUAUCAAACAUCUAGUGACGAUGACUCUGAUUGUAAUUCAAAACCCAGCUACAAAACACUUGCUAAAAUUGCAACUGAACAGCAGAAAGCUAUGGAACAUAUUCAAAAACUGUUCGACAGAAGCGAUGACCUGUUAGGUGCUGAAAUGACUCGAUCUGAAUCCUUAAUUGAAGACAUAAAAAAUCUUCACGUUAAGUAUCAGGAACUUGAAAGUCGUCAUGAAACUCUCUCAACAACUCAUGAAAAGCUUUCCUAUGAUUAUCUUCAAAGGAAGCAAGAUCUUGAGAAAUUGAGAGCGGUUCAUGAAGAUCUUCAAAAGGAAAACGAGUCACUUCACUCCAAACAGAUCAGUCCCGCUCAGGAAGGAUUUGAACCACCAUGUCUUAAAUGCAUUGAGCGUGAUAAUGCUACUUCUGUUGCUGAAUGUUCUACUGCUACUACUGUUGCAAUAUCUUCAACUGUUGAUGUGGUAAAUAACCCCUCUGCUGAGGAUACCUCUGCUAUUGCUGAUGAGAAUGCUAGGUUCAAGACAUUGCUUGAAACAAGGUGGUACAAAAGUCUUAAAGGGCAUCACACACUAUGUGAUGUCCUCAAAAAGCAGAUUCUGAACCGAAACCCGAGGAAAGAGGGUGUUGGGUUCGUAAGGAAAAUGAAUGCUGAUGGCUCUUACUGGAAACCUGAGCAGUACCCCAAAACCAUGUGGGUUGCUGCAAAGGAACCUUCAGCAGACCCAUCCAAUCUAUCUGGCUUCACCUGUGCUAACCCCAUUAUCAUUGAUGAAUCCUUUGAUGCAAACUAUAUACUGUUUAAGAAUCAGAAUGGUGAAGUGUUUGCCAGGUACAUUGGUACUAACUGCAGGAAUGGACCGCCUAUGAAGAAGAUAUGGGUUCCAAAAAGGUGUCUGGAGAAUCUUCCUGUGAAUGUCAUCAUGACACCUCACGUGAAGAAGACAAACCUCAGACCAAAGGCUUCAUACGGUCCAAAGGCUUCAUACAGACAGAGGACUCACUUGAGUCGCACUAACACAAAUGUUUUGCAGGGAAACCAUACUCAGGCAUAUGAAUAUGAGAGCGGUUCAUCAAACCGCCAUGUUCAUAAGACCAAGAACUAUUCUGCUUAUUCUUAUGAGUACUAUUGUCCGCCUGCAAGACUGUUUGCUAGGGCUCCAAAGCCAAAAUUCUCAGAUGCUGCACUUAGACUUAUUGCUUCUCAGCCACCCUUGAAGAUGUGGGUGGCUAAGAAAGCUUAACUCUCUUUUGCAGGGAAAGGUCUCCAGCAGAAAACCAAAAUCGUCUGACGCCAUUGCUGGGGACCUUAAACAUCUUGUAGGGCGCAAGAUCAAAUGCCCGAAUGGUCUUACUAUGUACUUUGUUCCUGAAUCGCUUGCUACUCUCCCUAUUAGUCCUAAUCUGGAUCUAAGCUUUCAUAACCCAUUGGUUCAUCAAAUGUUUUUGCUUCACAAUGCUCUUGGUGAAGCCUAUCCCCCUAACUGCACUGUAGGGUACGACACCAGCGUCUUCAGAAUGGAUUAUUGAUAGUGGGUGUACAAAUCACAUGAUUGGCAAAAGAAGUCUUCUUAUGGACCCAACCUUACGUCCAUCCGACAAGAGCCACAUCACAUUUGCUGACACUGGUAAAAGUAAGGUAUUGGGUCUAGGUAGAGUUGCAAUUUCAAGGGAUCAACACAUGGACAAAGUCAUGUUUGUUGAAUCCCUUGGCUUCAACUUAAUGUCUGUCUCAAUGCUUUGCGAUUUGAACAUGAUCGUAAUAUUUGGAAAAUACCGUUGCCUUGUACUAAUGCAAUCUGACAAGUCUCUAGUGUUUGAAGGGUAUCGAAAAGAUGAUAUGUACGUAGUAGAUUUCUCAGCAGGACCAUAGCUUGCCGUAUGUCUUCUAGCAAAAUCUUCAGAAUGCUGGCUCUGGCAUCGGAGGCUUGGGCAUGCUAGCAUGAGGAACCUCCACACCCUUGCGAAGAAGAAGCAUGUCAUAGGCAUCGAGGGCGUCAAGUUCAAGAAAGACCACUUAUGUGGUGCCUGUGAAGCAAGGAAUAUGACGAGGGCCAAACAUACUUCGAAGACAAUCAUGACCACUACUCGACCCUUCGAACUGCUUCACAUGGAUCUUUUCGGUCCCACUCAUUACUCAACUCUUACUACUACUGCAUGCCUCUAUGGCUUCGUUAUUGUUGAUGAUUACUCUAGAUACACUUGGGUGCACAUAAUCCUUUACAAGACUGAAGUGCAGGAUGUCUUCAGACGCUUCGCCAAUCGAGCUAUGAACAAUUAUGGCGCCAAGCUAAAGCACAUCAGAAGUGACAAUGGCACUGAAUUCAAGAAAACUGGCCUUGAUACAUAUCUUUAUACCUUGGGCAUCACACAUGAAUUCUCAACCCCGUACACGCCACAGCAGAAUGGCGUCGUCGAACGCAAGAACAGAACACUCAUUGAGAUGGCCAGAACGAUGCUAGAUGAACACAAGACCCCAAGAAAAUUCUGGCCUGAAGCCAUUGAUACUGCAUGCCAUACAAUCAAUCGUGUUUAUCUUCACAAGCUUCUGAACAAGACAUCUUAUGAGCUCCUUACUGGCAAGAAGCCAAAUGUCAGUUACUUCAGAGUAUUUGGCGCAAGGUGCUGGAUCAAGGACCCACAUCACACCUCAAAGUUUGCACCAAAAGCAUAUGAGGGUUUUAUGCUUGGAUAUGGAAAGGAUUCGCACUCCUACAGAGUCUUCAAUCUCUUUCAUUACAAAGUGGUUGAAACAGUGGAUGUGUGGUUCGAUGAGACCAAUGGUUCACAAAGAGAGCAACUGCCAAAUGUGCUAGAUGAAGUUCCAUCCAGUGAAUCAAUCAAGCUAAUGGGAACUAGAGAAAUUAUACCUUCUGAAGCUCAUCCUGAAGAAGAACUUAUCAUCUCAGCACCUGAUCAACAUGAAGACAAUGCUCAGCCUGAGGACAUUCCUUCUAACAACGACAAUGAUCAGCAAGAGCAAAGUCUUCGCCCUAUACAUCCUCGCAUUGCCAAUGAAGUGCAGAUUGAAAGAAUAAUUGAUAGCAUCAAUGCACCCGGUCCACUCACUUGUUCAAGGGCAACUCAGCUAGCAAAUUUCUGUGGGCACUUCGCAUUCGUCUCAAUAACAGAACCCAAGAAAGUUGAAGCCUUCAUGGAACCUGAAUGGAUUCAAGCUAUGCAAGAAGAGCUUCAACAGUUUGAGCUGAAUAAUGUAUGGGAACUAGUUAAGCGUCCUGAUCCACGGAAGCACAAUAUAAUAGGCACCAAAUGGAUAUACCGCAACAAGCAAGAUGAGCAUGGUCAAGUUUUCAGAAACAAAGCUCGUCUCGUUGCUCAAGGAUAUACUCCAGUGGAAGGCAUUGACUUCGAUGAAACAUUUGCUCCUGUGGCUAGACUUCAAGCCAUACGCAUACUGCUGUCCUAUGCAAAUCAUCACAACAUACUUCUAUAUCAAAUGGAUGUGAAGAGUGUUUUUCUCAAUGGCAAGAUUGAAGAAGAAGUGUAUGUUGCACAACCGCCUGGCUUUGAAGAUCCAAGACAUCCUGACAUGGUAUACAAGCUCAACAAGGCACUGUAUGGCCUCAAACAAGCCCCUCGGGCCUGGUAUGACACACUCAAAUACUUCCUGAAGAGCAAAGGCUUCAUACCUGGUUCCCUAGACCCCACUCUCUUCACAAAGACAUAUGAUGGUGAACUGUUUGUGUGCCAAAUAUAUGUGGAUGACAUUAUCUUCGGCUGCACCAAUCAGAAGUACAGUGAAGUGUUUGGAUAUAUGAUGCAAGAGCAAUAUCAGAUGUCCAUGAUGGGAGAGCUGAAGUUCUUCCUCGGUCUUCAAAUAUGACAACAACACAAUGGCAUCUUCAUAUCUCAAGAGAAGUAUCUCAAAGAUUGCCUGAAGAAGUUCGGUAUGCAAGACUGCAAAGGCUUCACAACACCAAUGCCAGCCAAACAUCAUCUGGGUCCCGAUGACAAUGGUAAAAAGUUCGAUCAAAAGGUAUACCGCUCCAUGAUUGGUUCUUUACUUUAUCUAUGUGCAUCUAGGCCAGAUAUUAUGCUUAGUGUUUGCAUGUGUGCUUGAUUUCAAGCGGCACCAAAGGAGUCGCAUCACUUAGCUGUGAAGCGAAUUCUUCGAUAUUUGGCUCACACCCCAACUCUAGGAUUAUGGUAUCCAAAGGGCUCAGAGUUUGAUCUGGUUGGAUUCUUGGAUACUGAUUAUGCUGGUGAAAAAGUUGAUCGCAAGUCUACAUCAGGCACAUGUCACUUUCUGGGACGAUCACUUGUAUGUUGGUCUUCAAAGAAGCAGAACUGUGUAUCUCUCUCCACUGCUGAAUCUGAAUACAUUGCUGCUGGAUCUUGCUGCGCUCAGCUUCUGUGGAUGAAGCAAACACUCAAGGACUAUGGCAUUCAUCUGAAGCAAGUGCCAAUUUGCUGCGACAAUGAAAGCGCCAUCAAGAUCGCCAACAACCCAGUUCAGCACUCGAAGACAAAGCACAUUGAAAUUCGUCAUCACUUUCUCAGAGAUCAUGUUGUGAAGGAAGAUAUUGAUAUCAUACACGUCAACACUGAAGAGAAAUUGGCAGAUAUCUUCACCAAGCCCUUGGAUGAGAAGAGAUUUUGCAAGUUACGGUGUGAGCUAAAUAUCCUGGAAUCCUCAAAUGUCCUGUGAUCAGGCACACAUCCUAACCCUUAUGCAUAUUGAUGACUUAGAUGUGCAACACACGAAGUAAAGUAUAUCUUCAAUCAAUGAAGACAUACAUUCUAAGUGUGAAUACAUUAAUGUGGAAUUUGACUUCGGAGCGCCACGAUAAUUGUGUGCCGUGUCUGGGUCUAAUACUUCCUAUACGGUGGGUAACGCCACCACCAAAUGUUCUAUUUUGAAGUGUUUCACUCAUGGCGUUACCUUGCAAUGUCUUCACAUUUGGUUUGGCUUCGAUCUCAACAUAUCUUCAUGAUUAUCUUCACUAUGUUGAUUAUAUAUAUAUAUAUAUAUAUAUAUAUAUAUAUAUAUAUAUAUAUAUAUAUUAGUGUUCUGUCCUCUACAGCAUUCACUUAUAGCUAUGUCUUCAUUGUUGAAUCUUUUGAACUAAGUGAAUGUGAUCGGACCCUAACCUCUCUAUGCUUUCUAUCUCAAAUUCUAUCUCUCCAAAUAAUAUGCAUUCUAUUGAAACUGUCAAAUGUCUUCUCUGCGUCCUUGUCAGCAGAAGAUACAGAGACAACCAUUAAGUCCGUUUUCAAUGCUCAUUCCUCCACAUGAAGUAGGAACGACCACCCGACAAUCAAGGCAUGCGUGGGACGUUGAACAAACCCCAAAAUUCUGCAUAAUGGCCACGUGUUUCUCAGAUGCGAAUCGCCAGGGGAACCUGUGUAAUAGCGCAGUGCCGCCCAUGUACCUAUAAAUAUACACUUCACAGCGGUCAUUAUCUCUUCUUCCACUCUCGCACGAACCCUAGCGCCACCGCUAGCCCUCGACGACGCCGGCGACGAAGCGCUUCGCUGUGCAACCUCUCCGACGCCGUCUUCACGCCGACCGCGGACAUCGUCCUCUCCGCCGUCGCCGUAGGUGUCCUCCGUCGCCAAGUUAGGGCACGGAAGAUCAAACUGCUCGGCCUCAUCUUCCACUUCGUCUAGCAGUUCUUAGUGUGAAUUCUUACAGCAUCACAUUAAUUCUCCCGAAGCCAGUUCCUGUUGGUCCAGCAAGCGAAAACCUUUGAAGCCUUUGAAUGUGUUGAGGCCUUUCAAGUUAAAGUUUAUGGCUUCAGAGAAAGCAGCAAGGAAGGGUGGCAGAAAGCGUCGUGGAGAAACAUCCAGAGAUCUGCCAGAUGAACUCUCAGAACUGUACAAGACAGAUCCUGAAGAGGAUUAGAAUCAGCGCAAGACCCGAAUCCAAUGGAUUCGAAGAUAUUGGGCAGAAUAAUGGUUCAAAUACCGAUUUGUAACCCAAGAAUAUGCUGAGAAAAAUGCCAUCAAGAGAUCGUGGGGAGACAUCCAAUACAAGAAUCUUCUACCUAGGUCCAGAGAUGAAGCCAUUGCUCAAGGCUUCUAUCCCUGAAUGGUCCGUGGGCCACAGCCAGCUGAUGCACACCCAUCGUCACUACUAUGGUGUCGUGACGACAAUCUGUUCAAGCGCAACUUCCAGUUUACCCAGAACUCAGCGAAGUAGAACAAGAAGACUUUGGGGUUAGACUUCAACCCUGGUCCCUCAGCACCAAGGGCAGAUGGCACACGAGAUGCAGAACCCAAUGUCAUCGGUCCUUUCAACAACCUUGAAGGCCUCAUCACCCACAUCUUAGUUCAAGGGACUGCAGUGAAUGAGCCUGCAGCUGACGCUGAAUCAGAAGAAGCUCCUGCAGCGCCAAAGACAAAGAAGAUGAAGAAGCCUAAAGCUUCAAAGCCUGCCCCCUCACCAAAAAUCUCAAGGGCGAAGCCACUGGCAACUGCACCUCCUGAAGACAGUGUGCAGUCCGAAGACUUAUCUCGCAUCUCCAAGCCCCAGAAAGUCAAGAUGCCUCUGCCUCACACCGGACAAGAGCUAACUGGUGCUGCCAUUCUGCGCAAUGACGACAUUGAUCUGUCAAGUGAUGAAGAUCUAGCAGAUGACGCUCUUGAGCAACUCAUCAAGAGAAAAGAAGAAGCAGAAAUCUUCAAUGAUCUGCCUCUCUUUGAUGUGACCAUCAUCCACAACUUCAUUGACGAGUGGUUUGGCACGCCAAACAUCAGCUUUGAAGAUCUGCAGCUACCAAUUGGCCUCAGUGUCGCCUUCCAAGGCGCCAUUGCUUCAGAACUCGCUAUUGCCCAGCGCAUUGUUGAACUGAAGCAAAAGAUUGACUAUGAAAAGGAUCAGUUCAAGAAGCAUAUGGCCAAGCUCAGCGUGCAGGAAGUGAAGAACUUCAAGAGUAUGAUGCACGAGCUCAAGGAAGCCUUUGUAAAGAAACAUGCAGAAGCUCAGGGUUCGCGUGAGCGCAUGAAGACUCUGGCUGACAGAUGUGUGCAAGCCUACAAUGAGGCUAAGAAGUGUAAGGCCCUUGGGCGUCCUGGCAUCGACCCCAGGAUGGCCGCAAAGAAGAAGAAGAAGCCUGCUACGGCUGAACCUGACGCAACAAGGCAGGAAGCAGUUCAUAUUGUCUUCACAACUAAAAUGACUGGCUCAAAGCCAAAAAGGCGGUCAACAGCUUCAGAGCUCAAGAAGACAAGGACUGCUGAGGCUGAAGCUAGGAAGAGGAAAUAUUCUGAAGCCUCUCCAACUGCCCCCUCCAAGAAGAAGAGGAAGACCAAGAAACAUCGGGCAGCUCCCACAGAGCCCUUGAUAGUUGAACCCAUUUCUAUGGUCUAUCCUGAAGCUGAAUGCCAUGAACGCCAACUGACUAUCCAUGAGCCUGCUUCCACAGAGGCUCAUGAAGCUGAAGACUUUCCAGCAGCUGAUCCCAUCGCUGUUGAAGACAUUGGUCAACAUGACAAUGUAGAAGAUGGUGCAGUCCUUCCUCAGAACAGCGAACUCAUCAGCAUUGGUCGUCCACUGACGCCAAUUGCACAGGAUGCUUCAUGGGCAGAUCGCCCACAAGAGGAAGAAGCCUAUGAGGCCCAACCCACUCCAACUCCACAGGCGUCGCCCGCGUUGCGCAGGCUUCACAAAGGUCCAAGGCCUCAAGUCUCUGCUGAAGACAAUCCGGCUGCAUCAGACGCGGAAGAUGAAGUCCCACAAGUUUUCACUCCACUGUCCCACCAAGAAGCAGUUCUCAAGGAGAACGUGCUUGAAAAUCUUGAGGCUGCCACAACCACCAAUGAAGCUAAUGUGGAGCCCUCCCCAACGGAAAAAGAAGACAGCGAAGCCACUGAUCCCGUCACUUCUGUUCCUGAGUCUGCUGCCGGUCCACAGUUCGACUAUCAUGUUGAGCACAGGCCUCAGGUACAGAAGCCAAUCCCAAGAUUGCCAAGGUUCCCAGGUCCUGCAUCAGCACCUGGCUCCUUCAAUAUCAAUGGCUUCAGGGCAGACAACACAUUCUUCGAUAGCUCCAGGAACCCCUACUCAAGGGAAAGGAUAUCAUCUGAUCAGUUCUGGAGCUAUCCUCGGCGAAGCUAUUACUCAUGCAUUCUUUACAACCAAGGUUGCAUCUUCCCACACAAGCGCCUUGACAUUGAAGCCAUAGCUGGUAUGCCUUGUCUGGAAGAAGCUUUGGAUUGCUUCAAGGAAGUUGGACUGCUGUCGUUCGUUACUGACCAAGAGCAUUGGAAUGAAGAGCUGCUGCUCCAAUUCUAUGCCACACUUCACAUCCGAGGGUACAGCAGAGAUCCGAAGACUUGGGUCCUGGAGUGGAUGACCGGAAAUGUUCAUCAUGAAGCCAAUGCAUUUGACAUCAUUGAUCUCACUGGUUUGCCCACUCCUGGCGAUCUCUACGAGCAUGGCUGUCAGCUGCAUAGUGAAGCUAUUGAGAGCAUCUUUAAGAGGCCGGAACCUGAUAUGAGUCAGAUGCUUAGCAUGAUGAAGCCAUUGCCCCAAGAUGCUGCUUAUCCAACAGAGUUCUUCAUUGAAGACCUUGAGUAUCUGCCACGAACCAUCUAUCACAUCAUCAGGCGAACUCUCUGGCCCAUCAAAGGGCACUCUCCAAAUGCCAAGCUUGAGGGUGCAAUGAAGACUUUGGUCUUCUAUAUUCUUCAUGGAAAAUGCUUCAAUGCACAGGACUUAUUCAUCCGCCAACUUGCUGCAUCAGGCUCUGAUCUGUUUGGCUUGAAGUUCUACGCCCCAUGGGUAAUGCGGCUAAUUAAACUUCACUCCAAUAUCUCAUAUCAGCCAUCUGCUCGCAAUCAUAGGAUUUUUCUGCCUGAUGUGGAUAUCUCUACUGAAGCCAUCUAUCCUGAGCCUGCAAAGGAACCUCUAAGUCUUCAGAAUGUAGAGCAUCAGAGUUUCUCACAGAACAUUGAAGGAGUUGAAGCAGUCACUCGGGUGUAUCCUUUGGCUGGCACUACACGUGCACCACACCCUGCGUCUACUGAAGCCACUGAUAGUACAACUGCUCCAAGACCCAAGAAGCGCACUCGUGUUCUCAACGACCAAGAGCUUCUUGUGGCUCUUCAUCAGAAACAGGAUAGGCAUCAUGACUGGCUGAAGCGUCAGAUGAAAAGCCUCUUGGUGGAAGUUAAUCGCAUUCGCAAUCUUGCCACCAAGAAUGCUUUCGUUGCCCAUGAAACCUGUCGCCGUACAUGGAAAGGGCUAACGAUGAUGUGUUCUGAAGAUGAUCUCCAAGAGGAUGGCUUCACUGAGUGAUUCAAGUUUGACUCCACACCUCCUCAAAGAGCUGUGCUGCUAGGAACUCCACCCCUUGAAGACUCUGAGUUCUCUUCAUCUGCAGCAACAGUGACUGCCAGAGUUAUCGAGGAUGAAGAUGAUGCUACUUCACCACCACCUCCUUCAGCACGCGUGAACUCUGCUCCAAGCUCUUCAGCACCGCCAAACACCACCAACGACCCUGCUACUUCACCUACUCCGCAUGGGAAUGAGUAGAUGCUCUAUGUCUUCAAACCUUUUUGGUCCUUACUGACAAAGGGGGAGAAGCAUAUGAGGUUGAUAGUCUUCAAGCGGGUCCAUAUGGGCGGGUGCUUUAUAUUUUGCUUCGUGCUUACAACUCUCGUUUUGCUACAUUUGGUUCUUUGAGUUGUAACACUUAAACUCGAUGGCCGUAUGCUACUUAUCUGCCACUUUGUUUUGCGAUGAUAAAUUCCGCAUGUGCGAUGAUAAAUUCCGCACUUAGAUCAUUCUGCAUACGUCCAUUUUCCAUUAUGCAUGUCAUUAUCUUCUUAUACUUUCACAUGCAUAGUGGAUUGUCAUCAUAAGUUGAAGUGGAUCUCCACAAGUACAACCUGCCAUGUGCAUUUGCAUUCCAAAAGCAAAUUACCUAUAUGCACAUCUUCUGGGGGAGCCCUUGCAACUUAUGAAGACAAUUCCUUAUCCUUUACAAUUUCACAGAUUAUAUUCCCCGUUGAAAACUUCAACUAGCUUGUCAUCAAUUACGAAAUAGGGGGAGAUUGUAACUGCAUCUAGUGCCACCCCUAGUUGGUUUUGGAGUAUUGACAACAAACCUAGUUGAGGGACUAAUGUGUUUGUGAGAAUUGCAGGAUAACACAGGUAGAAGUCCCUCAUUCAUUCGGUUUUCCUACCAGAGAUGACCCCUAAAAAUGUAUGAAGACAUUGAAGUCAAAGGUGGUAUAUGAAGAUAUUCACAUUGAAGACUAUGACAAGAGAAGACACCACAUGAAGCCUAUGGAGCUCGAAGACUUAGAUCUUUCGUAGUUCUUUUUCUUUUGUGUUGAGUCAUAGGAACCACCGUACUGUUAAGUGGGGUCCAAGAGAACCAGUCAGACUGACUGAAGUGAUGCCUAAACAAAAACCUAUGUCUUCGAGUGAAGACUAUGAGAGCGAAUCUUGUCUAGAGUCGGACAAGUCAGCUUUGCUUGUAGCCCAAGUAAAGUUGUCGCGUGAGUUUGAAAUCUGACCGUUGGAACACAUGUCAGUUCCUUAGUGACCCAGGGUCAUUUUAGACAAAUCAGGUCGGGUUGCCAAGUGGCUAUAAAUAGCCCACCCCCCACAACCAUAAAUGGUUGGCUGCUCAGAUUGAGAAUACGGCUUUUGUCGUUUGAGAGCAACCCACCUCGAAGCCUUUGAGAGAGAAUUCCUUGCGAGGAUAAAGCCCUAACCACCCAGAGCCAGAGAGAAUUGGGCAUCACUUAAGUCUUCUUGUCUGUGUGAUCUGAAGACUUAUUACACUUGAGGACUGUGCAUCCUCCAGCCGGUUAGGCGUCGCGUUCUGAGCAUCCAAGAGACAUUGUGGAUUGCCGGUGAACGAAGUCUGUGAAGGUUUGGGAGUCUACCUUGAAGACUUACCAGAGUGAUUGGGCGAGGUCUGUGUGACCUUAGCUCAAGGGGAAUACGGUGAGGACUGGGUGUCCUGAGCUGCGUGUUCAGGACUGGGUGUCCGGGACUGUGUGUCCUAAGGUUUAAAUACCUAGCCGCCCCAACCAAACGUACAGUUGUCACAGCAACUGGAACUGGUCCAACAAAUCAUUGUCUUCAACGAGUCAUUGGUUUCAUCUUCCCUUCCCUUUACUUGCUGUUGCUCCUUGUGAAGUCAUUGUAUGUUUGCACUAUCUUUUGUCUUCACUGAGUGACUGCAUGCUCUGUAUGGCUUCACAAUAUCUUCCUACCUGAUCCUUACUACAUUACUGCUAUUAAGUCAUUGUGCUUUCACUUCAUUGAACACUUGACUAUGGAUUGCCUAGUGUAGUCUACCUUCCGCUGCAUGGUAAUAGGUUUAUUUCUAUCGUUUGUCUUCAUAACUUCCAUGUUUUGAAGACUUUCAUAAAAAUCGCCUAUUCACCCCCCCCCCUAGUCGAUAUAACGCACUUUCAAGACUGCACACUGUCUUCAGGAGGUGCAGUAGCCAGUGGCUUCGCCCGUGAGAUUUUUGGUGCUGAGGCAGGCAUUGAAGCUUUAGGCUUCUUCAGUUUCUGUGGCUUCGGCGGUGCAGGCGCUUCAUCAGAUUCAGCGUCAUCUGCAGGCUCAUCCAUGGCUGUCCCUUGAACCAUGAUAUGAGUGAUGAGACCUUCCAGGUUGUAGAAGGGCCCAACAAGAUUGGGUUCAGCUUCGCGGGUGCCAUCGGCACGGGGAGCAGAGGGGCCAGGGUUGAAGUCUAGUCCCAAUGACUUCUUGUUUUGCUUAGACGAAUUCUUGGCAAAUUGGAAGUUGCGUUUGAACAGAUUGUCGUCACGACACCAUAGCAAUGACGAUGGGUAAGCAUCCGCAGGCUGUGGCCCACGGACCAUGCAGGGAUAGAAGCCUUGUUCAAUGGCUUCAUCUCUGGACCUGGGUUGAAGAUUUCUGUAUAGGAUGUCUCCCCAAGGUCGCUUGAUGGCAUUUUUCUCAGCAUAUUCCUGGGUCACAAACCGGUACUUGAACCAUUGUUCUGCCCAAUAUCUUUGAAUCCAUUAGAUUCGGGUCUUGCGCUGAUUGUAAUCCUCUUCAGGAUCUGUCUUGUAAAGCUCUGAGAGGUCAUCAUGCAAAUCUCUUGACGUUCCCCCACGACGCUGUCUGCCACCCUUCCUUACUGAUUUCUCUGCAGCCAUGAACUUCAAACUGAAUGGCUUCAACAUGUUCAAAGGUUUCAAAGGCUUUCGCUUGCUGGACAAACAGGAACUGGCUUCGGGAGAAUUUAUAUGAUGUUGUAAGAAUUCUGCAAAUGAAUGCAGACUAUGAGAACCAAGGGAUUCUCCCACGGACAUCUACCUGGGAUAGCAUUAAGGUGCGAGGGAAGGGGAAAGAGGUCAUAUGCAUUCUCAGAAGAUUUUGAAGAUAAAUCAGUUUAGAAGACAUUGACCUCAUCGUGCGAAGACAUUCACUCAUAGAUAAGGAGUUGGUUCCAGAUUUGUACGAAUCCAUGGAUCAGUACAAGUGAGGAAUCUAACUACUUUGUGAAGCAUAAGUGAACAUACUAGGCAUAUUAUGAGAUGCAGUAUGAAAUAGAUCCAACUUGUGUGAACAGAAACUGCUUGUGGUAGAAAGUGAUGAAUCUUAGGAUCAAAGGGGCCAUAAAAAGGAAUUUUUAUUUACCACACGAAGAACUGCUAGACGGAGUGGAAGAGGAGGCCGAGCAGUUCGAUCGUCCGUGCCCUAACUUGGCAACGGAGGACACCUACGGCGACGACGGAGAAGACAAUGUCCGCGGCCGGCGUGAAGACGGUGUCGGAGAGGUCGCGGCAGCUUAGAGCUUCGUCGUCGGCGUCGUCAAGGGCUAGCGGUGGCGCUAGGGUUUGUGCGAGAGUGGAAGAAAGGAUAAUGAAUGUGGUGAGACGUGUAUUUAUAGGGACAGGGACGGCAUAGUGUUAUUACACAGGUGCCCCUGGCGAUUCACAUCUGAAGGACACAUGGCCAUCAUGCAACAUAUCGGAGGUUGUUCCACGUUCCCAUGCACGCCUGGAUUGUCGGGUGGUCAUUCCCACUUCUCCGGGUUUCAGGUGAAGGAAUUAGCAUUGAAAGCGGACUUAAUGUUUGUCUCUGUAUCUUCUGCUAACAAAGACGCAGAGAAGACAUUCGAUAGUUUCAAGAGAAUGCAUAUGAUUUGGAGAGAUAGAGUUUGAGAUAGAAAGCAUAGAGAGGUUAGGGUCCGAUCACAUUCACUUAGUUCAAAAGAUUCAACAAGAAGACAUAGCUAUAAGUGAAUGCUGUAGAGGAUAGAACACUAGUAUAUAUAUAAUCAACAUAGUGAAGAUAAUCAUGAAGAAAGGUUGAGAUUGAAGCCAAACCAAAUGUGAAGACAUAUCAAAUGCAACACAUGGGUGAAACACUUCAAACAGAAGAAUUUGGUGGUGGCGUUACCCACCGUAUAGGAAGUAUUUUAGACCCAGACACGGCGCACAAUUAUCGUGGUGCUCCGAAGUCAAAUUUCACAUUAAUGUAUUCACACUUAGAAUGUAUGUCUUCAUUGAAGAUAUACUUUACUUCGUGUGUUGCACAUCUAAGUCAUCAAUAUGCAUAAGUGUUAGGAUGUGUGCCUAAUCACAGGACAUUUGAGGAUUCCAAGAUAUUUAGCUCACACCGUAACUUGCAAAAUCUCUUCUCAUCCAAGGGCUUGGUGAAGAUAUCUGCCAAUUGCUCUUCAGUGUUGACGUGUAUGAUAUCAAUAUCUUCCUUCACAACAUGAUCUCUGAGAAAGUGAUGACGAAUUUCAAUGUGCUUUGUCUUUGAGUGCUGAACUGGGUUGUUGGCAAUCUUGAUGGCGCUUUCGUUGUCGUAGUAGAGUGGCACUUGCUUCAGAUGAAUGCCAUAGUCUUUGAGUGUUUGCUUCAUCCACAGAAGCUGAGCGCAACAAGAUCCAUCAGCAAUGUAUUCAGAUUCAGCAGUGGAGAGAGAUACACAGUUCUGCUUCUUUCAAGACCAACAUACAAGUGAUCGUCCCAGAAAAUGACAUGUGCCUGAUGUAGACUUGCGAUCCACCUUGUCACCAGCAUAAUCAGCAUCCGAGAAUCCAACCAGAUCAAACUCUGAGCCCUUUGGAUACCAUAGUCCUAGUGUUGGGGUGUAAGCCAAAUAUCGAAGAAUUCGCUUCACAGCUAAGUGAUGCGAUUCCUUUGGUGCCGCUUGGAAUCGAGCACACAUGCAAACACUAAGCAUAAUAUCUGGCCUAGAUGCACAUAGAUAAAGUAAAGAACCAAUCAUGGAGCGGUAUAACUUUUGAUCGAACUCCUUACCAUUGUCGUCGGGACCCAGAUGAUAUUUGGCUGGCAUUGGCGUCGUGGAGCCUUUGCAGUCUUGCAUACCAAAUGUCUUCAGGCAAUCUUUGAGGUACUUCUUUUGAGAUAUGAAGAUGUCGUUGUGUUGCUGACAUAUUUGAAGACCAAGGAAGAACUUCAGCUCACCCAUCAUGGACAUCUGAUAUUGCUCUUGCAUCAUAUAUCCAAACUCUUCACUUUAUUUCUAAUUGGUGCAGCCGAAGAUAAUGUCAUCCACAUAUAUUUGGCACACAAACAGUUCACCAUCAUAUGUCUUCAUGAAGAGAAUGGGGUUGAGGGAACCAGAUUUGAAGCCUUUGCUCUUCAGGAAGUCUUUGAGUGCGUCAUACCAAGCCCGAGGGGCUUGUUUGAGGCCAUACAGUGCGUUGUUGAGCUUGUACACCAUGUCAGGAUGUUUUGGGUCUUCAAAGCCAGGCGGUUGUGCAACAUACACUUCUUCUUCAAUCUUGCCAUUGAGAAAAGCGCUCUUCACAUCCAUUUGAUAUAGAAGUAUGUUAUGAUGAUUUGCAUAGGCCAGCAGUAUGCGUAUGGCUUCAAGUCUAGCCAGAGGAGCAAAUGUUUCAUCAAAGUCAAUCCCUUCAACUUGAGUGUACCCUUGAGCAACGAGGCGAGCUUGUUUCUAACAACUUGACCAUGCUCAUCUUGCUUUUUGCGAUAUAUCCAUUUGGUGCCUAUUAUAUUGUGCUUGCGAGGAUCAGGACGCUUAACCAUUUCCCAUACAUUAUUCAGCUCAAACUGUUGAAGCUCUUCUUGCAUAGCUUGAAUCCAUUCAGGUUCCAUGAAGGCUUCUUCAACUUUCUUUGAUUCAGAUAUUGAGACGAAUGCGAAGUGCCCACGGAAAUUUGCUAGAUGUGUUUCCCUUGAACGAGUGAGUGGACCUGGUGCAUUGAUGCUAUCAAUUAUUCUCUCAAUCUGUACUUCAUUUGCAACACGAGGAUGUACAGGACGAAGAUUUUGCUCUUGCUGAUCAUUGUCAUCGUUAGAGGGACUGUCUUCAGGCUGAGCAUUGUCUUCAGGUUGAUCAGGUGCGGAGAUGAUAAGUUCCUCUUCAGUCUGAGCUUCAGACGGUAUGAUUUCUCCAGUUCCCAUAAGUUUGAUUGAUUCACUGGAUGGAACUUCAUCUAGCACAUUUGGCAGGUGCUCUCUUUGUGAGCCGUUCGUCUCAUCAAACCGCACAUCCACUGUUUGAACCACUUUAUAGUGAAAAAGGUUGAAGACUCUGUAGGAGUGCGAAUCCUUUCCAUAUCCAAGCAUAAAACCCUUAUGUGCUUUUGGUGCAAAUUUUGAAAUGUGAUGUGGAUCCUUGAUCCAGCACCUGGCGCCAAAUACUCUGAAGUAACUGACAUUUGGCUUCUUGCCAGUAAGGAGCUCAUAGGAUGUCUUGUUCAGAAGCUUGUGAAGAUAAACACAGUUGAUGAUAUGGCAUGCAGUAUCAAUGGCUUCCGGCCAGAAUUUUCUUGGAGUCUUGUAUUCAUCAAGCAUCGUCCGGGCCAUCUCAAUAAGUGUUCUAUUCUUGCGUUCGACGACACCAUUCUACUGUGGCGUGUACGGAGCUAAGAAUUCAUGUGUGAUGCCUAAGGUAUCAAGAUAUGUAUCUAGGCCAGUGUUCUUGAAUUCAGUGCCAUUGUCACUUCUGAUGUGCUUUAUCUUGACGCCAUAGUUGUUCAUUGCUCGACUGGCGAAGCGUCUGAAGACAUCCUGCACUUCAGUCUUGUAGAGGAUUAUAUGCACCCAAAUAUAUCUUGAGUAAUCAUCAACAAUGACAAAGCCAUAGAGACAAGCAGUAGUAGUAAGAGUUGAGUAAUGAGUGGGACCGAAAAGAUCCAUGUGGAGCAGUUUGAAGGGUUGAGUCGUUGUCAUGAUUGUCUUCGAGGGAUGCUUGGCCCUCGUCAUCUUUCCUGCUUCACAGGCACCUCAUAAGUGAUCCUUCUUGAACUUGACGCCCUCGAUGCCUAUGACAUGCUUCUUCCUUGCAAGGGUGUGGAGGUUCCUCAUGCCAGCAUGCCCUAUCCUCUGAUGCCAGAGCCAACAUUCAGAAGCUUUUACUAGAAGACAUACUGCAAGUUGUGGUCCUGCUGAGAAAUCUACCACGUACAAAUCAUCUUUCCGAUACCCUUCAAACACUAGAGACUUGUCAGAUUCCAUUAGUACAAGGCAACGAUAUUUUCCAAACAUCACAAUCAUGUUUAAAUCGCAAAGCAUUGAGACAGACAUUAAGUUGAAACCGAGGGAUUCAACAAGCAUGACUUUAUCCAUCUGUUGAUCCUUUGAGAUUGCAACUCUACCUAGACCCAAUACCUUGCUUUUACCAGUGUCAGCAAAUGUGAUGUGACUUUUGUCAGAUGGACAUAAAGUUGAGUCCAUGAGAAGGCUUCACUUGCCAGUCAUGUGAUUUGUAAACCCACUAUCAAUAAUCCAUUCUGAAGUAGCUGGUGUCGUACCCUACAGUGCAGUUAGGGGGAUAGGCUUCACGAAGAGAAUUGUGAAGCAAAAACAUUUGACGAACCAGUGGAUUAUUAAAUCUUAGGUCGAGAUUAGGACUGAUAGGGCAAGUAGCAAGCAAUUCAGGAACAAAGUACAUAAAAAGACCAUUUGGGCAUUUGAUCUUGCGCCCUACAAGAUGUUUAAGGUCCCCAGCAAUAGUGUCAGACGAUUUUGGUUUUCGGCUGGAGACCUUUCCCUGCAAAAGAGAGUUAAGCUUUCUUAGCCACCCACAUCUUCAAGGGUGGCUUCGAAGCAAUGAGUCUAAGUGCAGCAUCUGAGAACUUUGGCUUUGGAGCCCUAGCAAAAAGUCUUGCAGGUGGACAAUAGUACUCAUAAGAAUAAACAGAAUAGUUCUUGGUCUUAUGAACAUGGCGGUUUGAUGAAACGCGCUCAUAUUCACAGGCCUGAGUAUGGUUUCCCUGCAAAACAUUUGCCUUAGUGCGACUCAGGUGAGUCCUCUGUCUGUAUGAAGCCUUUGGACCGUAUGAAGCCUGUGGUAUGGGGUUUGUCUUCUUCACCUGUGGUGUCAUGAUGACAUUCACAGGAAGAUUAUCCAAACACUUUUUCGGCACCCAGAUCUUCUUCAUAGGCGGUCCAUUCCUGCAGUUAGUACCAAUAUACCUAACAAACACUUCACCAUUCUGAUUCUUAAACAGUUUAUAGUUUGCAUCAAAGGAUUCAUCAAUAACAAUGGGAUUAGCACAAGUGAAGCCAGAUAGGGUGGAUGGAUCCGCUGAAGGUUCCUUUGCAGCAACCCAUGUGGUUUUGGGGUAUUGCUCAGGUCUCCAGUAAGAGCCAUCAGCAUUCAUUUUCCUUUCAAACCCAACACCCUCUUUCCUAGGGUUUCGGUUCAGAAUCUGCCUUUUGAGGACAUCACAUAGUGUCUGAUGCCCUUUGAGACUUUUGUACAUCCCUGUUUCAAGCAGUGUCUUCAACCUAGCAUUCUCAUCAGCAAUAGCAGUGGUAUCCUCAGCAGAGGGGUUAGUUACCACAUCAGCAGUUGAAGAUAUUGCAAUAGUAGCAGCAGUAGAACAUUCAGCAACAGAAGUAGCAUUAUCACGCUCAAUGCAUUUAAGACAUGGUGGUUCAAAUCCUUCCUGAGCUGAACUGAUCUGUUCGGCGCGAAGUGACUCGUUUUCCUUUUGAAGAUCUUCAUGAGCCGCUCUCAAUUUCUCAAGAUCUUGCUUCCUUUGAAGAUAAUCAUAGGAAAGCUUUUCAUGAGUUGUUGAGAGCGUUUCAUGACGACUUUCAAGUUCCUCAUACUUAACAUGAAGAUUUUUUAUGUCUUCAAUUAAGGACUGAGAUCGAGUCAUUUCAGCGUCCAACAGGUCAUCGCUUUUGUCUAACAGUUUUUGAAUAUGUUCCAUAGCUUUCUAUUGUUUAGUGGCAAGGGAAGCAAGUUUUGCAUAGCUGGGUCCAAAUUCAUCACCAGAUUCAUCAUCACUGGAUUCAGAUAGAUAGCAUUCAAUUACCUUAGCAUCUUUUGCCAUAAGGCAUGAUGCAGAAGAUGAUGAUUCUGGUUCGAAUGUCAUCGCUUUGAGAGAUUCCUUAAAGUCCUCAAACCAAGGAUCAUGACGAGUUCGAUGACCUUCAUAGACCUCAGAGAGACGGUCCUAGAUAAGCUUCGCAUGAUCGAGAUGCAUGAUAUUCCUAAACUGAUUUUGAGACAGACAGGAGCAGAUGACGUCCUUUGCCGUGAGGUUGAGAAGAGUGUACUUGCGAAUGUCAUCGACUUCCGCCAUCUUGCACAGAUCGGUCAAGCCAAUCUCAAUGACGGUCCACAGCUCGCUGUUUGUCACCAUGAGGCGCUUCUUCAUCAUGGCCUUCCACUUGGGAUACUCGUGACCGUCAAAGAUGGGGCAUGACACAGUCUUCAUUCCUGUGGUCGACAUAACUAAAACUCCAGGCGGUUAAACCAAAAUCACACAGAACAAGGGAGUACCUUGCUCUGAUACCAAUUGAAAAUGCGUUAUAUCGACUAGAGGGGGUGAAUAGGAGAUUUUUAUGAAAGUCUUCAAAACAUGGAAGUUUUGCAGACAAAUGAUAGAAAUGAACCUAUUACCAUGCACUGGAAGGUAGAGUACACUAGGCAGACCAUAGUCAAGUAUUCGAUGAAGUGAAAGCACAAUGACUAAUAGCAGCUAGGCAGUAAAGAUCAGGUACACAGUGAAGACAAAUGGAUAAUGCAAAUAGGCACUGACUUCACAAGAGCCAACUGUAAAAAAAGAGAUGGGAAGGAUAGAACCAGUGUGCGGGAUGAAGACAAAGGUUUGGUAGACCAGUUCCAACUGCGGUGACAGUUGUACAUCUGGUUAGGGCGGAUAGGUAUUUAAACCUGGGGACACACAGUCCCGGACACCUAGUCCUGAACCGCAGCUCAGGACACUUAGUCCUCACCGUAUUUCCCUUGAGCUAAGGUCACACAGACCUCGCCCAAUCACUCUGGUAAGUCUUCAAGGUAGACUUCCAAACCUUCACAGACUUUGUUCACCAGCGAUCCACAAUGACUCUUGGAUGCUCAGAACGCGACGCCUAACCGGCUGGAGGAUUCACAGUCCUCAAGUGUAAUAAGUCUUCAGAUCACACAGACAGGAAGACUUAAGUGAUGCCUAACACUCUUUGGCUCUGGGUGGUUAGGGAUUUAUCCUCUCAAGGAAUUCUCUCUCAAAGGCUUCGAGAUGGGUUGCUCUCAAACGACAAAAGCCGUGCUUUAACUCUGAGCAGCCAACCGUUUAUGGUUGUAGGGGGUGGGCUAUUUAUAGCCACUGGGCAACCCGACCUGAUUUGUCCGAAAUGACCCUGGGUCACUAAGGAACUGACACGUGUUCCAAUGGUCAGAUUUCAAACACACACGGCAACUUUACUUGGGAUACAAGCAAAGCUGACUUAUCCAACUCUAGACAAGAUUUGCUCUCAUAGUCUUCACUCGAAGACAUAGGAUUUUGGUUAAGCAUCACUUCAGUCAUUCUGACUGGUUCUCUUGGACCCCACUUAACAGUACGGUGGUUCCUAUGACUCAACAAAGAAAAACACAGAACGACGAAACUGCUAAGUCUUCGCGCUCCAUAGUCUUCACGCGAUGUCUUCUCUUGUCAUAGUCUUUAAUGUGAAUGUCUUCACAUACCACCUUUGACUUCAAUGUCUUCAUACAUUUUUAGGGGUCAUCUCUGGUAGGAAAACCGAAUCAAUGAGGGACAUCUACCUGUGUUAUCCUGCAAUUCUCACAAACACAUUAGUCCCUCAACUAGGUUUGUCGUUAAUACUCCAAAACCAACUAGGGGUGGCACUAGAUGCACUUACAAAAGUCAUGCUCAACCAUUGAGGGAGUCCUGGAUUAGGGGGUCUCCGGACAGCCAGACUAUAUCCUUUGGCCGGAUUGUUGGACUAUGAAGAUACAAGAUUGAAGACUUCGUCCCGUGUCUGGAUGGAACUCUCCUUGGCGUGGAAGGCAAGCUUGGAUAUACGGAUAUGUAGAUCUCCUUCCUUGUAACCGACUCUAUGUAACCCUAGCCCCCUCCGGUGUCUUUAUAAACCGGAGGGUUUAGUCCGUAGGACAACAGCAAUCAUACCAUAGGCUAGCUUCUAGGGUUUAGCCUCUAUGAUCUCGUGGUAGAUCAACUCUUGUAAUACUCAUAUCAUCAAGAUCAAUCAAGCAGGAAGUAGGGUAUUACCUCCAUCGAGAGGGCCCGAACCUGGGUAAACAUCGUGUCCCCCGCCUCCUGUUACCAUCCGCCUUAGACGCACAAUUCGGGACCCCCUACCCGAGAUCCGCCGGUUUUGACACCAACAUUGGUUCUUUCAUUGAGAGUUCCACUCUGCCGUCACCGUAAGGCUUGAUGGCUCCUUCGAUCAUCGGUAACGAUGCGGUCCAGGGUGAGCUUUUUCUCCCCGGACAGAUCUUCGUAUUCGGCGGCUUCGCACUACGGGCCAACUCGCUUGGCCAUCUAGAGCAGAUCGAGAGCUACGCCCCUGGCCAUCAGGUCAGGUUCGGAAACUUAAACUACACUGCCGGCAUCCGCGGAGACUUGAUCUUCGACGGAUUAGAGCCCAUGUCAGGUGCGCCGCACAAUCACGGCGAGCAUGACAUAACUCUGCCAUCGUACAGUGUUCGGGAGAUCACACCUGCAACUACUCUGGCCCUCAAUCCGGAGCAAACUGCACCAUCCGAGGAUGGGGGGAUAGACCCCGCCAUGGAGGCCGCACUCUCAAUGGCGAUGGAGCCGGAUACUGACUUCACCCCUCACGAGAGCCGUUUCGUCGAACCACUGGAUUCGUCUCCGGCCACGGACUCCGAGCCGCCUGCGUCUGUGCCUAUCGAAUUCGAUUGGGCACCGAUCACGGAGUUCACCUCCGCGGAUAUCUUUCAGCACUCACCUUUCGGCGACAUGCUAAAUUUAUUAAGGUCUCUCUCCUUGUCAGGAGAUCCUUGGCUGAACUAUGUCGGGCUAGAAGGGGAUGCGGACGACGAAGAAAUUCGCUGCCCACCCACCACCCACUUAGUAGCCUCUGUCGAUGAUUUAACCGACAUGCUCGAUUUCGACUCCGAAGACAUCGACGGCAUGGACGAUGAUGCAGGAGAGGAACAGGAACCAGUGACCACAGGGCGCUGGACAACCACUUCACCACAUGACAUAUACAUGGUGGAUACACCCAAAGAAAACAAUGACGAAGAACGGCAGGAUACAUCAAAGAAUAGCUCCCUCGAGAAGCAAGCAAAGCGUUGGCAUAGGCGCCGCUCAAAAUCCUGCCUCGACAAAAACAGCGAUAACAGCGCAAGAGAAAAUAACACUCCAGUCGACUCCAGAGGAAACGACGACCACAUUGACCCAGCGGCAAAGCACGAUGAAACUGCAAACGGCGAACAUAGUAAGGAUCCGAUGUUCGAACACGGCGACGCCAAGGAUAAACCUCAUCAACCCCCCUCUGGGGAGGAAAACAGUCCGGACGAAGAUGCACACAACCACCGCAGAAGGCUUACUGCCAUAGCGAGGAGUCUGAAGAAGCAGAAGCAAAGGCUUAAGGCCACACAAAAUACGCUCAACAGCAGGUGGAACAAAGUGCUCGACAAUGAAGAAAAGUAUGGUGGAAGUUACCACACAAAGAGCUAUCCAAAGCGCAAGCUAUUACCUGAAUUCGACGAUGAGGCCGUAGAGCCCACACAGCCGAAAAAUAAAACGGCCAACCGGCCGGAUCAACCACCUUGCGGCCGCAAUAGAGCGGCUAACAAGGCCGCACAUAAGUCAACACACGAUCUAUGUGAGGACUUGCGCCAAAAAUCCAGUAUGACCAUAUCCAUCUAUGGAUCUAGGAAGCGCGCUCUAGCACAAAAUCAAAAUCGAAUACUACAACCGUCCGAACGCCAUGAUACAUCCAAAUACAGGGGUGCCGCACACCCCCUAUGUUUCACAGAUGAGGUGCUGGACCACGAAUUUCCAGAAGGAUUCAAACCAGUGAACAUAGAGGCGUACGACGGGACCAUAGACCCUGGGGUCUGGAUGGAGGACUUUAUCCUCCAUAUCCAUAUGGCUCGUAGAUACGAUCUCCACGCCAUCAAGUACUUGCCCCUCAAGCUUAAAGGACCAGCUCGGCACUGGCUGAAAAGCCUCCCCGAAAACUCAAUUGAAAGUUGGGAGAGCUCGAGGAUGCUUUUCGGGCUAACUUUCAAGGGACCUAUGUUCGACCUUCGGAUGUAGACGAUUUAAGUCAUAUAAUUCAACAGCCCGGAGAGUAAGCCGAAAGCUUUGGAACAGGUUUCUCACUAAGAAGAACCAAAUCGUCGACUGCUUGGAUGCCGAAGCCUUAGCAGCUUUCAAGUAUAGCGUCUGAGACGAAUGGCUCGCCAGACACCUUGGCCAAGAAAAGCCGAGAACAAUGGCAGCCCUAACAAGCCUCAUGGCCCGCUUUUGCGCGGGCGAAGAUAGCUGGUUAGCCCGCAGUAGCACCAGUGACCCAAGCACAUCCGAAGUCAGUGAUGGCAAUGGAAAACCACGACGCAGUAAAAGCAAGCGACGAAAUAAAGAAGAUAGCCCAGAUAAUACGGUGGUAAACGCCAGAUUCAGGGGCUCUCGACCAGGUCAGCGGAAAAAGCCUUUCAAAGGCAGCAGAGAUGGACCGUCCAGCCUAAACAAGAUUCUAGACAAACUAUGUCAGAUUCAUGGCACCCCCGAUAAACCUACAAAUCACACCCAAAGAGAAUGUUGGGUCUUCAAGCAGGCCGGUAAGCUAAACGCCGAACACAAGGGGAGGGAGACACCAAGCGAAGACGAGGACGAACCUCGCCAGCAAAGCACUGGAGGACAGAAAAAAUUCCCACCAGAGGUUAAAGCAGUAAACAUGAUCCACAUGACGAAGAGGAGAAGCAAACAUGCACUCCAAGACAUACGCACCGUAGAGCCCGUCACCCCUAAGUUCAACCCCUGGUUGGCCCGCCCGAUCACUUUUGAUCACAGGGAUCACCCGACAAGCAUCCGGCAUGAAGGAUUGGCUGCCUUGGUGUUAGACCCAAUAAUAAAUGGAUACCAUCUCACACGAGUCCUUAUGGACGGCGGCAGUGGUCUAAAUAUGAUAUAUCAGGACACAGUCCGCAAAAUGGGGAUAGACCCGACAAAAAUUAGCCAUAGUAAUACUACCUUCAACGGAGUAAUACCAGGCCCAGAGGCCCGCUCCAUGGGCUCUCUAAUACUAUAGGUCGUAUUCGGUUCAUCCAACAACUACCGAAGUGAGAAGUUAGACUUCGACAUUGCGCCAUUCCAAAGCGGCUAUCAAGCACUACUCGGAAGAACAGCUUUCGCUCGUUUUAAUGCGGUACCACAUUACGCUUCUCUUAAGCUUAAGAUGCUUGGUCCACGUGGCACCAUCACAGCUAGUGGAAAUAUUGAGCGUUCUCUACGCGCGGAAGAACGUGCGGUGGCUUUAACAGCCGAGCACUAGACGGCCUCACCAACCAGAAUAAAAUGACAGGUCAUCAAGACCGCGGACAUGGUUAGACGAGUCCGGCGCAUCACUAGAUAUACCUGAGAUUGGUUUGAUGGUUAAACCCUCAUAGACGGUACCAGAGGCUUCCCGCGUGUAAUCAGGGCUAGUUCGGCUCAACUUUACUUAUCUUGGAUUUUAAUGGUUUAUCGAGAAUAACCAAAUUUUUUUGGCACGAUAACUUUCACCUAAGUUCUUCUCUUUUAUAGAUGACAAUCGUGCUACACCCGUCCAGGACACGGCACAACGGAGACACAGGCGCAGACAUGUAGCAGGGACCCGCUCAAAGGUUUGUUUUCAGAUUAAGACCCUGUGUAAACCUUUUUUACUGUCUCUUGUUGUUCACAUCCUCCGGAUACUCAAUACAACCGAGAAGUAUGCUGACGUUAUUGGCAUUUCACCAUGUCAGAAUAUUGCACGUACCUGGACACUCGGGGUUUAUUAUUAAGGGCAUUGUUCAGCCCGGCAUAUGUUAUAAAGACCGAAUACCUUAGGGAGUGUUCGGUGUCGCGAGUUUGGCCUUAUAUGCAUCAGCUCCGAAUCAUGUCUUUGGUUAAAUGUUGGGUUUGCCCGGCUCCGGUGUUUUGCUACCUUAUGUUCCGCUCUAUCGGCUAAGGCGGCACCGGGAGAACUACUGCGAUUGUGCCCUGGUUCAUCCAGAUGAGCACCUCAAUAGUGAAAGCCGAAAACUGACUGGCAUGAUAUAGCGUGAGACUGGUCAACCACUCGAUGACUUAGCGGAAUCUUCGGGAUUCCUCAGCAUUAACGAAGGGCCAUUUUCCGGUCAUGUACGUACGCACACCGUAUUCGGACAAGCGCGGAGGUACCACGGGCUAUAUAGUAGUCCCACCGUCAAACUCCUAUGGCUAAGUGAAAGUGUUAAAGCAAUAUAGUAUGAUUGCCUCGUUCGCUGUGCUACCACCUCCUUAAUGGACCAAGAGGUUGGAUCAAGUGCACCGUCGUCCGGAUCAGCUGACAGCGGGAGCGUUGCGGCGGUCUUGCCAUGGCUUGGUGCCGGCACGACUGGCGGUGUUGUCUGUGGGGUGGUGUCCCCCGCCCCCAAACGAAUCUGGCUCUUCGGCCAAAGCAUGGACCAGUUUAACCAGGCACUAAGGGUCAUCACAUCAUCUUCGUCAGCACCAGGGGGUCGAUACGGAGGUAACAAGUCGUCGCAGCCCCGCAGCACCCGAACCAGUUGAACCCUAUACACGGUGGGUGGCAUCGGAUUACCGUGGAACACGCGGUUGCCCGGUUCAACGAUUUUGGCCUCGGCGACAUCGAUCAACUCGCCGUCCAUGAAGUGCAGGAGAGUGCAUGGAACGUUGGCGGCGCCCUGCGAAAACAUGUAGGGCGUCAGGGAUGCCCAGACAAAGGCAAGGAGAUGAAGUCAUCGGCCGAGGCUUAGUUAAUGUGAUGGCGUUGAGCUCGGCUAAUGUCGAGGCACCGCCAACGGCGGGCGUGCAAGUGACGGAGGGGCCGCUUGCUGCCGAGGUGCCAACCGGUGUAUUCUUCCCACACCCGGGUGCAUUAAGCUCCAAUGCCGGCACCGACGCCGGAGACACCAAUGCCGCCGGAUCCGGACGACGAUGACGGUACAUUUUCGAACGUCGAUAAGUACAUGAAUGAACAUGGGUACGGUGACGAAUUCUUGGGGCCUCCUUCUCAAGAACCCAACCCUGCAAAAGACGAUCAUGAUCUAGCUGGUACCGCGGAGAAACCCAAUUGCAACAGGCGUCGUCUGGCGUUCAGUUCUCAGGAGACGCCUCCUGCUGCCGCCUUCACCGAGACUCAAAUAGCCGAGGAGCGAAAUAUUAUCAACCCCAACACACUCAAGAAGGUGGUCUCUGAGCAGAACUCGAUCCCAUUACAGUAGAAGAAGCAGAAGGGAUGGAAAAGAAAAAAUAACAAGGGUGCGAGCCAGCCGGCACCGAGUACGAUCCGUGCUCAGGACGGGCCACCAAUACCUAAGGAUAUCUCGAGGAGGGUGCAUGUGGCGGGUAGGCCGAUGCUACCGACUAAUCUGCUCAAUGAUGCAACCGGUGCUAUGUGGAGUCUGCAUGACAGUGUUCUUUCUAUGGAGAAGCGGCGUCUCUCCGAGAAUGAUGUGGCAUACCCGGUUUUCGUGGCCAAGGUGCCAGAGGGCAAGGGCUUUGUCGAUAGCACCAUCGGGCGUAUGAUCGUCCUGCGGUUUGAUGACAUCUUCGCUAUGUUUAACCUUCAUCCGCUGCGCUACACCUUCAUUCGGCUAUUUUCGCUCAGUAUGGAGAUGCGGAUCAUUAGAGACAAGACCCCGGACAUCGUGAUAGUCGACCCCUUCUACAUGCGUACCAAGAUCUUGAGCAGCACUGGGGAUCGGCAAGUCGCGAGUGCAUACCUCGAAGGCGUCAUUCUAGCAAACCCAGAUAAGGAUAACUUCCCCGUGCCUUACUUUUCCGAGUAAGUCAUCCCGUCGCCGCCCCGUAACCUAUGAUUUCCUAGAUUUCGAUCGUUCUUUUUUUCUAACAUUCCGUGUUUUGUGCAGUGACACACAUUGCACACUCAUCCUCUUAAGCCCGAAAUAUUCCAUGGCCACGUAUUUCGACUCGGACCGUCAGUCGAAGAAAGACUACACAAAUAUCAAGAAAGUUCUUGAUGAUGCUCUCCCCGGCUACGCCAAAUCUGGAGGCACCUUCAGGAGGCCAAUUUGUAGGUACGGCAAGCACGUGUUCACCCACGUAACGACGUUCCCCUGCGUCAAGCAGCCGCAUGGCAGUCAGAAGGAUGCCUACUACGCCCUCCAUCAUAUGCGGGCGAUCAUACGGGGCCAUAAUCACCUUAUGCUACCAAAUAAUCUCAAAGAAUGGGCCGCACGCUUGUCGACAAUCUAGGACGAGGACAUCAGACAAGAAUUCUUUCGCAUCCAAUCAGAGUUUGUGAAAAUAAUCUAUCGAGAUGUCCUUCGUACCUCGGGGCAGUUCUACCUCAAAUAUCAACCGUCCAACAGUGAAAUAACGCUACAAAUGUAGGCUGACAACGACCGCACAUUCAUGACCAUCACGAAAGACGGUGGCUUCAUCCAUGCUCCGGUCCCUGAGUCGAGUCGAAAGUAUUGAUGCUAUGUAGUUCUGAAAUAUCGAUUAGCUCAUGUUGUAAUUAAACUUUAAUGAACUUGUAUGUCUCUUUAGUUUAGACAGUCGUUCAACUUAUAUGUAAUCGAUGCUAUUUAUUAGUAGGACCAUGAAUCGUGAUAUUAAUGUGUUGCUUUUCUCUUCCGAUCCUUUUGUUGCAUACUUAUGUAUUGCUUAUAUAUUAUCUGUGAAUUGCUAAUAACGUUUUGUUUGUCUAGUGCAUAGAGAUGCCGUCGUAUGUCGUGUACAAGGGUGAGGUUCCCGGAGUCUACGACGACUGGGAGGAGUGUCGAAGACAGGUUCACCGUUUCAGCGGUAACAGUUACAAAGGGUACACCACUAGGGCGGAGGCGGAAACUAGAUACGCGCGCUAUCUAGCGGGAGAGAGAAGGGAGCGGAGGAGGAACCGGAUGAAGAUCAGUUUCAUCGCGAUGAUGCUCAUCGUGAUCGCAACCCUCUUCUAUGUGAUGGUAGUUUAGAUAUCGACUUGUAAUGUGAAGACAAACUCGCUACUCGCGGUCUCGAGACUUGUAGUGUUCUAACUUUGUUCGGUAUUUUGAAUUCGGAGACUAAUAUGACGAAUUGUAUUCGGAGACUAAUCUUCUAUUGUAUUCGAUAAAUCUGCUGCUUAUAUGUUGUGUUGUUUAUAUUCUGUGAUGUAAUGUAUUUUGUAACCUGUGUAAAUAUCAGAAAAGCAAAAAAAAUCCUAAUAUUCAUAGUAGUGGCGCACCAUAUUGCACUUUAGUGGUGCACAGAAAUAAAAACACCAGUGGCGUAUUAUCUAAAAGUGCGUCAUUAGUAACCCGGAGCAUAAGGUACACAUGGCCCCUUGGAGUAACAGCAAUGGCGCACUUCUGGGCCUAGUAAUGGCGCACUUUAGCUGCCCAUUAGUGUCUGGGAUAGUAAUAGCGCAACAGGUGGUGCGCCACUGUUAUGUAGAUUAACAAUGGCGCACCAGUCGUGCGCCAUUACUAUUUAUUAGUAGUGGCGUGAUAAUAGUGGCGCAUCUAUAGUGCGUCAUUAGUAGUCAAAAUAGAUGCGCCACUAACAGCCUUUUUCUAAUAGUGACCAUCUAAUUUGCAUGCACAUUAAUAUCAGGCAUAUCGAAUCAUAUUAUUAGUGAUCAAACUGCAUGCAUUCAGAGUUCUUUCCCUUGGACUCAUGAUCUUAUUCACCUCCGUAAACCAUAUACGAAGUAUGUUCAUCGUCAUAUCAGACCCUCAGGGGUUGGCCACGUCAUUGCUCACGACGCUUAAUAGUUUGAAAUUGACAUGUCGGUGACGUGCUUUAAUUGUCACAAGUUAAUUAAGUUGGAAGGAAUCAAUACCAGCCAACCCUGCAACAAAUCACGUGAUUUGUUGAUUAGAAAAUUCAUUCAACGCGAGAUUCCUCUAGGAACCUUAAUUUUCACGUCUGUGAAUCUCCUAUAAUAUUGCCAAGAGUUUUUAGCUCAAAGUUCGUACGUUGUAUAUGGAGGGUACAUUUCGAGUUGGUGAAUAUUUGUGUGUAGAUCGAUGCAUAGAACGUGAUGCAUCCAUUGGUGAAUAUUCGAUCGUACGUUGUACAGAUUUUGUUUAUUUAUUCUUAUUUAGCUCCAGUUACGGUGCGAAUCUUCUGUUUACCGAAUAGUUAAAGUUGAGCCAUGGCUGGCAAAUGUGUAACAUGUGUUAACUAUUACUCCAAUAGUCUAUAUAAACCAGGUUAUUUCCUCGGCAAUACACACUUAAGCUGUGUUACAUAGUUGUAGAUCGCAACAAGCUAGUUGUGACCGGAGGUAGUGUUGUUCCAAGAUCCGGCUCUGGUGUCUCUCCAAUUGACUGAAGGUAAUACUGUUUCCCAGUUCAUCGUGCAUGAUCUUCGAGCUUUUAAUUCUUAUACUUGUCCCAUGUAUGAGCUAGAUGUGAAAAUCCAUGAGCUUUAAUGUUGUAAUCUUACUUAAGCAACUGAGCAGAUUUCUAACCUGCUGAGCUUGCAACGUAAUACGUGAUUCUAGCCUUAUUAUUUCGUCUCGUUUUUUUAUCAGAAACAGGGAGGGACCCAUUUUUAUUGAACCGGACAUUUCAGAUUCUAUGGGAAGCAUAGGGACAGUUCAGAUGACGGUCCAGGAGCUCGCUGGCGCCCUGGGCACGCCCGACGUGCCAGCUCAGUACAUCGUGCGCGCGCACCAGGACCAACAGCUCGCCGCGGCGGUCGUUGCACCAGUCCCUGUCAUUGACCUCGGCCGCCUUUUGAAGCACGGCGACGGCACCUCAGACGAGGCGGCGAAGCUCCGGUCAGCCAUCGAGUCCUGGGGCCUCUUUAUGGUAAGUGACAACCCAAGCCGGGCUAGGUUCAAGCUCUGCUCGGACUCGGCCGGCGCCUUUUCUCUAAAAAAUGAGCUGCAGCUGCGUACUAUCCCACUAUUUUGGAGCAAGACCAAGCAGCAAUAUCCAUGUGGUUUCGUAUGCAUCUUCUUGCAGGUGAGUAACCACGGUGUAGACGCCGUAAUGGACGACAUGAUGGCCGCUUCGAGGGAAUUUUUCCGGCAGCCGCUCGAAGAGAAGCAGAGAUACACCAACCUGAUCAGCGGCGAGCGGUUCCAGUUCGAGGGGUAUGGGAACGACUGGGUGAGCUCGCCGGACCAAAUCCGUGACUGGACUGACCGCCUCUACCUCAAGGUGGAGCCAGAGGACGAGCGGAG
rnacentral:lncRNA from 1 species